rnacentral:lncRNA from 1 species
CAUGAUUAGGCUGGAAAUUGUUUAAAGAUAAAAGAGAAAAUUGAAUACACAAAAUAGUUAUAAAUUAUCGUGUUUUAUUAUACGAUAUUGACUUAUAAGGCUCUCUAUGCCUCUAUCGAUGCUUUAGCUUUCACGGAAAUAUGGAAAAAUAAAGAGGAAGAGGUUGUAUCCAAUUUGGAAAAGUAGAGAACAAUUCACAGAGAAAGGUCCCAUUUACUUAUCCCUUAAUUUUUUUUUUUUUUUUUUUUUUGAUCAACUUACUUAUCCCUUAAUUAAAAUAUUAGUUUUUUCCUUAAUUUUUUACGAAUUCUCUUUUAUCACAUGUAAAGCAAUUUUAAUACCAAGCAAUCAUAUAUAUUUUGUUUUAAAAAUCUAAUGUUUCAGUGCUGGGGUAUAUAUAUUUUUGGAUGGAUUGUAAGAACUAUUACUUUAAAUAAAGGAUAUGUAAGAAAUGUCAUGACCUAACACCUAACUCAGCAAGGCACCCAACGUUAUUGUUUUCGUAAGCCUAUUAAAUUGGAUUAUGUUGCUUUCACAACUAAACCUAUCGAGAGACCUAUUUUUAUUUCUGUAAUCAGCUUUUAUUUUUUUGGGUUUUUGAUUAGUGCAGGUUUAACCAAAACGGCACGUAUUGUUUUAUUUACUCCUCCAUUGAAAGCGCGUAAAUCAUUUCUCUUUUGUUUUGUUUUUUCCUUACUAUCAUCAUCAUCAUCAUCAUAUAUAUAUGCUUAAUGGAAAUUUUAACAUACUACACCAUAUUAUACUCCAUAUGAAUAUAAAUACUGUAGAUUAGGAAUUAAGAUAUGUUGACUUUAUUUCAAUCUAUUUUUAAUUUCCCCACAAUAGAGACAACCCUUUUCUUUUCUUUUUUUGACAAAAACAAUCAAGACACAUUGAGAGGCCUAAAAUGUAGACAAAGAAGUAAAUGAUCUUGAACAUGUAUUUUAUCUAAUUUUAGAAGAUGCAAUUUAAUUUUUACAUCGAAAAUGUAUAAGACACGUCAUUUGAGAAUAUUUUUCCUCUAUUACUUUUUUUUUUGUUUGUCCUUUUUUGUCUAAUCCUUUAAAACUAGGACAUCAAAUCGAAGACUAUACAAAGAGGUUCAAGUUCAACCAAAAAACCUCAUUCCAAUACUUUGACACUCGUCAACGCCGUCUAAGUGGGCUUGAUUAUGAAAAUGCCUUUCUAUGAAGCCCUUUAGACUCGUGCACAGUACAGGCAUGAGACAAUUGAUCAUUUUUAGAUUGACGGUACAUUAGAACAAAAAUUUAACUACCUUCAAUCAAAUAUAUAUGGUAGUUAAAAUAGUAAUGAAUAUGAUUACAAACAUGCAUUACUCACGAAUGAAAAUUACCUCAUAAGUUGAAAGGAAUAACAGGAAAUUUUCAUAACUAAGCAGAAAUAAUUAUAUAGUAUUGUAACAAUGCAACAGCCUCUUUUCUUUUCUUAAAUCUACAAAUGACUAACCAGUUUUCUUUUUUUGACAUCUAUGCAUAACCCGCCAUACCGAUAUGGGAGGAACCAGAACGGUUUGCUUUGUGAGCAGGUGGUGAAGAGACUGACUUGGUAAAAUACAUGUAGUAGUAGACAUUAAGGACCAUGGUAGCAACUAUAAACACUGCCCCUGCAAUGAAAAUUCCUUUACGCAACGAUGCACACGAGAAAGUUUGCGAGCUUAAGUACUUAGUGUGGUAUGCGUUCUUGGUCGCUCCUGCUAUUACACAAGCUUCUGCUACCAGAAAUGUCAUCCUACACUUGUCAAAUUGGGACUAUUAAACAAUGGGGGUUUUCUAUAUUAACAUUACUGAUCUAUUGAUAUUUCAAAGCUUCAAAACUAGAAAUAAAUCUAAAGCUAAAUUUGAAGAUACAUUGAUUCAAUAGUCUUUAAGGUAAUGGGGACUUACCAAGAAGAGAUAAAAUAGAUAAUAGACCAAGCACGGUCACUUCCAGGGGAUAAAGGUCUACCAAAACACAUGCAUUUGGUAACACCCAUAAGCAAUGAUUCACUAGAGAGGAGGAAAAGAAAAGCUCCAACGCCAUAUCCAGUGGCUACAUCAGAGUCAUAUACGCAGAACGUUAUGUUUGUUAUUGGGUCUUGGAUAGAUUUUCCCUGCCACACAAAAACAGAGAAAAGAGGAGACCUUAAAGAAGUGCCACAACAGAGCAUAAACUCAGUUUUAUAUAUGUUUGCUUCGUUACAAAGAUGUUUCUCUAGUCUCAGUCUACAAGAACAUGAACAUAGCUUUCAGAAAUGGUUAUUUUCUGAGAAGAUUUCUCCAAUCUCUUGAUUCUGAAUUGAUUCUUGAAAAAUCAAGAACUCAAAUUAUAGGCAUCAUUACUAAAUCUAAGACAUGUUAGCUAAAUUGCAAGUAACCACGAAACUAAUCCAGAUAUAGAAAUAUUCAGCUGCACCAUCCUAAUGAUUAUUAUUAUUUAAGAAAUCGAAGCUCAGAGAACUAAAAACCCUAGCGGAGGGAGAGAGAAGAGUGAUUCUUACGAUGCUGCGGCGGCGUUCGGCGGCUAUGGAGAAGCCGAAGGCGACUAAACUAAGAGCGACGACGAGGAUAAAAACAAGAGUCGAGGCCUUCCCUUCUCCCAUUAUCUCCGGCGACGAACCAAGUGUGGAGGAGAGAAGUGUGAGAGAGAGCUGGGUACGAGUAAGUAAAGUGGAAAAAAAAAAAAAAAAAAAACACGAGCUGUGAGUGUCGUUGAAACGAAGAACACGAUCGAGACAGCGCGUGUUUGUCACGUUGAAGCGUUGAUUUGUAUAAAAGCUUCACGUAUAGUGUGAGACGCGUGAGGAAGCUUUUUUGAAAUUUGUGUUUUCUCCUUUUUGGAAAAGUUAGAAAAAAGGGUAAAGGUAUUUUUAUAAGAAGCUGGGCUUAAUGGGCUAAAAAGCCCGAAUCUUGCCAAUUUUAAGUUACGGUAAAGCCUGAUAUAUUUGGGUUAUAAGAGGGUCGUCUAAAUUUCAGAGUGUGGUAGGAAGAAAGGUUAGGAGAAGUGAGUUUCCAUUUUUGGAAAAUCAUAUGUAAAAAACUUAAUUCUUGUUUAUGUUUAGGUUUACUUAUACAAAAUUUGAAAUAAAUUCAUAAAUUCUUUUAGUAUACUUUAAAUAAAAUUUAUGCAUUGAGUUUAAAUCCAAACGCUAAGUUUGCCUUAGACAUAUGCAUUGUAUGAAUAUGAAUAAUGAAAAAAACAUGUUUCAUAUUUGCUAAAUUGUGAUUGAUACAAUCUAGGCAUAGUACAUCUUUUGUCUACUUCAGGUGAAAGUUACAUAUGUGUCAUGUUUAAUUGAGUUUUAAUCAGUUUUUUUUUUUUUUUUUUUUUUUGUCUUUACUAGUUUUUUUUAUAUUUUUGAUACGCUACUUAGAAUAAAUCAGUGAAGUUUUGAAAUAAAGCAAGCGAGAUUUCCGGCCACAAAGUUUGACGAAUCUUUCGGGUUUGAUUGACACAUCUUUUUAUUUUGUAAUUUUGUUUUUGUUUUUCGAUUGACACAUUUAAAAAGCGAAACAAAAGAAAAUAGUAUAAUAAUUGGAUAAUUUGUGCAAGCUGUAAUGAAAUGUAAACAAAGGAAUCGAAAUAGAUCAUCCGGGUGGGGUGAGGAGACAAGGAAAAAUAAAAGACUUGUCCUCAUGUCACUUGGCUGGUCCGUACCUCUAACAACUGCCCAUGUAUCUUUACAUUUUUCUCUUCUAAAGUUUCGUUUAUUUGAUUUUAUUUUAUUUGAUGUUCCUUUUUGUUUCUUGCAAGGCAGCUUAGUUUAUAGACUUAUAUUCGCUAUAUAUUUGAAGCAAAUUGUAUGACCAAAGGAGAUUGUAUAGUUUAUUGAUUGAUGCAAAACUCUAUGACCAGAAGGAGAAAUUAAGUAACAUUUCCCGACUUAAUAACUUCCCAAAAUACUUUCAAUACAUAUGUUGAACAAAGUAUGUUUAUACACUAAUUAAUGCAAAUCUUGAACAAUUGUGAGUACUCCGUUUACAUAUAGUAAUACAUUAAUCAUGAAGAGAAAACUGUUGAACUGUGGACAAUGUUGCUGACUUGUAUUUUGUUUCGUUAUCUAAAAUAGUUUAACUCUAUUACAAGUACAAUUCUUUUGGAUUCAACAAUAUAGCAUUGAGUGAAUCAUUUUACAUUGUGUAUAGAUUUAAGUAACAUCGCGUAUGUGGUAAAGUAUAUAAAAAGAUUUAAACCUAAGUAACAUCUCGUAUAUGGUAGAAAUUAGUGAAAUCACACAGUAUGACGGUAAUACAUACAUUGACACUCUAAGUACGUGAAAACGAUAAGUUUACAAUUCAUCGCGUAUGUGGUAAAGUAUAAAGAACAUUUUAACUUUAAAUAACAUCGUGUAUAAAGGUAAAGUAUAAUGAAUAUUUAAAACUUGAAGUAACAUAGCUUAUAUGGUAAAGUAUGAAGAUAACUUUAAACUUGUAAGUAACGUAGCGUUUAUGGUAAAAAGAUAGUGAGAUCACGAUCGAUAACACAUACAUUGAAACUCUAAGAACGUAAAGAAACCAUAAUAUACAAUUUCAUCAUCACCUUAAUGUUUGUCACAAAACAAGAACUAGUAGUCCAUAGAGAGAUACUCCUAGCAAAAUGAUCAACUCCUUUGGAAAUUUACACAUCUAUCUGUAAAAAAGAGAGAGAGACAAAGAUACACAAAAAAAAAAGAGAGGGUAGAAAUGAUAUCUUCACAUUUCAAAACUCUUUCGAGCUUUUUCCUUUUUGUUACAAUAAGGAAGAAACACUAUGCUCUUAUUUUUUUCACUAAUAAUAAAGACACCCAAACUAAACCACUCUCUCUUCUCUCCACCCAACUUUUUUAUCUUAAUUACAAAAUUCCUUAGAAAUUUGACACCCAAAAACCCUAAUUUUUUAUAACAAUCCCUCCCCCAACUUUUGUUUAUCCAAGAUAUUUACACAUUUUAAUCAACAAAAACCCAUCCCAUCAUAUAUUAUUAAUAUCCAUAAUCAAUUCCUAAUCCUUUUCUUUUUAAGCCUUCUCUGUUGUUAUAUAUAUAUAUAUACUUGGACUUGCUCUUUAUGCAAGAGUCGAAAUGCUACGGUUGCGGCUGCGUCUGUCACAGUCGAAUCCCACGACACGAACCUGUGGAUUGUUCCCGAAGCUCGCCGCUGCCCUGACACAGCUUCCGUUCCUUGGAGAAGACGGCGGCUGCGGUUGGGUACCCCGAGGAGUCGACGGAGCCUGAGGAGCCACCGCGAGAAGCUCUUGUCGAAAAAGUGAGUCUUUUGUUAGUGGGUUAGAAACUCUACUUGGUGGUGACCCUGUGAAGAACAAAGGAGACGUCAUCGUCUGAUCUUGAUCACCACAACCACCCUGCAAAACACAUCAUCACAUAAACAGAGGAAUAAAAAUCCAAACUUUAGAUAUUAAUCAACAGAGCUACAAAAGCAAAAGGAUCGUUAUUGAAUUAUAUACCUUUGCGAGGAUGAAAUCCAAAAUCUCGCUUCCUGAAUUCGAUUCACAUAACUCCAUCUGAUGACUAAACCAAAAACACAAACCCAAAAUAAAAAUCAGAACUUUGAAAUGUUUUCUCAACCAAAAGUUAUGAACUUUAUAAUAGAAAACAAAGUGAUGAACUUUAUCAUAGAAAAAAGUCUCUUACUUGAGUUGCCAACGGAGAGAUCGAGAAGAGUGGUGGUUAAGAACACCGACACGGCGAGGUUUGGGACAAAUCACGGCGUCUCUGCGAUCAUUCACGGCGGCGUUUCUCCUCAUCUCUUCAAAAGCGUUUUGUUGGACUCCACAGCUGUUCAUCAUCUUUUCCUUUUUCUUGCUGCUUUCACAAGAAUCAAUCAAAAACCACACACACACCAAAGGAGAAUAAAAAGAGAUUGAAAGAUUGAGAAAAAAUGAUAUAUAUAAAUGGAAAAAAGAAAAAAAGAUAAGGGAAGAGAGAAGAGAAGAGGUGGUCAAAUGGUAACGUGUUUUUUAUGGAGAUCUGGUCAUAAGCAGAUUUAAUUAAGGUUUGAUUAAAUUUAAUUAAAGAGAGAAUGGUAAGGUAAGAAGGAAUAAGCCACUUGACUAAUAUUCCAUAUUAUUUUAAUUUUUUUUGCCAUUAUAGUGAAUGAUGUCAAGAUCAUAGUGGAGAGACAGAUUUUUUGUAAUUUUUUAAGAAUAAGUAAAACUCAAACAAACAAAAAGAAAGUAUUCAUGAGAAAAAGUCUAAAUUAUAACAGUGAUACGUUCAUUAAUUCAUUAAUUAUGAAAAUUUAGACAAAAAUUAGCAUAGAUCGAGAAGAAACAGAAACUAAACUUGAUGUUUUGUUUUACGAUCAAAACACAAGAACAACAAAAAGAAUCAAGAAUUGUUAGAGAUCCAAGAUCUAGGUCAAUUCUUGAUCCGAAAUGAAAACGAAUCAAGAAAGAUACCUGGAGGUGAAAAGAGAAGAGAGAUCGUUCGAAAGCUUGAAGCUUGAGCAGAAGAAGAAGAAGAAGCAAAGAGAGAGAGAGAGAUCUGAGAAGAGAUGAAAGAGAGAAACCUGCAGACAACAAAGCUAUGGAAUCAUGUAUUUAUUUAUUUAUUUUCCUGAUUUUCUUACAAGGCAAAUAAUAUUUAUUUUCUUUCUUUCUUUUUGUGUGUCUGUGUAUGUGUCAAUUAAUAAAUUGUCUUGUGUUUAGAGCAAAACGCUUGUUUUAGUUUAAAACAUUUAAUUCACUACUUUAAUUUUAUUUAAAAACAUUUAAUGAAACCAUAUACACUUAUGUUUUAUUUGUACAAGAUUACAACAAAGCUUUCAGUUUCAUUUUAGAUUUUGGCUUUUUUUUUUUUGGGUACAAAAGGCGGUGCCUAACCAGACUCUGUCCUCGUAAAUAUCUUUCAAUUGGGGUUAUUAAUGUCACCGACGAGAUUAUAUCAAAUUUUUAUUUUUUUUACUUACAAAUCUCUUUUACUUUAUUACACUAAUCUCUAAUCAACAUUUGGAGAGUUUUUGAUGAAAAAGAUAAGCCACAGACGGUUUCAUACAACUUGUUUAUUUUCCUUAAAAUGGGUAAAAUGGUUGAAUACUUGAAAAUAUUAAAUUUCUAGAUUUUAUUUUCUAACAAAAAUUGAUGAUAUCUUUCUUACAGAAAGAUGGAUUCUUCUUCUUUUUAGUUUACCGCAUGUCGCCAUUUGUCUUGUGAAAUUUAUGAAGUAUUUUGGAAAAGUUUAGCUUUCUAAAAACACAUUACAUAUUUACAGUUGUUCUAUUCUAUGCAUAGAAAUAAAAUCAGGAUUAUAUUGCAAGCUUUACCAUGAAUUUACAUCAAUAAUCAAUUUUUAGUGUAUCCUAUCAAUAUUAUAUAUAUUUUUUCUUAACUAUAGAUGAAGUUUUCUACUUAUCUUCAAUCAUGUCUUUAGAAAAGUAUUAUGAAAUAACUUACAUGAUACAUUUAGUUUUAUAACUGAACUAUAUUUGUGUUCUAAGUAUCUGACUACAAGGGUUAGCAAGUUAACUAACACUUUUUUUUGAAAAACUUUCGGAAAUUAUACCUUACAUUCUUUAGAUUUUAGGUUUUAUUGUUAUAAAACUCACAUCGGUGUGAAAUUAACAAUGGUAAAAUUUGUUUGGUGUGUAAUUAAAAAACUAGAGAAAUAAUAAUGAUAAUAUUAGGGUUGCAAACCCCAAUAGUGGCAACUAAACACGGGAUUACUUUUAUUACAAAAUUUAAUAAAAAUAGCAGCGGUGAGAAAUGAUGGAAAUAAAAUGAUAAAGAUGAGAUAAUGGCGGCGCGUAAUAAAGAUGACAUCGUUGAGAAAUGACAAAAUUACUGAAAUAAAAUGAUAAAGAUGAUGGCGGCGCGUAAUAAAGAUGACGGCGUUGAAAAAUGACAGAAUUACGGAAAUAAAAUAAUAUAAAACAACUUAAAUGAUAAAAAUGAAGGCAGCACGUGCUAAAAAAUGACGGCGGUGAGAAAUUUAAAAAUUAUGGAAAUAAAUUGUUUCCGCUUAUUGCGGGACUUUAUUAGAUUUAAUAAAAGUGGUGAUAGUAAGAAAAAACAAAAUUAUAAACAUUAAAAAUGAAAUAAAAGGAAACUUAAAAUUAUAAAGAUGACAAUGGUACGUGAUACAAAUUUAAGAAAAUAACAAUGACAAUAGUUAUUAGAUUUACAAAAAACAACGGUGGCAUAUAACUAAAAAUUUUUGUGAAAAUAACGAUAGACAAUAUUUACUAGAUUUAUAAAAGGAUGGCGGGCUGGGCGUAAAAAUUAUGGAAUCCGUAAUGAAUCCGUAAACUCAUAAUGUUAGGUUUGUGUAAUUUUGAGUUGUCUAGCAAUUUUGAUCUGUGGAUUGUGCGUUUCAGUGUGUAGGAUUAAUUGCUUUUGAGGAAAUAAAAGUAAUCACUCUAUAGCUAAAAGUCCCUCUCUCAAAUAUGAAAUAUUCAAAUCUUUGGCUGCACAUUGAUCCUCUAACUCUACUUCGUUUGUUUGACCAAUCUGAUGUUUGCAUGGUCUUAGUUCUCUUGUUCAAUUUGAGUCGUAUUCUGGUUCUACUAGAUCUAGAUUAAUUAACUUUGGGGACUACGUAGCUAUGGGCCAAUGGGCUUUGUAGAACAUUGUAUAUUUUAUAUAUCCCAACGUUACGUUGAAGCAAUUUGGAGACAAAAAAAAGUUCCAAAUAUCAACAAGAAGCUUUGAUGUAUCGGCACAAUCUAAAAGAAGCGAUAAGUCAAGUUUACUUAUAGCUUCUUUUCUCCCUGCUACUUUCAGCUGAAUCCAAAGAUGAGUGAUGUUCUUAAUUGAUUCUUUUGGUUAGGCAAAUGUUUUUUGGUUCUUAAACUUUGUAUUUAUCCUUAAAUUUCUUAUAUAAGCGAAACCUAAGAAAUUCUACAACUUAUACUAAUAUAGUAAUUGAUAUGUAUACGAUUUACAAAGCUGAUACUUGUAAUUAGUAAAGUUUUAAUAUGUUCUGAGGGGGACCAAUGUAACAGCUACCUACAGAUCAGAGAUCAUAAUGAAUAAGAGUAAUGACUGCUGCCUUCAGCCUCAUCUCUAAAUUUCAGGGCUUCUCUUAAAUUUCUCUGUAACUUCUUUUCGGCAUUUAAAGGAGUGAGAAUUUAUAUAUAGGAAUAUUUCUUUUCUUGGUAUAAAUGUGAAUUCAUUUGUGUAGAAGUAUAUUGCAAAAAAAAAAAUGCCUAAUUUGGUAUAUCUAUCUUGGCCAAUUAUUUUCUGAAUAGCAGAAGAGAAAAUAAGAAUUUACUAUCAAAACUAGUUUUGGAGUAUGUACACACUCUUCUUUCGUUUCCUACUUGCCAUCAGUGUGUUGAUAUGUUACUAGUAUAUUACGUAUCAUAUAUGUUUCGGUCAACCUCUAGGAAAGAGGUUCCUUCGUGACUAUUGUUUUCAACAUCAACCUAAUUAUAAUAUUUUGAAUGAAAUAUGAAUUUUCGUACUAGACAAAAGGUGUGUUUCAGCACUAUAUAUAUAUUUCCAAAUUACUUGGAGAAAAUUGCUAAAAUUGAAAGUGUUUAAUCAAAAUAAAAGCUUCUUUUGUUCUUUUUUUGGAACUGUGAGAUUUUGAUUCAAACUCGUACUGACUCUACAGUUACGAUAUGUAAAUUCGAAAGUGACUUGAGAAAAAAUAGGUUUUGGAACUGGUCUUUUCACUAACAUAUCAAUUUCAUGAUGCUUAGCAUAUUUUAGUUUUGUUCAUGUACCUAUAUUUAGUCUUCGUAUAUGUUAUUUUUUUGUUUGUUAAUAAAUCUGCACGAAAACCUAUAUGACAGAUACGUUAUGUUUCAAAAUUAGUCAAGAAACUUAUAACAAACCAAACUCUUGGUCCUAGUAAUUAUUGUUUAAUUAGUUGUUUAAUUAGAAGAAUGCAGAAAUAGUUAAAGUUAAAAAAGGAUGGUAAAUAAAUUAAAUAUGAAAAAUCAAUCUAUAUAAUAGUAACACAAAAUUGAUAGCAAUCAUUUUAUCUAAAAUUGGACAUCUUGUUGUUAUAUACAUAUAUAUAUAGUAAGGGAUACCUUGACCCAUAAUGUCCCCUCAAGCUAUAGUCCUCUUGCAUAAAAGUCACAAAGCCCUCCACUUUGAGUUCCAUGCUCAAUUUUCUCAUUUCUAAAGAGAGAGAGAGAGAAAAAAAAAAGAGAAAGGGAAAUUAAGUGAUAAACUUUUUUUUUGACAAAGCUCUCUUUAUCUCCAUCUUCGCUCUCUCAGGUCUUUAUCCUUAGAUAGUUUCUUCUCUCCUGUCUUCUUGUUAAACAUGUAUGUUCUCUCUCUCUCUCUCCUUGCUUCAUUCUCUCUAUAUCUCUCUUAUUAUCUCUAUCCAACUAAAUAGGUAUUCUAAAAAGUUUCUAAUGUGAAAAAAUUGCAGGAGGGCUGAAGAUAAUAACACUUUAGAUCUCAAUAACUUACCUAAUGAUCCUUGUAGAGACAGCUUCCCAUUUUUUGAAGAAGGCUCAUCUUCCUCUUCCUCUUCUGGUACACAUUACUCUAGAUUUUUCUAUAAUUUUCUAAGUAAUCUCUUCACUUUUAGCCUUGGGUGAUUUUCUUGUAAUAAUGGAUACUAGCUAGAGUAAGUAAAAACAAUAACAACUAAUUAAGGUUUGGAAACCAAAAAUGUUUUGUUCUUAUAAUCAUUAGAAGUAUAAUUGGCUAUAUUAGUUAAUCAGUAAAAAUCUAAUUACAGAAUUCGAUUUUAUUAUUGAGUAGGAGGUUUUAGGGAGAAGCAAACCAAAGAUGGGAAAGAGUAUGAAUGUAGAUUUUGUUCACUCAAGUUCUUCAAAUCUCAAGCUCUCGGUGGCCAUAUGAACCGCCACCGUCAAGGCAAGAUCCCAUUCUUAUCUAAAGAGUAAAAGUAUAUGUAUGUGUUUGCAUAUAUCUCUACUCAUAAAAUUUCCCAUUUUAUUGAUUUGUGUUUGGAUAAUUAAUUAGAAAGAGAGACUGAGUCACUAAACAAAGCUCGUGAACUUGUUCUUCGCAACGAUAGCUUUCCUCCUCACCAAGGACCUUCAUCGUUUAGGUACUUUAAGUUUCUCUUUUCUUGAACAAGUCUUAGCUCAUUUUACAUUUUACCUCACUAGAAACAGCGUUGUGUCACAGUUUGAUUUGUUAUAUAUAGUUAUCAUCAAGGAGAUGUGCAUAUAGGAGACGUAAUAACACCAUUCAGACCAAUGAUGUAUCCACCAAGACAUUUCUCACUCUCCUCCUCCGCCCUACCGUCUCGGCAGCUGCAGCCACCAUAUCUUUAUCCUCCUCCGCCACCAUCUUCAUCGUUUUCUCAACAUAACACUAACGACUACUACCUAAGCAACAACACUACGCGUCAGCAAACCCUAACAAAUAGUGUUUGCAGUGGUCGUGCACUAGCUGAUUCGAGCUACACCUUCAUGGGUGCACCAUUGGCUAAUGGUUCUAGAGUUGCUCCUUCACUUCAUCUACCUCUACCUCUACCUCUACCUCCACAUCAUGGUCUAUGAUAUAUUAAUAUUAAAUAUGAAAACAAAUGUAAUUCCUUUUUUUCUAGUUUUUCCCUUUUCUAAAUUUGGAUUUUUAUUGAAUGUUAAACUCUCUCCAUCAAGUGUUUAAAUUUUUAUCUAUAGUUUUUGUUGGAAUAUUGAAAGAGACGUGACAAAGUAAAUGAAAACGACAAAAAGUGCAAUGCAAAUUGGAGCGGGAGUGUUGUUUGGGGUUAUGUAAGAAGAUUGUAUUUUGUAUGAAUGAGCAGCUUUUAUCUAUUUUCAUUUUGUUUUUUUCCUUAUCAUCUACUCUUGUCUUGGAGCUGUUUUGUGAGACCACACCACAUCGGGUGUUUUAUCGUUAUAUAUAUAUAUAUAUAUAUAUAUUUCUUUCUGGAGGAACCAAAAAAAGAAACAGAACUGGAGUGACUAGCUAGAGAGAGAGAGAGAGAGAGAGAGAGGAGAGAUGAAAUAAGUUAGAUUUGGAACUCAUCUAGUUGAAUUGUAACUAAUAUUCGUCCUCUGGUUAAGCAAUUUUGUUCUUCUUCUAUUCUCUUACAGUUGAAUUAUUUGUCUGCACGCUUAGCCAAUUUAUCGAUAGACUACACGUAUAUAUGUCUUCUGAAAAUUAUUUGAAUUAAUCAUUUUUUCUUCUUUUGCUACUUUUUUCUCAUUAGUAACGUUAUUGGAACAUCUCUCUAAAUGAAAUUUAGAAUAAUCGGUACUUAUUUUACUUGUCGGUGACCAAUAACAUAUUUUAGACUACUCGUAAUUAGUUACGUUAUUUUAUUUUGCAACACUGCAAUGACCAAACAGACUCGAUGAAACCUCAUCUCCGAUGAUAAUGCUAUUAACUCAAUUUAUCUACCACCUUCGGGAUGAAUAAUUCAUUGUCUUAUAUACUUCAAUAGUGACAUGUAGACAGAUUUGUUUUUUUCCAAACAUUACAGUAUGUACAUAUAUAUACGGCUACUCUAGGGUACAGUUUGUAUAAAUUAACUUACAUUGCAAAAAUAAGAAAGUCUAGAAAAUAAAAAGUAAAAUUUUGUAUCUUGUUAAAAACUCAGUCAAAAGUAGUGAUCAAUAAGAGAUAGAGAGAGAACAUAUGAUCUGAAGGUCAAGCAUGUUUGUAUGAUAAAAGGAGAAAAAGAGCUAUGUACACAUGAAAAGAAGAAAUAUAUCAUGGAUUUGUGAAAGAAGGGCUAAAACCCUAAAUUUGUAUUUACAGUCUUCCCAAAAGGCAUCUAUGUAUGUAUAUGUAUACUUUAGAAUAAACAUAUAAUGAGAAAGCGAAAGGAGAGAGAUUGAGUGGAUCAAUAUAGAUAUGUGUAUGCGAAUAAGUUAGGCUUAUUAAAAAAUUAUUAGUUGGUCUGAGACAUAGACACAACUGUGGAAGGACUCAUUGAUGCAGUUAAGUUUCUUUUGUUUCAGUCUGUCGAUUACAAACCCGUUCCCUUAAAUCAGCUUUUUACCCAUUUCAUAGCUUUGCUCCUCAAUUUCAACUCUACCCUACUCCUAUAUACAAGUGUAUUCACACAUAUAUUGUGAACCACUCAUAAUGUCUCCUUUUUGAGAAAAAAACUAUUUAAAUUAACAUGCAUGUAAAUGUGCAUUUUUCUUCCUAAACCGAAUCAUCCAUAUCUAGCAAGGUUGUGCACUGUAAUUUCUAGCAAGUUUCUUGUUGUAGAUCAUCUUUAUAUGCAUACAUGGUUGUAGAUCUACAUACGUACACAUAAAGAUAUAUUUUAUAUAUAUUUCUUUUCGAAGUAGUGACAUAACAUUAGAUGAUAGGUGGGCGUCUACAUAUAUCUAUAUAGAGUACAAACUCAACUCAUAUUAAAACUCAGAAUUACAUGAAAAGAUGACAAAAAAGGGAAAAAAAAACAUGAGACUUGUAUAAUUAAUUGAGAGGGAAAUGGUAAGUUGGGGAAAACAAAAUCAGAAGUGCUUCCAAAUGGAAAGCAAAACUUUUAUCUAUUUAUGCAAAUUAUACAAAAGUUAGAAUACAUAACAUAUAUAGCUAGCUAGGGUUCAAUUACCGAUUGCAAUAUUAGAAUACGGCUGCUGCAUGCAUCUUCUGUUCCUAAACAAUGACACCGCCCAUCUCUACUUUACACAUUUCUAUAAGCCUUUACUUUGCUUUUAACCUGUUAUAGAUAUCAUAUAGGCUUGUUUAUUUUAGGUAUGUUUUCAUUAAGUAAUGCAACGCAGGUUCAUUCAUAGCUACAUCGUUCCUAAUAUUUUAGGCUGCGUAGUUUUGGUUUACGAUAAUUAAGAGCGAUCAUAGAUACGCGAAACUAUUAUUAGCAAAUCUCUUUGUUUAAAAGAAAAAAUAUAUAUAUUAUAUUAACUAACCAGAACCGGAAAUUAAGGAGCGGUUUACAAAAUUGAAAUCAAAUAAAAUCCGGUUAUGACCGGUACAGCCGACACAAAUAAGUCAUAGUUAGUUAUCUAACCUUCGAAGUCGUUGAGAAGGUAUUGACUUUUGUCUUAAAGUCCUCCGCUUUGGGAAUCUGAUUAUGAUGAUGAACUCAAGGCGCUAAAUCGGAACAGUUUCAGCUUUCUCAAGAAAGACUCAUACUUUAUUAUUUCAGUCGUGAAGAAUCUGUUCUUGAAAUAUCGAAAAUUGCGAGGGUUUCUCUAGUUUCAGCUUAUAAAUCACCAAAGAGGCUUUUGGAAGAGAAGCUCAUAUCUUUCUUGGAGUCAUGUAAAACCCAGAAACAGCUUCUUCAAAUCCAGUCACAAACUGUAAGUCACGAGUUAGCACAUAAUGAUUACGUCGGUCCGAGAAUCGUUGCCGCUUGUUGCCGAAUCACGAGGAUUGGUUACGCACGCCAGGUGUUCGACGGAAUCUCUCAACCGAAUGUUUCUGUUUGGAACGCUAUGUUCAAUGGGUAUGCGCAAAGAGAUUUGUCCAAAGAAGUUUUGCUGUUGUACAAGAGAAUGAGAAGCUUGGAUGUGAUGCCCAAUUGCUUUACUCUCCCUGUAGUUUUAAAAGCUUGCGUGAUGGUUAGGGAUCUUAGACAGGGAGAGGAGUUACAGUGCUUUUCGAUCAAAACAGGGUUUAGGUCGAAUGCUUAUUUAGGAACUAAGUUGAUUGAGAUGUACUCCUGUGCAGGUGUGAUAGCAUUGGCGAAUAAGGUGUUUUGUGAGAUGGUUGAGAAAAAUGUGGUUACUUGGACUUUGAUGAUCAAUGGAUAUCUUUUGAAGAAGGACUUAGUCUCUGCUCGACGCUUUUUUGAUUUGUCGCCUGAGAGAGACAUUGUGUUGUGGAACACUAUGGUAUCUGGUUACAUUGAAAUGGGGAAUAUAGUGGACGCUAGGAGUCUUUUUGAUCAAAUGCCCUGUAGGGAUGUCAUGUCGUGGAAUACGAUUUUAGAGGGUUAUGCAAAUAUUGGAGAUAUGGAAGCAUGUGGAAGGGUUUUUUAUGAAAUGCCAGAGAGAAAUGUGUUCUCUUGGAACGGUUUGAUCAAGGGUCUGGCUCAAAAUGGGAGGGUUUCUGAAGUGUUGGAUUAUUUUAAGAGAAUGGUAGAUGAAGAGGAUGUUGUCCCUAACGACGCAACAUUGACUUUAGUACUGUCAGCUUGUGCAAAGUUAGGAGCUCUUGAUUUCGGGAAAUGGGUACAUCAGCAUGGAGAGAGUCUUGGGUAUAAUAAGGUAGAUGUAAACGUUAAGAAUGCUUUGAUUGAUAUGUAUGCAAAAUGUGGAGCUAUAGAGCUAGGUAUGGAAGUCUUCAAAAGCAUAAAGAGAAGAGAUUUGAUAAGCUGGAAUACGAUGAUCAAUGGUUUAGCUGCACAUGGACAUGGAACGGAGGCCUUAGAUUUAUUCCAUGAGAUGAAAAACUGCGGAAUUAGACCUGACAAGGUCACAUUCGUCGGUGUUUUAUGUGCCUGUAAACACAUGGGUUUGGUUGAAGAUGGCUUGGCUUAUUUCAAUUCCAUGAUUACUGAUUUCUCAGUCACGCCUCAGAUUGAGCAUUGUGGUUGUGUAGUGGAUUUACUAUCUCGGGCUGGAUUUUUAACACAAGCUGUUGAGUUUAUUAACAAGAUGCCGGUAAAAGCUGAUGCUGUUAUAUGGGCUACUCUACUUGGAGCUUCAAAGGUUUAUAAGAAGGUGGACAUUGGGGAACUUGCUCUUGUAGAGUUGAUCAAGCUUGAACCAAGAAACCCAGCUAAUUUUGUGAUGCUCUCAAACAUAUAUGGAGAACUAGGAAGAUUUGACGAUGUUGCAAGGCUAAAAGUUGCAAUGAGAGACACAGGCUUUAAGAAAGAAGCAGGUGUAAGCUGGAUUGAGACUGAUGAUGGUUUAGUGAAGUUUUAUUCUUCGGGAGAAAAGCAUCCUCGAACAGAGGAACUACAGAUGAUCUUGAGAGACCUGAAGAGCUUCAACAUCCUUGUUGAUGACGAAGACGAACUUCAAGAACAGUUUAUAUAAUCUUAUAGAAAGCGAUUUUGUCCAGAUUGGACUAUUUAACCUAGUUUUCAUAUUAAUAUCCGAGGCUAUCCUCUCCCGCAUGCCAUUGCAUAUACUGCAAAGUGCAAGAGAGUCUCAAGAAUUGUCCUUGCAAGGUUGUGUACUUUUAUAGGAACUUGAAAGACAAUGUUGAGUGUUGGUGUCUCUUUGCUGUAACUCCGGAUUCAAAAGCUUGGCAACAGAAAGCAGGUCAUAUAAAAAAGAUCGUUUGUAUAGUUAGUAAUCCACAUCAGAAAGCAACCCAUUAGUAAUCCACAAGGUCAGAUAUUUCAGAAGCAUUUUAGCAGUCUCAGUCUUCCCUGCUCCACAAAAUGUGCAAGCAGGUAACAACCAAUGAUGAAUGGAAGAUGAAAAAAAUUCAACAACCUUGAAACCUGAAUAGCAGCAGAUACCUGUAAGCUUUCAUCUGCAACUGCAAAUGGAUGGGGACUCAAUUCUCCCAAGGCUGCUCAGCCUUUAUAUUGUGUCAUUGUAAAGAUCCGAUAGUUGUUUAAAAGGGUUUACCGCAAUCAAAAUAUAUUUCCUGUGUACGUAGUAAGGAAAAGUAGACCAGGUUUUACACAACAAAGAGAAAAAUAAGAAAAACAUCUUGAUUUCAUCUAUAUAAUAAUAUCUUGGAUAGAAAACAAAAGGUCCACAUAGAAAGUCUGCGAAAAGCUUGCGUUUAAAACACUAACAAACAUGGAAUCCAUAGAAGAUAACAUGAUAGAGUUUUUAGAGAUUCUUUUAGCUGGAGGCUUUUGAUAUUUGAUAUGUCCAUCAUCCACGACGAAGUAUUUUGAUAAAUAGUAUUAAAAAAAAGUUGCAUUUCUCUCUUUCCCAUUUAUUUGAAAGUAUUGAAAUUUUGCAAUGUUUUCGAAGCCAAAUCUCUGAAACUAUUGUCUUGUUUUCCUUUUAACAUCUCACAGGACAAAAGAAAACUAAAAUUAGAGGAGCCAACAACGUAUCGUUUAUCUGAAUCAAUCUCAAUGCAUUAAGUUAGAGGGGGUGGAUGAUUCAAAGGAGUCUACUAAAACCCCGAGAAGCAAUGAGCAUUGUUGGGAUAAGUUAGAGUAGCACGUACUUCUUUACCCUUCUUCUACUAAAAAAAUGGUGAUAUUAUUAGUAAUGUGGCUAACUAAUCUCAAAAGCUAGCUCAAGGGAAAAUGAUUGCUACAUCACAUAUAUAUUACCCAAGGAUUCACAAUCCCAACCGAUGUGGGAUUGUAUUCUAAUCGAUAUCUGUAUAAUUAUGAUUGAUAAUCCAAACUUUGGAUUCCAAAGUUUCUUGAUGAUAGGUCAACAAAUGUUUUUUUCCCCUAUAAUUAAGGGAAGUGAUAUUAAUUUCCUACGUAACUAACUGAUCAACCAUAAAAAUGUUUUUCUUGUCUUUGCAUCGUGCAUAUUGUAAUGAAGAGUGAAACACCACCCAAAAAAGCUCUAUAUAAAAAAACUAGUUUGUAUAAAUUAUGGUAUAGAUAUAUAUAUACUUCUACUAGUAGUAAGAAAGCCUUUAAAUAUUAUAAGUCUUUGUUUUUCAUUUUGGGCUAAACUCCAAGAACACUUUUAAAUAAUUAUGAUCAAUCCAAAGUUUCUUAAUGAUAGAUCAACAAAUGUUUUUUUUUUUUCCUAUAAUUAAGGGAAGUGAUAUUAAUUUCCAACGUAACUGAUCAACCAUUGAAAUGGACGUUGUGGCUUUUUUUAUGUACGAAAAGGCAUAUUAGGAGUGUUAGAUACGUAUGUAUUAGUAUAUAAUAAUCCAACCAUUUAUUUCCAUCAUUAACGUUAUAAUGGAGUUUUCAAGCCACAAGCACAACUAUAAAUAAUGACUUUGCGGUUGCAAUAUAUCAAAAAUAUACGAAGCAAGACCAAAUAAAUAAACGACAGCAAAAAAAAUGGAUGAGAAAGACAAUCCAAGAAACUUGAGGGAAGAAGAAGAAGAAACCAAAGAUUUGAUCUCUUCACUUUCUUGGGAGAUAGAUUACAUUGGGAACAAGCUGUUCAAAUACGAAGGACAUUGGUACUACGAAGACAUUCUCCAAUCAAUCCCCAAUCUCAACACCGGGUUUAAGCCACAAGAAACCGAUGUAAUUGUCGCUUCUUUCCCCAAGUGUGGCACGACUUGGCUCAAGGCACUCACAUUUGCACUAGUUCAACGAUCAAAACACCCUUUGGGAGAUCAUCAUCAUCAUCCUCUGCUAUCUCAUAAUCCUCAUGAGGUAAUGCCUUAUCUCGAGCUCGAUCUGUAUCUCAAAACCUCAAAACCGGACUUGACCAAGUUCUUAUCAUCAUCAUCAUCUCCAAGAUUGUUCUCAACUCACAUGCCUUUGCAUGUGCUUCAAGUACCCUUGAAAGAGUCUCCUUGCAAGAUCGUGUACGUGUGCAGGAACUUGAAAGACGUGCUGGUGUCUCUUUGGCAUUUCCUCAACGCCAACAAGGGAGUAGAAUGGAAUGAUUUUAGCCAAAAGGAAAAGAUCGUUCGAGUGGAGGAUUACUCUUUCGAGGCUAUGUUUGAGUCAGUCUGUAAUGGGGUUACCCUAUACGGCCCCUUUUGGGACCAUGCCCUGAGCUAUUGGCGAGGCAGCUUGGAAGAUCCUAAGCAUGUUCUUUUCCUGAUGUACGAGGAUCUGAAAGCGGAGCCUCGUACUCAGCUGAAGAGGCUAGCAGAUUUCUUGGAUUGUCCAUUCACUAAGGAAGAGGAAGAUAGCGGAUCUGUAGACAAGAUCUUGGAACUUUGCUCUCUAAGUAAUCUAAGCAGUUUGGAGAUCAACAAAACCGGAGCGUCGGGUGGAGUUGAUUACAAGACUUAUUUUCGUAAAGGAGAAGUAGGUAGCUGGAAGAGUUAUGUGACUCCUGAAAUGGAGAACAAGAUCGAUAUGAUCACCGAGGAGAAACUCAAAGGUUCCGGUCUGAAUUUCUAGAAUUAUGUUUGGUUUGUGUAUCUCUUAAAUGCAUUACUCAAGAAUAAAAGUUAUAUUGUUAUUCUUAUAUUGUUAUUUUGAUGUAUGAUUUAAAGUCUUUGUAUUUUACUAUUUUGAAUGUAAUCUGAAAUUAAUACUUUUAACGUGGUUCCAUCUAUUAACCUUUUUGUGUCAACCCUGUAAUCUGCAACCAUAUCUAAAUAUGAAAACUAUCCUUUUGCAAAUAUAAAUUUUACAAAAAAAAUUGUUGCACGGUUAAAUUUAUAUUGAGGACUGAUCAACUUCUAAGUUUAAAGCCUACCAAUUCGGUGGUUUUGUAUAAUAUAAGUUUAUGGUUUAACAAAAGAUCCGUUGUACUACGAUGGUUAAUUUCGUCUUCAUUGCCGAAUUUCCGGGUUCAAAGCCCGGCAACGGAAUAUUUUUUUCCCCAAAUUUUAUGGGUUCAAUCGAAUUCUAAAUGUCAUAAGCGAAAACAUUAUUUGUUUCCAAUUUCGUAGUUAUCCAUUAUUUGGUGUGCCUUUGGUGUUUUAUGUUCCAAUAAGCGAGUCCAAUAGGUGUUGAUUUGCCAAUGCCGAUUGCAUUAGCUAGUGUAACAUUGAAUAAAACCAGGAAAAAAGAAACCAUAACUAAACGCAAACUAACAUAAUAACCAGAACAGUAUUUUCAGUGAAGAAACCCAUUUGGCUAAAAAGCAAGAAACAUUAAGAGAAAGCAAAAAAAGAUGCUACAAAUUCUCAUGACUGAGCAUGAAAUCAGUGAAAAAACAUAGGAACAUUAAACCAAACUCUUUUUGGACAAUCCAGAGUGUUUUUUUCCCUUUUCCCAUUUUUAUUUAGAAACGACUCAACACACACGAACUCUUCUCUGGCGUCAACUUAGGCUUUCGACAUGUGAACGAUAAGGUCCACCACACGAGAACUGUAACCCCACUCGUUGUCGUACCAUGACACCAACUUGACAAACUUGUCGCUCAAUGCAAUCCCUGCCUUGGCAUCGAAUAUGCUUGACCUAAACGCACAAACCAAAAUGUUCAAUGUUUUUUGCUCUUGCUAUUUACAAGACCCCUGUGAAACUGUAUCAAUCUGUAGAUAAUCAUUACCUGUUGUCACCGACAAAGUCGGUAGACACAACAUCAUCUUCAGUGUAUCCCAAAAUUCCCUUCAUUUUGCCUUCAGAUUCUUCCCUGAGAAUAUUUAACCAGAAACAUAGUAAGUACUUGAAUCAACUUAUAAAAUGUUGCUUAGAGUGAGUGUCAGUCAACGGUUCUUACUUGAUGGCCUUCUUGAUUUCGUCGUAUGUUGCAGCUUUCUCAAGUCUAACGGUGAGAUCAACAACUGAGACAUCAACGGUUGGAACACGGAAAGACAUUCCAGUCAAUUUUCCAUUGAGGGAUGGCAACACUUUGCCAACAGCCUAACAACAACCACAAUACAAAUUAGAUUCAGAACAACUUUUCAGUCAAAAUUAACAAAAAAAAAAAAAAACUGUUUGUAAACACACACAAGAGCAUAAGAUGAAAUUUACCUUGGCGGCACCAGUGCUGCUAGGAAUAAUGUUGAAGGAAGCAGCUCUUCCACCUCUCCAGUCCUUCAUCGAUGGACCAUCAACAGUCUUCUGUGUAGCUAAAUAACCAAACCAAACAGUUGUUAUUGCGACAAAGUUACAGUAAAAGGCAAUACAUUUUCAAGAUCCAACCAAAUGGAAACAAAGUAAUGUAUACGUACCAGUGAUAGAGUGGACAGUGGUCAUGAGUCCCUCAACAAUUCCAAACCUGUCAUUGAUAACCUACACAAACAAAAUUGCAAAUUUCAAUACAGUGCGAGGCAUAAAUUAACUUAAGUCAGAACAUAUUUCAUAAUUUCACAGGUUAAAGGAGAAAAAGCAACCUUGGCAAGUGGAGCAAGGCAGUUAGUGGUGCAACUAGCGUUGGAAACAAUGUCAAGAUCAGACUUGUACUCAUGCUCGUUGACACCAACAACAAACAUGGGAGCAUCUUUGCUUGGGGCAGAGAUGACAACCUUCUUGGCACCACCCUGAGUAAAAAUGAACAAUAUGAUGAUAUAAGAUCUCAUAAACAAGUGCUCAAAUAAUUUAUAAUAUGGUGAACAAAAUCCAAAGUCAAACCUUCAAGUGAGCAGCAGCCUUGUCCUUGUCAGUGAAGACACCAGUAGACUCAACAACAAAGUCAGCUCCAGCCUCACCCCAUGGGAUCUCCUCAGGGUUCCUUCAAAAGUAAAACAUCAGCAAUAGGAAUUUCACAAGUUUCAAUACUAAAACAGACACACACACACAGGAUAUAAAAAUCGACAAUGAUUAUGUACCUGAUGCCGAAAACAGUGACUGGCUUCUCACCAAAGAGAAGAGUCUUGUCAUCCUUGAUCUUAAGUUCAUGGUGCUUCCACUGACCGUGAACACUGUCAUACUUAAACAUGUAUGUCUGCAACCAAAUUCGAUACCACAAACAUAAUCAAUUAGAAACGCUUAUCGAUACAUAAUUAAUCCUCGAACUUAUCGAACUAAGUCACACAUGAACAUGCAUAGACGAGGUAUGGAUCAAACCGGAGUCAGAUCUAUGUAUACUACUUGAAAAUUUAAUUGAUUCGAUAUUCCAGUUCAAAUAAAUCUGAAACGACUUGGCGUCAUAUCCAGAUCAAAACGAUACUAAACCAAUCCAGAUCGAACCAGUAGCGAAGGGAAACGAAAAACGAACCAUGUACUCGGUGGUGAUGAACGGAUCGUUAACAGCGACGAGUUCAACAUCAUCCCUCUGAAGAACAACUCUAGCAACCAAACGACCGAUUCUUCCGAAACCUUCAUCACGGAAAGAUCAAAAACUCAGAAUCAACAGAUCCAAUUCAGAGAAGCAUACGAAACACGAUUAAGGUAACACUCACCGUUGAUUCCGAUCUUAAUCUUCUUGUCAGCUACAAAAAAACAAAAGGAAAAAAUCAAAAUCACGAUCAGAUUCAAAAAAAAGAGCAUCAACGACGAAAACAAUAAAUCGAAGAAAGAAACGGAGAUGAUCAUCAAGGAGCGAAGAGCUCACCCAUUGCAGAAAUUGAGAUCGAGAGAGGUGUACAGAUGAGAAAUGUGAAAAUAGUGAGUGAGGGGUUUGGGUUUGGUGAGGCUUUAGGGUUAUUUAAAAGAGAAGAUGAACGUGAUGAUGAUGAGCAAAUAUUUUAUGAUCGAGUGGCUCAGAUUAUUUCUUGGGAAAGAUUAGAUUCAGUAUUUAUUAUUACAAGAUCGCACUUUACUUUUUCAUUUUUUUACCAUUAUUGCCACUGUUUUUUACCCACAGUUUAUAGUAGGAUUAACUAAUUAAGAACCGAUUAGAGGAAACUAAUGGCGCUUGCACUUCACGUGCCGGUUUGUGGGAAUAUUCGAGGUUUAUACUCAGAUCCUAUGGGCUGAUCUGAAAAUAUUCUUUCCCAUAGCCAAUGAACAUAUGCCACGUAGGAUGUUGUUAUGGUUGAAUUAAACCCCUUUUUGGUUUAUUCCAUAAUCUUUGUGUAGUAACCAAUUUUAACUUCAACCAUUGUUUCAGAAUAACCAAGGUGAAAAACAGUACUAGAGUGUAUUUGUAAUUUUGUAUUCAUCAUAUAUGAAGCUUCUUGUAGAUGUCUUAAUCAGAAUAAUUUUUGCUUACUCGAUCAAAAUAUUUAUAAAUUGAUAAAACAUAUAUGGUGUUGUUAUAUAUUAAUCCAAUCGUGACUUCAUACCAAGACACACAUAGAUGCUCCACUUUGAGAGCUUUGGUAGGUCAGAUGAAUGUGACAGCAAAAAAAAAAAACAUCACACCUUAUGUAAUAGGUAAAACCUAAUAGUUUAUAGGUAUGACUCUUGGCUUUGCCAAAAGUCUCCUUCUUCUCCUCCUCUUAUUUUUUAUUUCAUUUUUUGUAUUCAUUCUCUUUUUCAUGUGUGUUAGGUGAAUGCAUAUAGAAGUAGAACUACUUAUUUUGGCAUUCCGUAUUCAUAUGGAUAUUUAUUUCUAAUAAUUAACUAAAAUCCAUCAUACAUUGAAGACUUGAAGUUGUGAUCUCCUUUUUAUAACUCAUGAUCAUAUCCAAGAGACCAACAGUUCUAAUCGACCCGUCAAGUGUGUCAAGCUACUGUCUUCAACUGAUAUGUAGAAUGAUUCAAAAACAACUUUUUUUUUUUUGAAUGAUUCAACAAUAUUCUAAGUAAUCGUGAAGGGAAAAGAACCAAAAUAUAUCAUUAUCAAAGUACAUGAUAAGAAUUUCGAUUCUUAGAGAAAGAAAGUAAUUAUUGUGAUGCAUGCAAUGCAAACCCUCUUGACAAAAAUACUUAUUGAUGCCAACUUUAACGAAUGGAAUCUUCUUAUCCAUGGAGAUAUGCUUAUAACCAAUUUUAGUCCACUUACGUGAUGGUUUUAGAUUUUGAUAAGUUGGUUUAUUUAUACACACACAACAAAAAUCAAUAAAAACUCUUUUAUUUCUAUGUUUGUGGUGUUUAUGCUGUCUUGAUUCUCGAUUAACUCAAAUCAUUCUAGGAUUUUCUCAGUAGUAAAACCUCAGAAUUUUUCUGUCUUUGCAGAUUCACAAGGUCGGCACACUCGUUCCUUACAAGAACAACGAAUGCAACGAGGAGUAACCGACACAGUGACACCAUAUUCUCGCUCUUGUCUGAAUGACAUGUGAAUCCUUUAUUGAUCACUUCUCUUCUCCUAUGUUCUGUUCUUACAAACGUAAGAGACCAAAGAAACUAUUUUGAGGUUUUAUUGGUCUGUACUGUGAAUGCAAAUUGGUGUCAUACAUGUUUGAGCAAAUACUUUCUUUGUUCUUCUCUAAGGAGAAAAGAAAGAAAUGUACAAAGGGACUGAGCUUAUAUUCACAGGGGACUGUUUUCUGAUUAGAUAAGCUGUUGAUGAAUUUGAAGAAGAAGUUUUGCGAUCCCCAUGCUCUCACCUCACUCCUCGGUACACAGCACCAGGUUGAAGAUCAUCCAUGUUUUCUAUGUUCCUAAAACCAUCAACUUGCAGGCAUGUCCAUCCCCGUCGGGCCAGAAAAUCGCGGUAAUCUUCUUCUGUGUAGAAGAUUUUCUCUUCUGAAUGGACUGGUAACUGGUUGGAUUCGUCAUAAUGGCAAACCCUAAUGGCUAGUCCUGCAAGAUGGGUUUUGAAUAUUGAGGAUUCAGUAAACUCUGUAUUUGGGGUCAAACAAUCCAAACGAUAUUUAGUUUGAUCUUACCAUCAUCGAGAUGGAGUAGAUAGUUCCCUAAAGGCAUCUCUCGGUCAAGAGAACGAACAAUCUGAUCUUCAUCUUCUAACCAAAAAGCCCUCCGAGUUCUUAACCCAAAAGCAGAUCUGAUUGCCUCUUUGAUUGCUUCACAGCUACCAUCAAUACCGAUUCUUCUUGUAUAGUCCCCAAAUUUCACUGUUAUGACCCUCCCACCAAAAGGCUGACCAUGACCGUCACCACCUGGUCAUAAAUAUUAAAAAGCUCCAAUCAGUUAUAAGAGAGAGCCAAAAUCAAUCAAGCAGGGAACAUAGGCUGUGAAGCAACCACAAAAUGAAAGUGAUUUUGGUUCUCAAUAAUUAGAAAACAUUGAUUCAUAGACACACCAUGCAUAUAACACAAAGUUACAAAAAAAUAUCUUUGAGGCUCAAGUUAUCUAAGCUUUUCUGAGACUUGCCGUUUCCAGGAGUCUCUCUCCAAUUCCAAGGAGUAACUCCAUUUGCAGCAACAGCAUCCACUGUAGUGAUUGCAAGAGGAUGGCCAUCAUGAUCAAGACGCCUUUCAAGGUUUAAGGCUGGCCUGCCAUUAGCUGGACCAUAAAUAUAAACACUUAUCAAAACACACACAUCCUCUAAGAAACUUAACUAAACCUUCUAACAGAGGGACUGUCUGAACUCCACAGCAGUCAUGUUCACCACUUUGUUUCAACUACAGAGAUAUCACAUUACAGCUAACUUUCCCCUCGCAAAUGAAACUCUUUGUUUCCAGUACCAAAUGCUCACGUAGCAAGUUAACACCUCUACUAUUGCUCACUCAAGGAGUAAAUUUACAACGACUUAAAGACAAGCUACAAGAGGCAAUCGACGAACAAAUAUUGACUCCUCAUAUAUAGAUAGCAACGUAUAAUAAACACACAAAAGUGAUAUAGAUCAGUACCUUCAACGGAUCCAAAAGAAAUGCUGGUAUCAUCAAAUCCUACAAUGAAAAGUAAAAGUCACUUACCACUUAAGCAAAAGAAACUAAAAGCACAAAAUCCACAAAACCAGAUUCAUUACCAAAACUAUCAUCUCCUUAAAACAUUAAUGCACAACCCAUUAAGAAACCUACUUUAAAACUGUAGUUCAACUAGUAUCUCUUCUCAGCCUAACCUACAGAUACGAAAUUCCCAAAUUGUAACAAAAAGAUAUCUCAUCAACACAAACACUAAAUCACAGUUAAAUUUCCUCAAACCAAAUCAAGAAACCUGCAAAUUCAUGGCCAAAGUUUAUACCUUUAUCACUAAAUUGCAUAAAGGAAUCAACUUUAGCAGUUGUAGGUGGUGGUGUACUAGGGCUCUUGUUAUACUGGGUGGUGGUCACUUUCUUGCUCCUCUCUCUAAGAAUAUCUUCAAUCUCCUUGUAAUACGACAUCUUAGCCGAUCCAUUGCCUCUAUCAUGAUACUUGGCUUUCUUAAACUCUUUCAAUAGAUUCCUCCACUUAUCAGUACACAUAGUCGGAGAUCGAUCAAACCCUUUCUCUCUCAUCUUAGCCGAAAUCUGUUCCCAAAGAUGUUUAUUCGAUUUCGAUGUAUUGAACAAACCAUCCAUACCUCUACGGAACAUGAUUAAGCUACGAGUCUCGUCUUGAACCCAUGUCUCUGCUCGUUUCUUCGGAGCUUUCACUUCGUGAUCCUCACUACUGCUAUCUCCAAGGAGAAUCUGUUGAGGCUGAGAUUGGUUGAGAUGGUGAUUGUGAUUGUGGUGGUGGUGGUGGUGGUGGUGGUGAGGCUGUAGAUCUACUACUGCUUCAUUGGGAGUGGUGACAUCGAUCAUCAUGUCGCGUGUAGCGGCGGUUGAAGAAUUGGGAUUGUCGUCUUUGUAGAAAUCAGUAGGACGAGACUUGUCCGAAAUGAACAUUGCUGCGUCUCCGGAGAGACAAUAGGAUAUGAUGUUCCUUUGUUCCCACCACCGCCAACAACACAGCCCCCGAGCACAAUAUGAAAUGUGGGGAGCCAAAGAGGCUUUUACUUUUAUUUUAGUUUUUAGGUUUUUGUUUUAGUCUAAAGAUUUGGUUUCCAGUUUUGGAUAAGAUAAAUUACAAAUGUUUGGGUUCCCUGUGAUAUAAAAUGGUAUUGAUAAAAAAAACAAUUAUAAUAAGCUCAAAAUUAACUUUAAAUUAUAUAAAAAAUUAUUCAAAAAUGAUAACAAGAUAUAAUUAUACAAAAUUAACGAAUCAUUUUUUACCUUAUAAUAAUUAGUAAAUAAUAAAUUGAUGUUUUACCGAAAAAAUUGUUCGAAUAUUAAUAAAUUAUUCUGUGAACUCGUCAUAUUCAUAAUUUAAAAUCCGUAUUUAAUAAAAUUUUAAAUUUAUGAACAAAUUUGCUAGAAAUUCUUAUUCUACCUACAAUUUUUGGAAAUGGCACUACUCUUUUCGAUAGAGAGUCCAAGCAAGAAAAUGAGAUUUGACUACAUCGUUAGGACCCUUAUGUUCUAUGACCGAAGGAGCACCACUCGACAUUACGAGAGUCUUCCUCUUAGUCCAAUACUCUCCAGUCCAUCAGUCACUAGAAGAACCAAAACAUUGACAAAUAAAGUUUCACAUAAAAUGUAUCUUGAUGCAUCAAAGUUUCUCAUCUUGGUAUUUGGUGUAACUUGCUUCCUCAUCAAAGGAGUAUGAAACGAAACAAUGACGAAACUCUAAACCGGAAUUAAAAUCAUCGUUGAUCAAACCAAAAAACCGGAAAACCAAAGGAAAAUAAUGAACCGGUUUUAUUACAGACAUCAUCAAACUGUGUCGUAUAAUAGAGUUACGGUCGGCGAUAAAGUUUGGAUUUUUAAACGCAUUUUGAAGUAUAAUAAAUUUAAUAAUACAAGUGAGAGGACCUGGCUGGCCAGACCGAACACAUUAUAAGAAAACAAUAUUAAAAUAAGGGAAUAAAAAUAAAAUAAAAUAAAAUAAAAAGAAUUGAGAAAAAAAAAAAAAAAAGAUUGAUCAGGCAUCGGAGAGAAGAGAGAAUGAUAGAUAACUGGAUCACGAGAAGACACAAAUCACAAAGAAGAAGAAAGAAAACAAAAAUUAAGAAGAAGAAUUAACAAUUCGUAUUGAGCCAAAUCCUAAAGCUCGAUUCUUUUAUUUUUAUAUCUGGGAAAGUCAAUAAACCAACAACGACAACGAAGAGAGGUUUUGGAAGAACUUGAAUGUGAUUUUUCUUUAUUUUUUUUGGGUAAGUUUGUUGUUCUCUUAUUCAUCGUUAUAUCUCUUGUUGACCUUUUAAUUGUUGCAAUCGGUGAAUUUUGUUGGUUUUUUUCUUCCCCCAUAAAUUCGUAAUCUUGUUUCUGAUCUCUGGUUGUAAAUGUAUGUUUUUAAAAUUUGAUUUUGGGUUUUUAGAUUGCGAUUGUUUCAGGAUUAGAAUCGAAAGUUUAGAUUUUUAAUGUUUUGGGGAGUGACGAUUUUUAUAUUUCCUGUGUUUGGAGAGUGAGUAAAGAAGAAUGAACAAAAUAUGGUUUUUUCCUGUAAUAAAUUUAGGGAUUUUUCUCCUUUUCAGCUUCUUGAUUGUGUUUAUAGUAUACUAUUUGGAUAUCUUGAGUUUUACUGGAUUGUGAUUUUUAUUUCAGAUGAAUCUGUUCUUCUAGGGGAUUGUUUGUUUUGGGGAAUGAUCAGAGAAGAAUCUGAGUAUUGUAAACUAUGUGGAAACAGAUUAUAAGUAAGCUUCCUAAGAAGUCUUCUUCUAAGAACCAUUCUUCAUCUACUCCCAGUGCUUCUACUUCCAAAACUAGUGAUAAUGGCGCUGGGAAAUCGGGUAAUUCUCACGCCAAGAACGCUCCUGCUGUUAAACCUGCUGCUGCUGAUUCGGGGUUUAAAGACGGGAAUUUGAAAGGAAACGGGACUGGUUUCUCGCCGUAUGAAGCUUUGCCUAGUUUUAAAGAUGUUCCAAAUGCAGAGAAGCAGAACUUGUGUUUGAGAAAACUCAACUUGUGCUGUCUAGUGUUUGAUUUCUCGGAUCCAACUAAGAAUGUGAAGGAAAAGGAGAUCAAGCGGCAGACAUUGCUUGAUCUUGUGGAUUAUGUUGCUUCUCCGGGUGGGAAGUUUAGCGAAAUGGCUAUCCAAGAAGUGGUUAAAAUGGUUUCUGUUAACAUUUUCAGAACCUUGAAUCCUCAACCGCGAGAGAAUAAGGUUAUUGAUGCCUUAGAUUUGGAGGAAGAGGAGCCUUCUAUGGAUCCUGCUUGGCCUCACUUGCAACUUGUCUAUGAGAUCCUCCUGAGGCUUAUUGCUUCACCUGAGACAGAUACAAAGCUGGCUAAGAAAUACAUCGACCAAUCUUUUGUCUCACGGUUACUGGAUUUAUUUGAUUCCGAGGAUCCUAGAGAAAGAGACUGUCUUAAAACCGUUCUACAUCGCAUCUAUGGUAAAUUCAUGGUUCAUCGUCCUUUCAUAAGGAAAUCCAUUAACAACAUUUUCUAUCGGUUUGUUUUCGAGACUGAGAAACACAAUGGGAUUGCUGAGUUUCUAGAGAUUUUGGGAAGUAUCAUCAAUGGAUUUGCUCUGCCGCUUAAAGAAGAGCAUAAAGUGUUUCUUGUUCGAGCUUUGGUACCUCUCCACAAACCGAAAUGCUUACAAAUGUAUCAUCAGCAAUUGUCUUAUUGUAUCACACAGUUUGUGGAAAAAGAUUGCAAACUUGCUGAUACAGUUAUAAGGGGAUUACUGAAGUCUUGGCCUGUCACUAAUAGUUCCAAAGAAGUCAUGUUUCUAAACGAGCUAGAGGAAGUAUUAGAAGCAACUCAGCCACCUGAAUUCCAACGGUGUAUGGUUCCAUUGUUUCGCCAAGUUGCUCGGUGUUUGAACAGUCUGCACUUUCAGGUAAUUUUCUUUAUAAUGUUUCAUAUAUUUCCGGAUUGCAUUUACAGUUUUCUAAUUCCGAGAAAGUAGAAUGAUGAGAACAGUUUCAUCAUAAGAUUGAAUUGUGUGAUAUUUGAUAGCGUAGUAGCUUUGUGACUAUUUCUGUUAGGCACAGAUCAAUUAGUACCUGCGUGCUCAUUGUCAAUGUUGUAAUGAGAGCUCAAGUCUUUAUACAAGAAAGAACAAAAAGGUUGAGUCUUUUUUGAUUUUUUUUGCAGGUUGCAGAAAGAGCUUUGUUUCUAUGGAAUAACGAUCAUAUCGAGAAUCUAAUAAUGCAGAACCGUAAAGUUAUUCUUCCUAUCAUUUUCCCUGCAUUGGAAAGAAACACUCAGAAGCAUUGGAACCAAGCUGUUCAUAGCUUAACGCUGAACGUGCAGAAGAUAUUUAAUGACAUUGAUGCAGAGUUGUUUAAGGAUUGUCUUGGCAAGUUUAGAGAAGAUGAAUCAAAAGAAGCUGAAAUUGGGGCAAAACGUGAAGCCACAUGGAAACGGUUGGAAGAAAUUGGGAACCAAAAGCAAAAGAGUUCGUUGUAAGAUGUUUUAGUUGUAGAGAGAGAGGUUUUUGUUCUGUAUUUUUCUCGUUUUUAUUACAUUGGAAUAUUUGUUUUGUUUUUUUUUGUUUUUUUCUCUCCGGACAACUUAGUGAGAAAAGGUUUCAGAUUCGUCUUCUUUGAAGAGACUGCGAAGAUGUAAGAUCUUUUUUCUUUGUUUGUUAAAGCUUGCUAAUGGGUUCUCGAUCACAACAUUGUCCAAUCUAUUUAUUCUCGAGACCACUUUGAUUCAUAACAUAUAAAACGUAGUCACUACCGAUAUAGCAAAACUAUGUAACAGUAAUGUUGAAGACAAAUGUGAAUUAAAUAUGGUCUUAAACUUAGUCUUAAGAAAUGCACCAGUUCCAAAUACAACAAAGAGAGUAAUUAAGCAAGGUUUUAGAUAUGAGAUAUUAAACUCUGGAAAUAAGGAACAACUCUAUAACAAGAAAGAUGAUCGUACAUUAGGGAGUAAGAUUUUGUUUGUGGAUCAUACUUCACCAAACCAUUACCAAAACGAUGUCUCAGUAGGAUCUCCUUGUUCUUCAAUAUCGCCGCCGGUGUGCAUGGCCGAAUCACAUUCAUGCGGGUCCAAGCAAAACAAACCCUUCCAGAUACGGACCAUGAAGAACAAGAUCGAAGAUCUAUAGUAUAAAUCUUAAUCCAUGUCUCUUCUGAUGAUAAUUGCAAGCUCCAAAUCUCUUGCAUCAUAGUACGGCGCUUUCUCUUGGACAUGCACAGACGAUUAUCCAAAAUGCAAAGGUCGAUAUGGUCUGGAUGUGAGCGAGAAACCGGAUUCUUAGGCAACAAUCGAAAAGUUUCACUUUCAAGAUCAAAAACUAUAACUUUGGUUUCGCCAUUGUAUCGUUCUGUGAGCCAAUACACUAAUCCGUUUGUGGACACUGGCGAUUGAUCGUUAAAUAUCCGGUACCUUGGAGUGCAAGUCAAGUAUCUCCAAACAUUUGCCCUAAAACUGAAAACCUCACACUUGGUAAAUCCUUCGUUUAAACUCAUAGCGUCAGAAUUGUAUAUAUCGGAAUUAUAUAACCACACCAAUUUAUAACCACUCAGCAUGGCCUUUGCAAACGCUAGUAAAGGGAUUGGCUUAACGUCUGUGAUAGUUUCCCGAGUGUAUGUUGCCUUUUGCAUUAAUAUCUGAAACCUAGCUUCAGGAAUUUGGCGGAACCAACUAGUUGUCGGGUUAACUACGUAUAUAUAGGCUUCCCUGUCCGCGUAUAUACAAACAAGACCAUUGCAGCUUUCAGAAAUUUUGAUUAAAUGUCGUCGAGGGAUGUUGAGAAGAUUGAAGACUCGAACAGGAUUUGAUUCCAAGCAAAGUGUCUUAAACACGUUAUAUUGUUCAUUUGUGGAGGCAAAUAGGAAUUUCGGAUGAUCAUGUUUGGAUUGUUCAACGAGCCUUAAGUGUUUCUCCGCGAAACAUCGAGACUCAAUAGUUGAUUUCCAUUGUUUUGAAACGACUUUGAAUCGAAUGUUUGAUUUGACCGGAAGCCUCAAGAGGAUCUCCUCAAGGACGUCGUAUGGUAGUACGCAUACUCCUUGAUCGUGAUUAACUCUCUUGUCUUUCUCCAUUCUUGACUUCUUGUUAUGAUAAUCAAUGAAGAGAAUGCCUUCUCAUCUUUAUAUAUAUAUUUCAUUAAGAACCCAAAUAGAGAAUAAUAUCUAAAUAUAUUAAUAAAUACAGAAAAUUAUUAGUAAACUAAAAUUUUAGUUAGAUUUUAUAAAACACAUGUCAAAUAGAAUUAGAGUUUGGUAUUCCCAAUAUUGUAUCCACAUCAUAUAUUUUUACUGUUAUUUUUCAACAAUUUAGAUAGAAUGAGAUAACUAAAAUAUAUUAAUUGUUAAAUCUAGUUAUAAUAUAUAAAAAAAUUCUAUAUUUUCAAAGCAUAUAUAAAUGAAUGACCAUUUGGGCCCAGAUAUUAAAGCUAAAUCUCACCUAGAGCCCAGUCCAGACAGUUUUCUUACACCAGCCCCUAUAAAUUAAAAAAAAAUAAAAUAUAUAUGACAAUUUCUGGAAAUUUUAACCAUUUCUGGAAAUUUUAACACAAACAAUUUUAAGACCUUGAAUGUUUUACCAGACAUUGUAAAAAAAUUUUGGCUUUAGUUUUUGGAAAAGAAACCUCAUUUGUACCAACUCAAGUGGUUUCUCUAAAACCAAAUUUGGAAGAUUUUAACCAUUGAUCAGUUUGCCAAUUAGAAAAAACAAUUGAGUGACAAUGUGAAAACCAUCAUCUUAUUUGAGUUUUCACUUUUCCUAAACAGUUUAUUGACAUGAUAAUAUUAUUUCACCCAUUUAUAUUGUUUGUUUAGUUUUAGAAAAAAUACGAAAAUCCAAAACCAAAAACUAAAACCCAAAUUAAAUCCCAAAAACCAAAUAAAAACUAUAACCCAAUGGUAGCAUUGCUUACUCGUUGAUUAAAAAGAAAAAAGUUUUAAAACCUUGGUUAAUGUAUAUGAUCGAAAUAGGUCACAGUAUAACAGAAUCCUAGUCAGUAGUCACAAUAUCGAUGGAAAACUUUAAUAUAUACACGUAAUUCUAAAUUAGGUAUAGAUUAAUUACGGUGUGUGGAAGAAAGCCACAGCCCUAAUAGCACAAGUUUUUCCUAGUAAGCCAUAUGCAUGCAUAACGACAUAUACACUAGAUUCAAAGACGGUAAUACGUUCUUCUUUUAUUUAGCGUAAACCUUAUUUAUUUUUUUGUCAUUUGUUAUUUUUUUCCACCUAUAUUCUUAUGUUUUCCUUAUGUUUUACUUAUUUUUAUCUUAGCAUUUACCUUUUUUUUAAAAUAUAAAAGUAUUGUUAAAUAAGAAUGGUACGUAUGUAAUAUUCUUUUAUAUUCAUAUUACAGUAUAUAAGCUAAGCUUUUUCAUAUAGUUUUUGAUUCAUAUUUCAUUUAAAUUCUAAUUAAAAUAAUAAAUAAUUUUGCACAAAUUAUAAAUUUCUUAAUUAUGUUACGGAAAUAUGUAAUAAGAUGGUUCCCUCUUUUCAUAGUUACAAACUUACAAUGUCUUAGUGGCGUAAUUCGUCAAGAUUCAGCUAAUUAUUAUUUUUUGCAAACGAAAGAAAUUAAACUUCAAACUUUUUUAAUAGCUUAUCACACAAAGAACAAUUGACGAAAAUCAUUACUAACACACAUAGUUUAACAUAAGAAUCAAUCUCUCAUGAUUCCCACUUGGCUCUCAGCUUAUCAACAUGUUUAAACUCAAAUGUCAACACUAAACUCCCAGCCGUUCUCCUCAACUCAAAGCUCUCCACCAACACAUAACAUCUAUAACUUUUCCAAUUCGAACCGCUUCCAUCAAUUCUCUCAGAUUUCUUAACCACUGCUCUUCUCGGUUCACUCUUCCACCCGAAUCUCUCCUCUUCCCAUUUCAUCUUCUCGGUAACCGCAGAUCUCAAACCAAUCCUCUUGUCAGCAACCUCAAACCAAACAACCCCAUUGUCGUCCACACUUCUUGCCCUGUUUCCAAUAUCUUGUCCCUCAAGCUUCACGACUUGUGUUUCCACUUCAACAUCAACAACAACCUCGCGCUUUUCGUCAUUUUGGCAAGAGUAAACCUCUUCCCAUCUUUGGAUAAGAAUCAUGCUAUAGUAAGUUGAAUUCUUAAACUGAUGCUUUGCAUCUCUUUCCUUGACAAAUAUGAAAGGGACAUACCAUUUCCCUACCACAACGCUUGCACUAAAAUCACCUGGUAGCUCAGAACGAAUAUUAGUGUAAAUACCUUUCGCAUCAUCUCUUAGACCAAAGUCUUCUGAUGUUGAGUACUUAACAGUCCAAUUCUUCCUCUUAAGAAACUCUGGUGGUAUCCCGUCAGGUGCAACGGAUGUGGCAAAGUACUUUCCAGACACUGAUUUCUUUUGAUGGAUCUCAAAUUGUUGGUAUAUAUCAUUAGGAUCUGGUUGUUGUGGCUUAGCUUCAGGAACAUAGCUGAGGCAAAAGCAGCUUGGGACUCUGUCUUCCUCUUUCGCAUUUGCGGAAGCUUCUCUACAACACAAAACAUUUUUUCUUUAGAUUUUCUAAUAGACACCCUCGUAUGCAAUUUCUUGUGAAUUACAUCAAAAAUCAAGAAAGUUGAAAAAUAUUGCUUAAAUUAUCUAUAAGUCAUACCCUGAGUGUUUCCCGCUUCGCAUAAUGGUGUAGUAACGGUUUGAAGAUAACGGCUGAUCAAGUACCGGAAUGAAAAUGACCGGAUCACGAUCAGUUAUAACGACGACGGGAGAUUGAUCACUUACGGUGGUAUAUUUCACAGUCAGCUUAGCGUUCUGUGGGAAUGGUAAGCCUUUGAGUCCACCCUCGUAGCAAGAUCCGAAGCAACAAGUUGGUCUUGACUCUUCAUCUUGAAUCACAAGCACACCGGAGUUUGGACUUUCCAACAACUCCGAUCUGUUUCUUUGGCAUUCCGACAAGCGCCUUGUAACGUACAUGUUUUUUUGUUAUAAUCGGUAGAGAUAUUUCAGUGGUUUUUGUGAUUCGUGUGAGGUCGUGUGAUUGGGUCUUUAUAGUAGGAUAAGAAGAAGAAACAGAAUUUUGCAACCCCAAAAACGAAAUAUAAUCAAAUAAGAAAAAAGAAAUGAAACUUUAACGACUAUUCUACGAUCUUGACUUGGGAAGUCUUGUAUUUUCUGGCAGUUUCUAAGUAACAUCACAAUUAUUUAAAAAGUCAGUCUCUUCACGUUGUAUUAUUAUCUUUAUACUUCAUUGAGAACAACGUUGUGACUUGUGUGACCCAAUAGUCACGUUAAUAUAAAUUAUGGAUAGGAAAAUAAAAUAAAAUGAGACCAUAAGUUUAUUAUUACAUGAACUUGCACAAAACUUAUUCUUAAAUUUGCACAAAAGAUUACACACAUAAAAAACCUAACACAGAAUGAAACUCAAUCCCACUUGCUGUUUACCUUAUCAACAUGUUUAAACUCAUACGUCAACACCAAACUCCCAUCCAUCCUCUUCAAUUCAAAGCUCUCUAUCAAUACAUAACAUCGAUAACUCUUCCAAUGCGAUGAACCGCCUUCAAAUCUCUCUGAUCUCUUAAUUUUAGACCUUUCUCCUCUGUUUAACCACCCAAACUUUUCUUCUUCCCAUUUCAUCCUCUCCACGACCACAGACCCAAGACCUAUCUUCUUGUCUUGUUUCUCAUCCCUUAAGACACUAAACCAAACAACUCCAUCACCUUUGUUCUCUCUCAAAUGAGUUUCUUGUCCGUCAACCUUCACCACUUCUGUUUCUACAUCAACAUCAACUACAACCUCAAAACGUUCAUCGCGGAUGUUUUCGCAGAAGAAAACUUCUUCCCACUUUUGUUGAAGCGUCACGCUGUAAAACGUUGAUUUCUUCAUUUGAUCUUUUACAUCUCCUUCCAUAACAAACAUGAAAGGAACAUACCAUUUCCCUACUACAACACUCUUACCUAUACUAGUAAGGUCUGAGUCUAAGCGAAGCUUUGUGAUAAUCCCUUUUGCAUCAUCUACUAGACCAAAGUCUUGUGAAGUCGAGUAACUGACCGACCAAUGUUUUCUCUUCAGGUAAUAUGGUGGCACACCAUCAGAAGCAACUGAAGUGGCAGAGUAAUAGAGAGAUGAUGGUCGGCUUGAAUGAAUCUCGAAUUGUUGGUAUAUAUCAUACGGAUCUGCUUGUUGUGGCUUAGCUUCAGGAACAUAGCUAGAGAAACAGCAGCUUGAAACUCUCUCUUCCUCUUUUGCACUUGCAGAUGCUUUCCUGUGAUCACAGUUAAGCAAAACUUAGAUAAAUGGUGUUUUAUCUUAUGCAAAUCACAAAAAAUGUCUGGUCUUUUUAAGUAAACAUUUAAGAAGUGUAAAAAUGUAAACCUUAAGCAUUACUAAAUUUUGAAGAAAACAUAUAAAAAAGAGUGAAAAUAUUGAAAUUACAAGUAAUAAUUACCCAGUAUGCUUCCCACGUCUUUGUAUAACAUAGUAAAGGUUGGAAGACAAUGGCUGAUCAAGAACAGGGAUGAACACAACUGGGGUAUGAUGUGUCUGGCUUCCUCCUCCUGAUCCUGCUCCACCUCCUCCUCCACUGCUAUACGUUGCUGCAAGCUUCACGUUUUGUGGAAACGGCAAGCCUUUAAGCCUACCUUCGUAGCAAGAACCAAAGCAGCAAGUUGGUUGUGAUUCUUCAUCUUGAAUCACCAUUAUGCCCGAGUUUGGACCUUCUGGUGGAAGCAGUUUCAGCUCCGAUGGGUUUCUCUGGUAUUCCGAUAAACGCCUUGUUACAUACAUUAUUUAAAUUUAAUUCUUGUGAUGCUGAUACUUGGAGAAAGAUCAUAGAUAUAUAUAUAAGCUUAUACUUAAGCUACUUCUUUGUAGAAUAGAUUUGACUUUUUGAUGAUAGAAUCUAAUCACGUUGCAGGCAAAUUUCUUGGAAGGUUGUUAUUUCAUCUAGUGUCUUUAUACAAUAGCAUAAAACUAAAAUGAACAGAAGUCUUUGUAUUUGAUUUGACUUUAUGCAAGAAUCUGUAAUGCAGAGUAUGUGACGAUAACUUCAUUGACAAGGUUUUGUACCGGUUUUAAUCACAUAGUUUACGAAACUUGAUAUGUUAUAGGAUUUAGGUUUUGACUGAUUCUCGAACUUGUGAUAUUUUCUUUGCUAAGAAGGUCAACAAAUCCAUCAUGAAGAGUAGUAUCAAGCAAACCAAACUUAUAUUUAGUUAUAUGUAGUUUAUACAUGAUAUUAAAUGCGACCUUGAGAUUAUUAUUGCAUAAACUUACAUAAACUUAAUUACCAAAUUAAUUAUUGAAACAAGAUUAGAUGACAAACAAUGAAACAGAACAAAAGAUGAAUGAAACUCAAUCCCACUUGCUCUUUACCUUGUCAACAUGUUUAAACUCAUACGUCAACACCAAACUCCCAUCCAUUCUCUUCAAUUCAAAGCUCUCUGUCAAUACGUAACAUCGAUAAUUCUUCCAAUGCGAUGAACCAUCUUCAUAUAUCUCUGAUCUCUUAAUGUUGGAUCUUCCACCUUUGUUUAACCACCCAAACCUUUCCUCUUCCCAUUUCAUCCUCUCCACUACAACAGACCCAAGACCUAUCUUCUUGUAUUCUAUCUCAUCCCCUAAGACACUAAACCAAACAACUCCAUCACCUCUGUUCUCUCUCAAAUGAGUUUCUUGUCCCUCAAGCUUCACCACUUCUGUUUCUACAUUAACAUCAAGUACAACCUCUGCCCCUUUCUCGUUGUAGUUAACGUUUUCACAUGAGUAAACCUCUUCCCAUCUUUGUUUAAGCGUCAUGCUGUAAUAAGUGGAGCUCUUAACCUGAUCCUUUGCUUUUCUUUCACGAAUAUGAAAGGGACAUACCAUUUCCCUACCACAACGCUUGUAUUCACAUCGUUGGGAAGCUCGGAACGAAGCGUAGUGUUAAUCCCCUUGGCAUCAUCUGUCAAACCAAAGUCUUGGGAAUUAGAGUACCCAGCGGUCCAAUACUUUCUCUUAAGGAACUCUGGUGGUAUCCCAUCAGGAGCAACAGAAGUGGCAGUGUAAUACCGAGAUGAUCCUUGGCGUUGAUGGAUCUGGAAUUGCUGAUACAUGUCAUAAGGAUCUGCUUCUUGUGGCUUAACUUCAGGAACAUAGCUAAAGCAAAAGCAGCAAGGGGCUCUGUCUUCCUCUUUUGCACUUGCUGAAGCUCCUCUGCAAUUCAAACAUCACAAGAAAAAUGUUAGUUUCCUUUUAUGAAUUCACCUUUUUAGGCAAGUUAGGUAUUUCAGUUAGAAAAUUUAUGGUCAUACCCUAAGUGCUUCCCGCGUCGAUGAAUGACAUAAUAACGGUUCGAAUAAUAAGGCUGAUCAAGAACCGGAAUGAACAGAACCGGAUCAUGGUAACUGCGUCUGUCGUUACCAGCUCCAGUUCUGUAAAUCACAGUCAGCUUCGCGUUCUGUGGGAACGGUAGGCCUUUGAGUUUACCAUCGUAGCAAUUACCGAAGCAACAAGUCGGCUUUGACUCUUCAUCUUGAAUCACAAGUACGCCGGAGUUUGGACCUUCCGGGGACGAUUGUGUCGAGUUUCUCUGGUAUUCCGAGAGAUGCCUUGUAACAUACAUCUUGAAUUCAGAAUCUUUAAGGUAAGGUAAUUGAUUAGAAAUAUAGAGAUGUGAUAUGUUUAUAUAUAGCACCAUGUCUUGAGGAUUAAGUCGUAAGUAAAUUUUACAAGUUAUUGUUUAAAGACUUUUACAAGUUAGAAUUCCAAAGUUAUGACCUUGACCUGGUUUUGAAAACCUAUAAUGGAGAAUCAUUCAAACAAUUUAUAGAUUCGAUAUUAGGUAAGACAUACAUGAUUGGGGUAUUGAUGUUCUAGAAUCAAACACAUGAACUUGCAGAAAGCUUUCAUUAAAUGAUCACACCACACCACACCAUAAGUUGCAUACAUAACACACAAAAGUUGCAUAAACCGUUCAUUAAAAUGAACAAACCAUAAGUUGCACACAUAACACACUUAGAAGCUUAUAUAAACUCAAUCCCACUUGCUCUUCAACUUCUCAACAUGUCUAAACUCAUACGUCAAUACCAAACUCUCAUCAGUUCUCUUCAAUUCAAAGGUCUCUACCAGUACAUAGCAUCUAUAACUCUUCCAAUGUGGUCCACCGCCUUCAAAUUUCUCAGAUCUCUUAAUGCUAGACCUCAUCUGAUCGGUUUUGUUAGACCACCCGAACCUCUCCUCUUCCCAUUUCAUUCUCUCCAAGACUACGGAACCAAGACCUAUCUUCUCAGUCCCUGAGACACUAAACCAGACAACUCCAUCUGAAUCCACACCUUUUGUCUCUCUUGCAAUCUUCCCUCCUUCAAGCUUAACCACUUCUGUUUCUACCUCCACAUCAACUACAACGUCACAAAGUUUAUUGCCGACGUUUUCGCAGAAGAAAACCUCUUCAAAUCUUUGGUGAAGGGUCAUGCUGUAAUACAUUGAUUUCAUCAUCUGACUUUUUGCAUCUCCUUCCUUUACAAAUAAGAAUGGAACAUACCAUUUACCAACUACAACUCUCUUAUCAAAAUCAGGAAGCUCAUAGCGUAGCUUUGCAUCAACUACGCCCUUUGCAUCAUCAUUCAAACCAUAGUCUUCGGAAGACGAAAAAGGAACCGUCCAACCUUUUCUCCUCAGGAACCGAGGUGGUAUUCCGUCUGAAGCAACAGAUGUAGCCAAAAACUUUCGGGUUGAUGAUCCUCUUUGAUGAAUCUCAAAUUGUUGGUAUAUGUCAAAAGGAUCGAGAGGCCUUGGCGUUGCAUUAGAGACAUAAGUAAAGCAAAGGCAACAAGAAACUCUGUCCCCUUCCUUUGCACUAACACAUGCUUCUCUGCAAUACCAAUCAAAGUAUAAAAAAGUGUAAGAAUUUAAGCUUAUAUGAAUGCAGGCCGCCGAACUUCUAGCUUAACUAAAACUAAAGUGAUAACAUUAGUAUCUAUAGAACUUUAAACUUGCACAUUUAUCUAAUAAAAUCAUACCCUGCAUGUUUCCCUCUUCGCCUUAUAACGUAGUAAAGAUUGGAGGAAGGAGGCUGAUGAAGAACAGGGAUGAAGGCAACCGAGUCAAGCAACACAAUUCUGUCAUCUCCACCUAUAUUAUAAUCAAAGCUCAGAUAAUAAACAGAGAAGAAAUAGAAACAGAGUUAAGGAAGAAGUUUGCAAAAAUAUUUAAUUAAACAGAAAACUAACUUCCAAUUUGGUAUUUGACACUGACUCUUGCGUUCUGAGGAAACGGCAAACCAUUCAGAUCACAAUCAAAGCAUUUGCCAAAACAGCACGUAGGCUGUGAUUCUUCGUCUUGAAUCACCAAUACGCCGGAGUUUGGACCAUCCGUUGGAAGCAAAGUGAGUUCUGACGGGUUUCUUUGGUAUUCAGACAAACGCUUUGUCACAUACAUUUUCUCCUUGAUUCUUUGUUACUUAAGAUCUAACCUGCCAUAGUUUAUAUAAAACAAAGGAACUUAAGAACGUGCAAGGAAGUUUACUAAGCUAUUGUUUACAAAUAUAAUCUGAUCUUUGACCCAAUCUGAAGUUUGACUUAACAUUUGUCAGAAUCUCCUGUGGAUGAGUACUAAGAACAUAGAGAAAACUCAAUAUUUUAUUGGAAAAGCUUAAGAUAAUAACCAAAUACAAUAACCACACUGACCAAUUGAAGUUCACGUCAUUGAGAUUACAAAACCUUUGGGAGAUUCGUUGCUUGAGAAACUGAAUCCCAUUUGGUUUUGACCUUAUCGACGUGAGUAAACUCAUAUGUUAAGACCAAACUUCCAUCCAUCCUCUUCAACACAAAGCUCUCUAUCAGAACAUAACACUGAUAACUCGUCCAAAAGCUACCAUCUUUUGAUUUCUUCAAUCUCUUACCCGCCAUUGCUGGCUCCUGGUCACCUUUGCUUGUCCACCCAAAUCUCUCUUCUUCCCAUUUCAUCCUCUCAACAACAACUGAUCCUAAACCAAUCUUUUCGUCUCCAACCCCAAACCAGACAAACCCGUUUGUCUCCACACCUCUUUCAAACUCUUGUCCCUCAAGCUUAACAACUUCUGUUUCUCCUUCUACUUCAAAUACAACAUCAUGCUUCCCGCUUUUGUCGUUAUCACAAGAAAAAACUUCUUCCCAUCUUUGUUCAAGAGUCAUGCUGUAAUAUAUCGAAUUCUUGAUCUGAUCCUUAGCAUCUCUUUCUUUCACGAAUAUGAAAGGGACAUACCACUUCCCAACCACAAUGCUCAUACCAAGUUUCGGAAGCUCGGCACGAAGCUCUGUGUUGAGUCCUUUUGCAUCAUCUGUCAGUUUAAAUUCUGGGGACCUCAAGCAUUCAGCCAUCCACUCUCUUUUCCUGAGAAACCAUGGUGGGACCCCGUCAGGAGCAACAGAUGUUGCGUAGUAAUAACGCGGACGUGAAGAUGGAUCCGUUUGAUGGAUCUCAAAUUGUUGGUAUAUGUCAAAAGGAUCAAGCUGUUUAUGUUUAGCUUCAGCAACUUCCUUAAUACAAAAGCAGGAGGUAACUAUAUCUUCCUCUUUCGCACUACCAGCCGCUUCACUGCAAAGCAACCAAAGAAUUAUAAACUUUGUAGGUUAUAUAUAAGAAGGAAAGAUUCCAGAAUUUUAGAUUUUGUGGAUUCAAAUUUUCUUACCCUGAAUGCUUCCCAUGUCGUUUAAUUGCAUAAAAACAAUUUGAAGAUAUUGGCUUAUCAAGAACAGGAAUGAACACAACAGGGUCACGAGUACUGUCAUCCCCUCCGGUAUUAAAUGUGACUGCUAGCUUAAGAUUUUGCGGCAAUGGCAAACCAUUUAGAUGAGAGUCCACCACCAACCACGAGUUGAAGCAGCAUGAAGCCUGUAUAUAUGAGUCUUGGUCUUGGAUUACCAAAAUUCCAGAGUUAGGACCCUCAGGAGGGGGCCGUGUUAGCUCUGCUGGAUUCCUCCGGUAAUCUGACAAACGCCUUGUAAUGUACAUUUUCACUUAUCUGUAUAAAAGUAAACCAAACCGAGUUGUGGGAUUUAGAGGAAAACUUGAUCAUAUAUUAUAGACAAAACAACUCUGUCGAACAGCACUUGACAAGAUGACUUGACUUUUCAUGAUGGCUCGUUGCAGGAAACUUCAAGGAAACUAACUUGAUAUCAUAAAGAUCUUAGGCAUACCCUAAAUGUCACCUCCUCAUCAAGUGUCUUUAAAAUAAGAUAAGCAAGGUCUUUGCCUCUCUGUAUCAUGACACCACUCUGCAUCAUGAAGAUUCUGUCCACACCUUUUGCAUCAUCACUCAAACCAAAAACUUUCCGGAGUCAAGUAGUAUUCAAAACUACAAUCACUCUAACUAAAUUCCCAUUGUAGCCAAUUCCAGGCAUUAACCAUAAAUUUUUAAACCAAAGGGUUCCAAAAGUCAAGCAACCCAACCAUCUCAAACCUUCAUCUGUUACGAAUAACAAAAGUGGCAAAGUCUCGUUGUGACAGAAACAGCAAUAAUCCUACAAGAACAUACUCUGAAAUCACUAAAAACGAUCCAAUUUUUCACCAGCUGCUCAAUCCAUGAACUCAAAAAACAUAUUUAUAUAAAAGUACCAUUCUUGAUAGAGUAGCCAAGAAGAAUUAAGAUCCAAGAUCGAUUGUACCGUUCUUCAUCGAGUUGCCAAGACAAAUUAGGACCAAAAGCUGCCUGCUUUUGCUUUUGUAUCGUCUGAGCGAGAAGUGACAUUGUAUUCUUCUUCAGUUCCUUGGGUUUUCGAAUCUGGCUCUAACCCAUGAGCCAAUUGAGCUCAACUAUGAAUCUUCCGGCAGAGACAUCGUUACCUCCUCCGGCGGGUGUAACCAUAAAGGUCUCUUUUUUUUAUGUUUUGUGUUAAAAACACUCAAUUUCCUACCCAAAAAAUUAUUACAAAAAAUAAAACUCAAUUCUUUUAUGUUUGUUUUAAAUAGAGUUUACACUUUUACGAUCUCAUCAAUUCAAUGCAAGUGUAAACAAUAAAAAUGAAGCUCAAGUCAAUAUUGAAUAGUCCUCAACUUAUCAGCAUGUGUAAACUCAUACGUCAACACCAAACUCUCAUCCAUUCUCUUCAAUUCAAAUCUCUCAACCAAUACAUAACAUUUAUAACUCUUCCAAUGCGAUGAACCGCAUUCGAACCGAUCAAAUCUCUUAAGCUUUGCUCUGUUUCCGUCUAUCUUCUUCCACCCAAAACUCUCCUCUAAGCUUUCAAUCCUCUCCACAACCACUGACCUUAAACCUAUCUUCUUGUCUUGUCCUUCUUGAUCUUUAAUUUGGAACCAAACUAAACCUUUACCAUCCACAUUGGUUGUUUCUAUAUUGAUCUUUUGUCCCUCAACGUUAAUCACUUUAACUUCGACAUCAACGUCGACAACAACCUCAACACAAUCUUCAUUGUCAACAUUCUCGUACAAGAAAACCUCUUCCCACCUUUGAUGAAGCGUCAUGUUGUAAUACAUUGAUAUCUUCACUUGCUCUAUUAUGUCUCCUUCCUUCACAAAUAUGAAAGGCACGUACCAUUUCCCUACGACGACGCUUAUAUCAAGACCGGGGAGCUUAGAACGAAGCUCUACGUCAAGACCCUUUGCGUCAUCUAUGAGACCAAAGUCUUGUAGGGUCGAAGUCGAGUUUUCUAUUGCCCAGCCUUGUCUCAUUAGGAACGCAGGUAGUAACGCAUUAGGAUCAACGGGCUUUGCGAAAUAGUAACAACGGAAAUACGAUGAGGUAGUUGUGAUUACGACUUGCUGUUGAAUGUCAUAAGGAUCUGGCUGUGGCUUCUUAUACAUAUGAACAUGGUUAAAUCUAAUGCAGAAGCAACAUGUGACUCUCUCCACCUCUCUUUCAUUACUAUUAGAUGAUUCUCUGCAUGCAAAAAAAAUACAAGCGCUUUUUGAGAUUUUCAAAGCAUAUUAAUCUGGCAUAUUUGUUUCAAUACGAAAAUCAAGAAAGAUUGUCAAAUUACACAUGCAACCAUCCUAAAUAGUCAUACCUCGAGUAAUACCCGCACCGUUCAUAUGUGUAAUAACGGUUAGAAGAUAGAGGUUGACCAAGAACAGGUAUGAACACAACCGGAUCACGAUGAACAGUAUUGUUCUGUCCACCGUCGUCGCGUCUCACGGUCAACGCUGCGUUCUGCGGAAACGGUAAUCCUCUGAGGAAAGUCUCGUAGCAAAAACCAAAGCAACAAGUGGUCAACGAUUCUUCAUCUUGAAUCACAAGUAUGCCAGAGUUUGGACCUUCCGGUGGAGGCUUCUUAAGUUCCGACGGGUUUUUCCGGUACUCCGAUAAACACCUUGUAACAUACAUGAUGUUGUGUUUUAUGAUUUGUGUAAACAUAUAUUAUUAAUGGACAUUAUUAUAGGUUGCUGAAAUAUGUUGACUUUUGGUUGGUCAAAACUAUGCGCUGACUAUUCCUAAGUAGAAUGUUUUUGAAUAAAGGAAAUAGGAGGAGGAACUCAAUGCGUAAUUUCUAUAGGGUUUUAAAUUGCGAGCACAUAUAUGCCUUAUAGAACUCUUUGUUGUAGUCGUAUUACAAAAGUCAUAAAAGUCAACCAAUUCCUCAUGGGCUUGCAAACCAAAUUCAGUAACUAAUAUACUUUACUUAAUAUUUCAAAAAUAGUUUUCGUAUUUUCCCAAUGCAUAAAGCCAAAACUAGAACAUUAUACAAAAGUUCUACAUAAAUUCAACUAACACCGAUCAAACAAAGACAACAAUUGAUAAAGAAGAAAUACAUCACCGAUCUAACUUGGUCCAUAUCGAUCCAACGGUCCACACAAAAAAACGCAUUACCCUUAAGGUUUCUUUUAAGCUUCUUUACGCGUGAUCCUGUGGAUUAGCAAGACAAGAUGGAUAUAUUAAUUCAUUAUGUUUUCAAACAAGAAUUUUCACCUUUUUCAUCAAAAUUUUCACCUGAAGCAGUAGAUUCCAAGAGCCUCGGUGAUCUCAUGAAUGACCGAUGUUGCAAAGUGCAAGUAUAAAGCCACUGUUUCGCAUCAAUACAAAGUUGGUUUAUGAGUGCGAAAAAUCAAUAGCUAAAGAAGGUUUUUUCUUUUUAGGAGCAAACCUGUGAAUAUGCAGUAGCCAAGAAGAACCCAUAAUUCGUCCACUAGAGGAACCCUGUAACAUGAAGUUUCUCGAAUGUCAAAGACAACAAACAGAUGAACUUUGUGGGGAAAAUGUAAAGAGAGAAACAUACCCAGCAUUCAAUCUAGCGGUUAGAGCAUUUGCAAGCGCAAAAGGAAGAUAGAGUAGGGACUGCAUUUUUGAGAAAAAAGGUUUCAUUUCUGAAAUAAAUAAGACGGAGAAUUGGCGAGAGAAAAGUUAUCAGAUUUACCAUGCACAUGUUUGUUUUCAGUCCUUUUGGCUCAUCACACAAGUGAGCAAGAAUCAUUCUUCCCUGAAAAAGAAUAACAUACAGAUACUUAAGUUCUAUUACAACUUUUUUCGUAAUGAUUGUAAUAUUGAUCUAAUUUAAAGAGUUUGGAUCAAGACAUACCACUAGAAAUCCAAAUGCAAGUCCAGUUCCGAGUACAACUAAGUGAGGGUAUGUUGCUAUGAGAUUUAUUGGAGACAAGUAAUCCCUGGAAGAAAUAGGAUCCAAGUGAUUUUCAAUGACAAAUGAGAGAGUAAGAUUGUGUGGUCUUUCCAAAAGAGAAGAAAACAAGACUUUACCAUAUCAAAACUCCUCCAAGUAGGACAACAAAAGGAUACAACUGAAAACAAGAUUCAAAAGGACAUUAAUUUUGUUUCAUAAAUAAGUAACUGUAAAUCAACUGGUAGAUAGGAGAUUACCAUAGCUAAUGCCAACACCAUGCUCCCGUUUCUUGAUUGAACGACUUUGCGAACAUUUGACACACUGACAAACGCAACCACAUAUAAAACAGCUUAGUAACCACAAAAUUCACCACUUGAAACGACUCUAGUUGAACACUCAUGCUUUUUCAGUUAUAUUAUUACUGCCACUUUUGAGAAAGAAAUACUGAUCAUGUGAAAUAAUAUAUGUAUUGUCUGUGAAUCUAUUUCAUUAGCAAAGGGAAAAUUUUAUAUAUAUAUUGUUUUAAGUUUGGAAGACUCACUUAAACGCAACGGUCGGUAUAACAGCAAAAGCGAUCAUCAUGUAUAGCACUGCUCGGGAAGUUUGGAUCUCUAAAACAUAGAACAAUGAAGAGCUCAAAAUCAAGAAAUAACGCUGGAAAAAAGUUGUAGGGAAAGCAUGCCACAGAUCUUCUUACCAUUCACAAAUGGCACCCAACCAAACAAAGGUAUGGACUGCCCCAGCUGCUGAGCCCACCAUUCAGCACCUUAAGACAGAAAAAAAAAGAAGAAGAAUGAAGUUGAUGAAAGACCAAACCCAAGUAUAGAAAGAAUUUGGUCAAAGAUUGUCCAAGCAUUUGCAAUAGGGGUGAAGCUUUUAAGGAUUGCAGACAAGAAAGAAGCAUACCAACAAUGGCUGUGAAGAAGUGGCUGACAAAUAUAAGUGCUAGACCCUCUGUAGGCCCAUUGAUAACCGGAAGAAUAAGUGUGUUUGUGAAAUAGCUAGAGAAGGGUAAGGAGAAGUAUAAGAAAUCUCUAAAAAAAAAUUUACACAGAAUAUAGAUGUUUUAGGAGACAUAAGCAGGAAGUUGCAAGCAGUACUUACUGUUCCCAGGUAGCUCCAUAAAACGGAAUAGCUGAAAUAACCCAGAACCAGAAAGUAUCUCUUCCACACAUUGCGGUGCUUCCAAAUGCCAUGGCUUCAAACUGUUUUCAUUGUAAAACCUUCAGCACGAUUCCAAGACGACUAAUAUAUGGAUAAUUAAGAUAACAGCAGUGUUAAUUUCAUACCGCACAAGCAAGUGCAUCACAACCUGCAAUAUUGGAACACAUGUCAGCAAAAUCUAGAAACAAACUGAAGACAGAUAAUCAAAGGAAGAACAUAGGAAAAAUAAAUCACCAUGAUCGAAAAGCUCUCCUAGGGGGCUAGAGGAAUUUGUCCUUCUUGCUUGCUUCCCAUCAACCGCAUCGAAUGUCUAAUCAAAGCUCCAAAGGUGCCAGGAAAAAAACUUAAACCACCUUCACAAGCAGCUAGAAAACAAGUUCGACUUUUCAAAAGAGGGAGGCGCAGACCUGAUACAGGAAAAGAAGUAAACCAUGUGCGAAGUGAACCCAUCGUGGAGGAGGAGAAUCCAACUGAGGUGAAUAUAUCUGAGACAGAUAAAGAAAAGAGUCUUCAAAACAAUAUCCAUAUGCAGAAGGAGGAAAUGUUUACAAACAAGAAAACAACCAAACGCUUCAAGAGACUAAAGAACCAUGACUCACAUAGCCUAGCAGAGAAGAUGUGACUAGAAACAUAAACCCCAUUAGCGUUAUCUGCGAAACAACAAAAAGAAAUUAACAAAAAGUCAGAAGUCCUUAACUCGAACAUACUGACUAUACCACAUAAACUAGAAUGGGAAGACAAGGAAUUACUUAUUACCAUGUUUGGUCUGGAUAUGGUUCAAAGGCAGUAACAGAGAAACACACAUGAAAAGACAAGCAUAGUAAAAACACAAGUCAGCAGAUAACCUCAAUAAGUAAAACUAAAAGGAAUGAGACUUUUUAUAUAGGAAAUAGCAUCAAAGAGAUACACUUACGGCAUCCAUAGAGGGAAGACUUUGACAAAUCGGGUCCAAAAAGGUUGAAGCACGUACUUGGCAAGAUAAGAGUGAUCCACUCCACUGUAUUUGUACCUAUGAAGAGCUGCUACACCAUGAGCUCCUAUGUAACCCAUUAUUGUCUACUGCUGAUUCAUAAAACAAGAUUCCCUCAAUUCUAAUCCCCAAAAUGGAUAUCAAAUUUUACUGUCAAAAUUCAAACUAAAAGACAUUAUUAAAGCAUGGAUCUCGAGUGUCUCACUGGCACUUUUUUAGAUUCCCUAACGCUAAACCAACAAAAUGAGCAUAACCCAUCUACAAAAGAACAAAACUUUGCUCGAACUGAGACGGUACAUUCGAGAUUUGGGUAGAAUCUGAAUUCAGGAUCUUUUUGCUACAGAGAAGAGUACUUACGACGGGUCCGGCGGUUCUUGGCGGCAAAAUCAGAUUACGAGCCUUUCUCGUCUCGGUUGUCUGAAAAGAGAGUGGAAAGAGACAAAGAGAGCGACGUAAUCUCUCUCUCUCUAUUGCCCUAUAGAGCGGCGAAGCGGGACGAGAGGACCAGAAGCAAAGGAGAGGGCUUUGCGUUUCUUCCGCGUUUCCCACACGUGUUAACGAUAUUUCCUUUUUCCAUUUUGAUUAUUAACUAUCAAUUUCAGUAUUUACAAAUAAAAAUAUCUUUCUAAAGCCGACAACAACAAAAUAAUAAUACAAAAAAUUGAUCAGAGUAUCAGACAAUGUAAUGUUGUUGUUGAUGUUUAUCGCCUUUAAACCCGCAUCUAACUUGAAUGUUAGUUGUGUAAUCUUUGGAGCAAAUGAAAAAUGAGAAAGAAGUAAUAUCAAAGUCUCCGAAACUAUUACAAACUUUAUUUACCAUAUUCGAUCAAAUUACAUUGAAGUUACUCUUGUGGAUCCAACAGUUUUUGUCAUUUAUCCACACAAUCAUAUAUUUUUCGCCAACAGAUUCUCACGAAAACAUGUUUGACAUGAUUAACAUAUAGGAAGAGAGAGAGAAGGAGAGUCUGAUUCAAUCUUGAAGGAAGAGGAACUGGGCUCGAGGAGAAACACGCGGAUACCUGAGCAGUUCGACAACCAUACCCAUUUUCGCAUCUUUGUCUAUUAAACUCGAUGAUACUACGAUUGUCUCCAAAACUGGAGAAGUUCCCAGCAAGAAUCUGAUAAAUUCCAACUCAUUUCUGAUGCCAGAAACAUCCGUCAUCUUUACAGUUUCAAGUCUUGGGAGUUGGUAGUCGAAAUAGUCUCUUUCGAAAAGGUCAAAACCUUCUUCUUCAAGAGGAAAAAGUUGGAUGGGUGAAGCCUGAAAAGAUUACAGAAGAUGAUGGAUUGGUGGUAAUAGCAAUUUAUGGCCACAUUACGAAACUCUGAAAGAGAAUUAACAUACCGAGAUUUUGAGCUCUUUAAGGUUGGGAGCGUGAGUCACCAAACGAAGAAGAACUAGUACCUCGUUAGCAUCUUCAAAACUUACUUGGUAUAGUUCUAUAGUCUUAAGAUGAAUGUAAGUAAUUGGAAGCCUUCCCGGGUCAUCUCCUAUGCUCAAGUACUGAAAUCAAAGAAAGGAGAAUCAUAAAUUUUUUGAUAAUGAUAAUGUCUUAAAAUACUAAGAUGAAGGGAAGUUACCUUUGUAAAGUAGAUAUAACCAACGAGCUUCUCAAGAAGGGGCACACCUCCAAGGAACUUAACGAGAUUAUAAUCAGAACUCUGCUCAAAAUCAGUAACAUCCUCAUGCAUGUACAUUGAAACAGAUAUUGCAACUAGCUUGGGAGUAUUCCUAAGGAAAAUGUCUUUGAAUUCACCAUCUAGAUACAAGUACAUGAGAUUCGGAGCUGAUAUACUCAAAACCAAACUGUCAAAGUAAGACAAAGACAGGAACUCCAGAAGCGGACAUCCCGAGAUCAGACUUUCAAUCACCUCAGGAGCAACAAGGAUUUGGUGAAGGUUCAAACUCUUCAGAGACGAAAACCCUUUGAAAUACCGAGGUGGAUCGAACUCGCAGUGACAUAACUCCAAACGGGUCAGUUUCAAACAGCUAAAGAGACACGAAGGAACCCUGAAUUCCCCUUCACCUAACUCAAGAACAAGCUCCUUAAUCCCAUUCCUCGAAAGAAAAAGCAACCACUGAUCAAUAUCCGGACGGCAUUGCAGGAAAGAAGUAGAGAGCUGAAACUUAUGGAUAGGUCCUUGGUGAAGGAGAAGCACUCCAGUUACGAAUCUGACAAGAUUGGUCUCAACAACGCAACGGUCAUUAGAAGGAGAAACACAUUUCUCAUCAAAGACAAGAUCAGUGACCGUAGACCAUUUAUAUCUCCAUUUGCUAGACAACACACUUGUUCUUAUCGCAUCUCUAAUAGAAAGACGAGUAAGGAUAUUCUCAAUUAUACUUUGAGGUAGAUCGCUUAUGAAAUCUGGUGAUUCACCCAUCUAAAACAUGAUAACACAUACAAAAAAUCACAUCAAUGCUCAUUACAUGCAAAACAGAACAACAAAAAAAGUUCUUGCAUUUGAUUCCAAACCCAGAAAAUUGAAGAAAUUAACCUCAACAAAUCCAAUCCCCAGAAAAACCCUUCAAAACCUCUAAACCCUAAUCACCUAUCUUUCAAAAUUUACCAUUUCUCAAUAAGAUAGGAAAAAAAGAGUCCACCUUUGAUCAAUGAAAGGGACACUGUAGAUUGCGAUAUUUUGCAAUGCAACAAAACCAAAAUUUACAAGUUUUGAUAACCCAGAAAAAGAAUAAGAGAAAAAAGUCUCAACCUUUUUGGGUCUCCUUUAUCUGGUUUUGUCGAGCGGGUGACUGACUUGAUCGGUGGAGUUCAAGUUAGCAGAAGAUCGCAGAUUUUGCUCUCAUCAUCGUUUUACUACAUUUUCAUUUCUUGCUUUCGCGAUUAAAGGUUGCGUUUGCCGUUUUGGUCGAUAUGUUAUUUUUCUAAUCUCGCCUCAAAGACCGCGCGUUACAUUACAUAAUUAUAUAGUAUUUUAUGUAUGUAUUUAUUUUGUCCUAGACGAUAACAUAAUUAUAUAGUAUUUUAGUAUCCCAUACUUAGCGAACAAACUCAGGUUGAAGAUAAAAAAUGGCAAUGGGCCAUGAAGCCAAUGAUAACAUUGUAAGAAACAUGAAUCAAUUUGAUAUUCUAUUAUGAACGGUGAGUGAUACAAAACGAGAAAUGAAUACAAAUACAAUCAAGGAAGAUUUGGAAUUUGUUCAGGAUACAUACAAGUAAAUACAACUACAAUAUUAGGGUCGCAUCGAACCGAUUUCCAAAUCUUUAAGAAUGAGAGAUCCUAAAUCCAUUCUGUUCCAUGAGUUGGUUCAAUGUUGGAGAUUGGAGACUCUUGCUCGGUCUAUGUACUCUCUUAUCCUCCAUUAGUGAUCAGAAUCACAGAAACAGAACAAAAGAAUCUGAACAUGUUAAGAGAUAACGUCGUGCUUUUACUUUUCAUAUUAACCAGUUUCUACCUUUGUGAUCAAAUCAGUCUUCGUGUUCUUCUUCGCCUUCAGAAUCUGUAAGGAAAAUACAACUUUGAGGGUUUAUUCUUCAUUUGGAUGGCGCGAAAGAAACCCGUAUUAUUACUGUAAUCCAAUUCUUACCAGAUCUGACAUCUUCACUAAGCUUGCCUCUAUCUUGUAUUUGUUUCACAAGCAUCCGAUACAUCAAAACCCACCAAUAUAUGUGAAGAACAAGCAAGCAAUAAAGGAGAGUGUUGAACAUGUAGUAGUAAAUUGGUCCUUCGAUCGGGUGCUUGUCCUUAUCAAGCUCCAAAACUACUUCAUAGCUGAAAAAAAGAUGUAAUACAUACAUAAGGGGACAUAUAAUUCGAGGAAAACUAUGAAAAGGAUAUCAAGAUAUACAAACCUUGUGCUCCAUAGGAUCCAAAAGGGAUAGUAAAUGAGGCGGAGAAUGAUCCAAGACAAAACAAAAAGAAUGAAUGAAAAGCUGGCAAUGCUUUCUGCUCCACUAUAUUUAGACAUUUUCCCCACUUCAAGAAACACAUCACUAGCGUCGUGAAGUGCCAGAACAACAGAACCAACACGGGAGAAACUAUACAAAACAAGAAAGAUCAAAACAAUGUGGACCAAAGGAAAUUAUAUCUAGUUUCUCCGCAUAGUGAUGUGACAGUGGAAGCAUACCUACAUACGUAUGAGAGGACAAUAAGAAUGAGAGUGGCGAUAUGAUGACCCAUUGAAACUCCAAAAUCAGAACGCCUCGUUUCCCAGAAAAUCAGAGCAAAGAUGGAAUAUGUAUAGAAACCAGCCACAAACAUAUACAAAAACUUCAAUUUUAACCUGCAUGAGAAUAGAUAUCAAUCAUGUCCAAACGCAAUCACAAAAAAGAGAGUUGUGGUAUAAAAAAGUAAGGCCUUGGGAACCAUUCUUACUUCGUUUGUUGAUCAGGCCAAGUCUGAUCUCCAGGACCUACCCAAAAGUAUUUAGUGUUCAUAAACCAAGGCUCAUUGUAAGUCACAGAUAGAGCAAGAAUCUCAGCUGAUAGAUAGUAAACACACUUCCAUGCCGAUUCUUUGAAUUUUCUGAUCUUCUUCUUUCUCUCGGUUGUGUCAUCUCCCAUAUCUUGCCUAUGUUUUCCAUAGAUCAAAUGGUUUGCCAAUUUCUACAAAUACCAAUUCAUCAAAAGUUCAAGUUAAAAAGGAAACCCACACACACAAAAAAAAAAAGGAACUUUCUAAAAAUCACUACUUGAAAGUAACCAAAAGGCACACAUGAAUGAUGCAGAACAAAAGAGAGGAUACAACACAAUCAAGUGUCAGCAACAUCACUAACACACCUACAUUCAUCCUCACAUACACUGAACAUUUGUCAAAAGUCGAAAAAGAGAUACACUUUCACUUUCAGAUACAAUCAUUCUUCUUAGUAAAGCUAUUUUAUAAACUUUUAGCUGAAGCAACAAUCACAUAAAAGCCUUACAGAAACAAAGCAAUCAUUUUUAAGACACUAACUAAAAGAGAGAUAUCACAAAACAAUCUUAAAGAGAGACACUAUCACAAAACCUUCAUUAGUGCCUCGGAUCUCAAGUGUAAAAGAAGAUAUCUAACUAUUACCUCGAAGACGAAUCUAUCGAGGAGAAAUCGAAUCGUAGGGAAGAAGACAGCGAAAAGAGGAAGAACACGAAAAUCCUGGUAAACCGGAGAUGAUUCGAGCUCCCAGUUGAUUGAUUUCACCGAUUCGAACAAACCCAUCUCCGAAAGUUCCUCUCUUUAACCCGAUUUUGUCGAGAUACAUCAAUCAGAAAACUUCUUCCGGAGAAAAAGGGAUCUCCUUUAUAUUUCUGAUUCAGGUGGGAGUUGUAAUGCUACUCCAAGUACUACUACUACGCCAACUCCUCUACCAAAUUGAUUGAUUCUUACCAACUUAUGUAAAUCAAAUUUUGCUCAAGUAGGAAAAGUUUGUGCUAGUCUGUUUUUUUUUCAAAGAUGAAUCUUUCUUCCUUGAACCUUCUGAUACGUUUAGAGUCUUCUCUACUGUCAACUUUUUGAUUUGUCAACGCGUUAAUAAAUAUUUAAAAAGUUUUGGUAAUGUAAUAAUUCGUUUCUUUUUAGCUGGCCAAUAAUGAAGUUUAUUAUUUUCUUUUCUAGAUUGAUGAUAUACUAAUUAUGUUAAUUGAAAGUAGAAUUGAAUCAAUUGAUCAUUAUUGCAUGGAAUCACCUUGUGAAAAUAAUGAUUCGUUUUUGGUUUAUUUUUCUGAGAUUGAUAUAAUAAUAUGUUGACUACAAACAUAAUUAGAUAUAUCUAUAUUUAUAUAUAUAACUAUAUUUGUUUGGGUAUCAUCAUCUAUGAAUAAUGAAAAAAAAUGAAAAUAACUAAGGAUGAUGAUGAUGAUUAGAAUAUAGUAUGAGAAUUUCACCCGUUCAAAAAAGAAUAGUAGUAUGAGAAUCUCAAUUAAUUCGGCUCAUUAUUGUGUUUCACACUCGUUAAAAGCUUUUUUGUCCACACAUGCUCCUAACUCAGUCGGUGAUUAUACUACUUUACUUUAAAACCUUGUUUUUGGUGGCCAUAUCGUCACAAUGCAGGUUCGAGUGUUUUUUUUGUUACACUAUAUUAUCAUAUCAUACCAUUGGAAAACAAUUUAAAACUUGAAAUUAGAAUAGAAAAGACAAGAAAAAGAAAAAAAAAAUCGAUCAGACAAGAAAAAGAAAGAUAUAUAAAAACAUAGUACAAAACAACUAUAUUAAACUAUAGUAUAAAAAAAAGUUGCAUGAUGUUUCGAUAUAUUGAAAGUCACAUCGAAAGAAGAAGAGGUGACAUUCCCAAGGAGAAAUGAAAGCGUUGACACCAAGAUGCCAAAGUUUGACUUCCCUCUCUCUCUCUCUUUGUGCUUCAUCGAUCUUUCCUCCUUCUUCAUGAUGAUGAAACGCCCAUUUCUCUAUACAGCAUUUAUGAUCUAUCCAGCCGCAUCUUUAUUACUAUAUUAUAGUAACUGUUAUAUACUAAAGUCAAAUAUCUCUGUAUAUAGGGUACAAUACAUAAUAAGCUAUCUGUAUGGAGUAUAAGAAGGCCUUUUAACAAAACAAAAAAUAUGUAUGGGGUAUAAAAGAACACUUUAUUCAACUCUUAAUUAGAGAGAAGAAGAAAGAAGAUAAGAAAUGAUGAAGAAGAAAAGUGAAGUGGUGAUCUUCUUAUUCACUCUAGUAUUGCUUCUAAGCAUGGCUUCACGUGUUAUCUCAAGAGAAGAUGGUGUUUCUCCUCCCAAACCAUCUCCCUCCGCACAUGUAAGUUCGUGAAUACAAUCAUCUGUUCUUCUCUUUUUCUCUAUGGGGUUAAUUAAAGGGUUUUGAUACUAUAUGGUAUACUCUCAUGUAACUGAGACUGUCAACUAUCAAAGUAAUCAAAUAUCUAUCUUCCCUUGAAUACAAUUCUGAUUAGUGAAGAGAUAGAGAUUACGUUUAGUUUCACAACGAAAAGGAAGAGAAAAAUUGUAUAGUUUUGGGCUGGAAUGAUGUUAAGUUGUGAACUAUUGUAUGUACGUAUUCAGUUAUUACUUUCAGCAUCUCUCUAGUUUUUUUUUUUUGGUGGAUCUAGGAGGAAUCAAGAAACAGUAAAGGUGAUGGAGAUAGAGUAAUAGAGUGCAAGGAUUCAGACAGUGAAGAAGAAUGUCUUGUGAAGAAAGCGGUAGCUGUUCACACCGAUUACAUCUAUACACAAGACUUAAACCAAUCUCCUUGAAACAAAAACUAUUACUAUUUGUCUUUUAUUUAACAAACUAUAAACGUAAGCAAAGGUCUCCUUGACCAUGUGUUUUCAUGACUUCAUGUUCUUUAUUCUUUCAUUCUAGUCUUCCAUUAGUUUCUCCGAGGUUGGUCAAAGUUUAACUGGGCUAGAUGACCAAGAAACUUUAGCUGUUCGGACUAGAAAACAAAACAAAAAAAUUUGGGCUUUUUUUUUAUUGUUAUAGGCCUAAAUAAAAGCUUAUAGCCAUCCUGUAAUAAAACAUGCAGAAGGUUAAAUGGAUAGAAUAUAAAAGAAGGUAGUCUGGCAAUAUAAAGGCUGAGUGAUAUCAUUACAUAUGUAACAAACUAUUAAUAUGGAAAAAGGAUUACACAUAUGUAAAAAAAAAAAUUGUUUUUCUGUAUAUUUUUUAUAAUAUUCUUUUCAUUUUAAAUUUGGAAUAUAUAUAUUUUGUUUUGAACUUUUUAUUUUUGCAGAGGCACUAUCACCAGGAGCCUCCACCUCCCUUUGUCUAAAUUCAUUCAACUACCAAUACCAUCCACCAAGAUUUAUAGUCUUAUAUUCAAACAUUGACAACAACAAAAAAACCAAGAUUGCUGAUUCAACAAAUAAUAUGCAUUUUCUUGGCAAUAUGUUGCGUUAUAUAUAUAUAUAUAUGAUACAUCAGAUAUAAACGAACCCGCAAAAACUGAACUUUCUUUUAUUCGGCCAAUUAUAUCGAUCCAAAUAUACUUCCAAAGUUAGAAUAAUAAUCAACUUUAAAAAAGAUAACAGUGCGUAGCCAUAGAAUAAUCUAUCUUCAACGUUUAUGAAAGCAAAAGAACGUACGUAUAAAACCAAGCACUUUACCCAAAAAAAGAAAGUACGUAUAAAACUACGUCGAAGAUAAUUUUAUAUAAAUUUUUUCAGUAGUGUUUAGUGUUUUAUGAUGUACACAUUGACCCUCUCUCUCUUUUGAUUUGAUGUGUUUUGGGUUCAGAAGAACAUUAAUUCGUCAGGUGAAAAUUUUGAGGGAAAAAAAAAAACAAUUUCUAGGUGGCUUUGUCAAACUCGAAUUGGUGAUGCGUAAAUGGCUAAAAAAUUUAUUAAAAAAAAAGUACAAGAAAAUAAGAAAAAGAUGGUAAUGAUUAAACCGUUGAUUAAAAUUAAAAAGAAGAAGGUCCACCAUUUUUAGCAAAUCAAACUUCAUCUUAUAUCGUUGUUUGCCAUGAAUGUUUUGUCCUUAAUGAUGUAAGUCUAUUUAUGCGGCGAACUGAAAUUUUUGUGAGUAGGGUUUUUUUUUUUUUUUGUAGGUUCAAGUUAAAAAAUUUGAAGAAUUGUUAAUUAAGCACAUUUGGUAUAUUUGAUAAUCGUAUUAUCAAAAUAUUGGUACAGACGAAUUUAUUGGUAACCAAGGCGUACGUGUACACUUUAAUUCUUACAAUAUCAUAUAAAAGUAGAAGUACGGACAAACUAUAAAAUAACAGAAAUAUUUCUUUAGUUUUCUUGAAAGUUACAUUCAACUGAUCGAGAUUUCGUGUCGACCAAACAUAAGUAAUACUUUAAAAAUAUUAAACAUAUAUAUAUAUAUGUCAUCAGGGGAACCUAUCGUCCCAGUGGAAUUAAAAUUCACAUCGUUAACCUAAAAUUUGUAAUUAACACAAUGAUAUUGUAAGUUUUGAAUGUUUUUGAGGAAAUUAUAUAGAAUAUUUGUGGAUGCUUAUCAUUUGAAAAGGGUUUUAAAUUUGAGAAUAAUAUAAUAUGUAUUGUAUCGUAUGCGCAUGAUCAUUAAUAUUAUUCUUAACUAACUCAAGUUGGCUAAAAGAAAAAGAUAUAGAAGAAGAUUUUUGUUUCUGCGAUAGAGAAUAAUAUUAAUAAUAUUAUUAUAUCAUAUAACACAAUAUGAUCCUUAUGAAAUCUACAUUCUUGAGAAAAGCAGAACAAUGAUCAAGAUCAUUAACACAACUCAAAAUCUCUGCCUCUUUGGCUCGAAUCUGAUCUAGAGUUCGAUAUAGAAUCUUCGAGCUCUCUUAGAAAACUGUUGUCUUCUUCGUUGUUUGACUUAAUCUCAGAGAUAAGCUGUCUGAGAUCAGAAGUUUCUUCUUUAAGCUUAGCGUUCUCUUUUAAGGCAAGCUCAUGGCUUUCAGAUACGCGGUUCAGCUUAUCGAUAAGACAGUGGUUAUCAGUACGAAGUCUUAUCACUUGAGACCAAAGCUCAUCGAGAUGUCUCUGCUUUCUCAUCCUUGACCUACGAGCGGAUUCUCUGUUAGAGAUCAUUCUUCUUUGUUUCCUCUCAUCGAUGAUCAUGCUUUGUUGGUGAUCUUCGUCCGAUGUUGAGUUGUUGCUGGCCAUUAGAUCUUGACCGUUGGAUGAUGACGAGUAGUUGUUGUUGUUGUUGAUCAGACCGUUGAGGUGGUAGAAGGAGGAAGAAGAGGUAGGAGAAGAGGGCAUGUUGAAGUACUCAGACUCCAUGACUGGUGUUUGGUUAUUAUAUUUAUCCGGUGGUAGAUAAUGGAAGUAUCCGGUGAGUUCCGCCGGAAUUGUAUUCAUGAUCUUUGCUUUGAUUUGUUUCGAGAUUUGCCUUGCGUUGUUGUAAGAUCCUUUGUGUGGUUUUUUAGAGAGAUAGAGAGAGUGGUAGAUUUGUGUGUUGUGUGAAGUGGUUUUGAAGUGAGAGGAAGAGAAGAGCCAAGGGUUUUAUAGACGUGGCCGGAGGAAGAGUUAUGUAGAAAAUAGUGUUGAAUAUAAAUCAUAUUAUAAUAAAUAUAUAUAUUAGAUACAGAAAGAUUAGUUAAUUUUAAAAGGAAGCUGUAGUACCAUGAUUUGUAAAUACCCUAGAAAGAAAUAUAAUUAAUUAAUAUGGUGUUAUAAAAAAAAAAGCAAUUUGAUUAUAUAUAGUUAUAUACGACAAACGUAUUGUUUCUUUAGAGAUUGUUUUGUAGAAUAACAAAGUUAAUUGUGUUUAGGUGGACUAACUUUUGUUUUUUGGGUGGGUUUGAUGGUAUUGUGAGACGAUGUCUCUAAAAUUCAGCCAAUUUAUAUUUUAUUUUGUUGCAUAUGGGUUUCUAGCAAAAGAAAAUUUACUGACUUCAUUUUUUCUCUAGAGAAUCAAAAUUACAAGCACUUUUUUUUUUUUUGGUGUGAUAGAUAUUAGGGUUUAGAUAAAUAUAGGCUCUUACUCAUUUUUCCCCAAAACAGAGAUUCUUACUAAUUAUAGCUAUGAUUGUCUUAUGUCAUAUCACCAACCAUAAAUAUUCUUCGUGUAUUAGAUAAAUUACUGUGGAAGCUAGUGUAUAGCAAUCAUAGUCCUUGAGAAAUUGUUUAGUAAUGGUGAUCAUAGCCAACAAAUAAAUGUAUUCAUGAUACAAGACAAUACUAUUGUAUUGCCGUAAUUGUUGUAUAGUUCUUACGUACCUAUUUUACGAAACCGAGUACAAACACUUUACAAUCACUUUUACCAUUGUUUGUGAAAAAUUUAAGAAACAAAAAGAAAAAUGGUGGGGUUUCCACUUACGACCCUGUUUCAAGAAGUCUUUAUUUUUAUGAUUGGAGAUUAAACCGAGAUGUAGAUUAAUUUUAAGAAUUUGUAUCUAUCAACAUGUAAUAUAUGCAGUAGUUAAAAAACAUCAAUAUUGAAAAUUUCUUAUAACUUAGAAAGGUCAAUAACUUUUUUCUCCCAUUCAUGAUUAAUAGUAGUAUAAUUAGAUAUGAUUUUGUGUUUGUGUUAUCAUGAUAGACUUGACUGAAUGAAGUAUAUGUUACUUGAGUUAUGUAGCUCUAAUCUACAAGACCACAACUACUCCAUACUUUUUCAAUGCAUAUAUGUUUCCUAAAUUAUCUAGUAAUCAUUAAUCAAGUUAAUUUAAAAUUAAUUUGGUUUUUUCCCACUAUUGGACUUAACUAAUACAUGCUUUCGUUUUUUCGUUUUUAAAUCAACGAUAGGAUAAGUUUUACAACAAGUAGAAGACAAGAGAGACCCCUAGAUCCAUCUCUCCCUCGCUCUAUAGAUAUGUCCAUCAAAUAAAUAAAGUAUAUUAAUAAUUAUCAUAUAAAUCUUUUAAGAAACUAAGGAAAUCAAAUUACUUUCAUGCAUUUCUAUAUUACAAUGUUUUCUAAUUCUGAUCGAAAAACGAGUUAGCAAAGUUCGUAGAGUCAUCGCGUUAGUCCGGUCAGAUGGGAUAAUUAUUGUAGAUAAAAAAAAAAAAAAACUCAAAAACAACGGUUCAAUAGUAGCAAUACCAUAAUCAAAUAAAACCCUAAUUUCAGAAAAAAUCAACAGUGAAACUAGUUUAUGUAUUUUUAUCCAGCUUCCACUCCAACAGUGCUGACAGCCAAACUCACCAUUCAGCAUUUAACAGCACAGCUUCGUCCAUCAACAUUAGACUCCAAUCACACGUACAUUAUUCUAAUAUUCAUAAACGAUUUUAACGAAGUUAUGUAAUCCAUUCCAUACUAAUCGCAUCCUGUGUGUUCUGAGUGUUAGUAUAGAUUCCAAAACAUGUUUGAUCUAUUACGUUAGUUCAUUGUCCGAACAAAAUUUGGCAAAAAAGAGACAAAUGGGAACACAGAUAAGAUGUGAUUUGAUAAAUCAGACAAUGAAAUUGUUACGAGUGGGUCCAAACAUUUUGUAGUGACGCCUCAUGGCCGGCGCACCAAUUCACCGAGACACAACUUAAACAUUUUACUUCUAACAUGCUUACAUGCUUUCAUAGUCUAUACCACAAUUGAGUUCUUAUUAAAAAAGAAGACACAAAUUGGUGCAAUACUUUCCAUUGACUUUAAAAGACUUCAGCCUACUUUAAUUUGACCCUAGCCGACGAUAUUGUGUUCCUUUCAUUAUUGGCGAAUUCAGCGGUAAAAUUGUUGGUGUCAUGUCGACUACAAAUUUACAACCUGAGUUUUUUACUUUUACCGCUGUAAAAAUUCAGUGUUUAGUCAUUUUGUGGAUAUCAUAUAUAUGUUGUUGUUGAUUUUUUUUGAUAUUGCAGUCCAUUAUAUAUAUCAUAAAUUUCACAUAUAGAAAAUUUAAGCGUUAUAAUAUAAACGUAUAUAUUUAAGUUCACAAAAUUUUGUUUAGGUUGCAUACUUUCAAUUUUUUUUUGGUAAGAUGCAUACUUUCAUUUUUCAUUGACCAUAUGUUCAUUUAAAGAUUUGUUCGUAGCAUAAUAUAGAAAAUAAAAAACAAAAAAAAGUCCCGUCGAAAUUACGGGAUAAAAAAAUAAAGUUUAUAUGUGAUAGGACAACACAAGUAGGGACUGUGUUGAGCACGCGUCACCGGAUAAUUUUCUCUAAUUUUAUAUGAAAAAAUUAAUGGAAAACAAAGUUUCAUGUUUGUUUUAGUAACUUUCAAGUUUCAACUAUAACCAUUUAUUAGAGAGACAUUGAGAAGAGCCUAUGAGCCUAUGGUACAAUUGUAGAUUAUUGAAGAGUACCAAUUUGCAAAUAACAUUAUGACGACUGUCUCCACUUCCCCCACUUCACUACAAAGCAUCUCCCAUUUUUACAUAAAGUUUCCCUAUAAAUAUUUUGAUUGGACUAAAGAGGAUAAGCCUGUUUUUUUUUUCCUCCAUGCUAAAAACAACUUGUGUUCUGUGUUGAUCUAGACCCAUCUUCGUUGUAUGCCUCAAAUAUCACUCUAGAAGAUGUCACUAACCCUAAAAAAAAAAAGUAAUCGCUAAAGAUCACUAUGUUUUUCUCUGUUUGGAAAAAGAUUUGAUAUCAAAUCAACUGUUUCGAUCUGGCCACACCUAAUCAAUCAAGUAGUCAUACCUUUUUUCUCUUCUUAAUAUUUCUUGGUCUUCUUCGUCAUAGUUUUAACUAGUAAUCAUAAAUUUUAGACACAGUCUCGUAUGUAUAUUGCAAUUUACACAAUUAUACCACGAUUAUAAUGAAAUCACUAAUAGAAUAUUUAUGACGUUGUUAUAAUUUUUUUUUACGAAGGACGUUGUUGGUAUCAAGACACACUUUCAGAGCAAACGAAUAGAUAAAUAAAUAUUUAUAUAUAAUACAAACGUUUAACUACAACGUUAAAGUUUUAUAAGCUAAAAAAAACCCCUUUGCGUACGGCACCUCAUCUAGUUGAUGAUUAACUUCUAAUCUUCUUGGUUAGGCAAUCAAAAUUAAGUAGUGAUCCACUAAAACUUCAGCCACUAAUUAAUUUAACCAAUUGCUCAAUUGAUUUAAUUUAUACGGGGGCUAAACGGCUUAACCUAUCUUUUUAAAUUACGUAAAACACUUCGCCAGUUCUUUCUGUGUUUUUGUCGACACGUGUCCGCCGUAGCAAAUUAAUUAAAUAUUUCUAUGUGACAUUUUAACAUAUUACUAGGGAGUUUAAUUAAUUAAAGAUGAAAUAAUAGGUCACGGUCAAGUCAGGUGUGUUACCUAAACCUAGUAUUUAAGAUGCCUUUGUCUCAUAUUGUAAACCAGAAGACGUGCGAUUAUACCGUAACGUGUCUCUAUCCAUCCGUAUUUUUAUAUAAUAUGAAGGACUUGGGCCUUUUACCUUUUCAAGAUAUAUAAAUCUAAUUUGACCUUUUCUUUAAUUAUAAUCUCAAUUAGAUAAUUAUAGUGUUGAAAGAAACUCUUCAGUCUUCAUUAGAUAUUAGUUGUUUUUUUUUUCUUUUUUUUUGUUAUAAAAGAAUACUACCAAUUGAUAACAAAAUUUACUAAAAACAUUGAAUUCUUACCAGUGAGUAAAUAAAUAAAAACACAUACAUCAUUCUCAAAGAAAUAUAUAUUUUUUAGCUACACAAACAUAUAGCUAAAACUCAUCCUCAGUCUACUUACUAGAUUUUUAUUUUAUUUUUUGUUAUUAAAUAGCUCAUUGUCACAUUGGUUUUGUACUUAAUUUAAGAUUGUAUAAUUGGAGUGGGUGUUUAGUUUAGCGAGAAGAGGCAGUAUAUUAGAGUGAUGGAAUUUGACUUGAAGAGGCAGAUUAUCCAAAGCUCCAAACCAUUACAUAUCAAACCACAAAUUUAAAAUAUUUUAUUCAAACAGUUCUGAAAAAAGGUAGGUGAAAAACUAAAAAAACAAUUUCAACGAAGGAGAGCCACAUAAUUUAUCUCUGAUGAACCCCACGCACGAAGAAACCAAUUGGUAAGCGACAAGAAAAUGUAAAAUAUAUAUUUAAGAAGAUGAGUGAUCUUGGAGGAGAAAACAAAUCGGGACAAGGAUUUGUGUUUAUUUAAUUAGUGUAAAUAAAUCAUUGGCACCUUUGAACCUAACUGCUGCGAACUGGCGUCAGCAGAUGUCAACAUCAAAACGUUGGAAACUCCAUUCUCUCAAUUAGAAGAUUUAUUUAAUAUAAAAAUAAUCAUCAUUUUUAUAUGUAUUGUGUAAUGCUUUAUAGUUUUAAAAUAAAAGUUCCAAAUGAUAGCAAUUUGGGGGGAAGUGGAUUAGAUCCUAAACCCUUUAAUUAUCAUACCACUAUUUCUAAGGUCUUAAAUCCUUAGUGUGUCUCUUUGUAAUAGGAGUUCAUGGACCUAUAUGCCUAGAUAUGUAAAACAAAUUCGAAAAAAAGAAAAGAAAGAGUUGAUACAAAGUAUGAUCGAACAAUAAAAAAUAUACUUCUAAAUAUGUUAUGUUAUGUUAUUCCCUUUACGAGGCAAGCCAACUUCACCAAUCACCACGGUAAGAGCUCGAAUCAUUUUCUUGAUAACAUUAUGCUUAGGUCAAAUCAUGCCUCUCUAUUUUUAGAUCAAGGCAUACAUAUCCAUUCAUAUUCUGCUGUUUACAGAGGUAUGUACGAACAUAUCUUGAUUUAUUUAUAUAUUUUUAAUAAAUAUAACUUUAUAAUGUUCCUUUUCCGGCAGAAAAUGAACUUUUUGUGGGUUAAAAGUCCUUUAUAUUGUUCUUUACUUAUGCGAUCUAAUUGUAGAUGAUGUCUCUCCUUAUUUAAUCAAUGUGAUAUGUGGCUGAUCCUUUAGGUUGUUUUAAAUUUCCCUUUAAGGCUGGUAAGAACUCAUAUCCACCACAAAAAAACAAUUAUAUAUACAUAUAUAUAUAUGUAUAUAUGUACUUAUUAAAAAGAUAAACAAAUAGUUUUAUAGCUAGAUAUUCAUUAAAAUUUAAAUGCUCUAGUUUCCUAUAUAUAUACUUGAACGAGAGUUAUUCAGAGCAAAUAUAUUCUUAUUCACAUUGAAGACAGCUAAUAUUGAUUAUCUCUAUGGGGAAACAUACAUUUUUCUUUGUAUUCACUAUUGUUGUUGCAUUUUCUUAAGAAUACUCACAAUUCGAUAUAUCAUAGCUUUAAAGUUGAAAUAUUUUUUUUUUCUUUUUUGUUAACAAUUAAUUGUAAAAUUUUGGAAUGUAGAUUUAUCCUCAAUAUCUGAUGCGAGAGAGAUGAAGAAAGAACACAAAGAACAAUGUGUUUCCUCCAAGUCUCAAAUUCAAGACUGCAAUUGCAAGCGUGAUCAAGUCCUUAAUAUAUGAUUCAAGGAUUGGUCAUCAAUAUACUGUUACGCAGUUUAGCCAUUGCAACAAAGACUCUGAUUGUGAGAAAGUAUGUGACCAAUCAUGCAAAGUCAAAUUACGACCAUGUAAAUUGUACCCUUUGUUGAUCGAUCUAAGUACUUUGGUCAAUAUAUUAUUAAUCAAAUAAUAAAUGUCAAAUAUUAUAUGAUUCCUACUUUGACUCCGGGCUCUUAUAUACUAACAAGUAAUAAAGGCAACAUUUUAUUUCCAAAUCUCACCGUAUUGGAAACGAAAUUAGUAAAAGGAAAUUACUUAAUGUUCUUACCAAAACUAGUUUUGAAAAGUUCUGAAGUUGGCUACAAAUAGUAAAAGUUUUUGCAGUACUCUCCAUCAAUCAAACUAACAAAGUUUCUCAUUGCGAGGACUUAAAAAAUCUAUGGCGAGACUUUUCUUUCACUUUGUAUUUGCUCUUAUUAUUGCAUCUUGUAAGAAUACAUUACACACACACACACACAUACCAUGCAUAGCUUUGAAUGUAUAAUAUCCAUUUUACCCUUCUAACAACGUUUGCUAUUUUUUUCUAAUCUUUUGGGAUGCAGAUUUAUCAUCGGUAUCUGAUGCGAUCGUAAGAGACUUGCAUGAACCAUGCUUUUGUCCUUCUACGGAUCCUAACUGCAACUGUGGCGAUGAUCUUCACGUUCUUACUACCAGAGUGAUUGCCCCUAGCCCUCACAUCAAACAGUGUGUGCGUUGCCACAAAAACUCUUUUUGUAACAAAAUAUGUCCGCCAAAGUGCAAAUACAAAGUCUGUAUAUACAAUCGAGCAUGUGAUUUCGCUACAUGUUCGUGCUAUUUAUGCUGAUUAAGUGAUUAGUAAUGCAGCUUCGGUGGACGCGUAUAGAAAGCCGAUCUUCCCUUAUACUCUGAUCCCUUCAUUCAUAGUUAAAGAAGAAAUAUCAAGCUAAUUAAUUACAUGGUUUUUACAAAUAUACAAAAUGAUUAUUUCGCAUUAAAUUAGGUUGGUUACAUUUAUAAAACAAAUAUAUAAAAGCGUAAAAUGUAUGUGUUUGAAGCAUGAAAACGGCAACAAAUUAAAGAAGUUUGACUAUAUUAUGCGAGUUUAAAUGAAUUGGAACAAAAAAACACACACAUUGAUUUGGUAAAUCUAGUCAAAUUAAAUCUUAUGGUAGGUUUUUAAUGAUAUAUAAUAAAAUCAUUAAAACAGAAAAUAAACAACAUAUUACUUCUUUUUUUCACAACAUAUUACUUUCACGUAUAUAUAUAACAUAUUACUUUAACGUAUAUAUAUCUAGAGCUCAUGAUAACUAUUCACAAAUCAACAAAUCAUUCAUUAGACUAAAUCAUUUUCAAAACUCAGAGAGAAAGAUGAACAAUCUUCGCGUUACCAUCGUUGCGUUCUUGGCUUUUUUUUGUCUUCAACGCGAUUGGUAUUUAGCUUCAUUAUAUAUACAUUUAAUACUAUACAUUUGUUCAUCGGUUCGUGUUCGCUUUAACUAAAACAUCGUUUUGGUUUUAUUUUUAUUUUCAUGUGGCAGUUACGAAUUCUUUGGAGGAACCCAAAAUGGACACCAUAUUUAAAUUCGGAGAAUACAAAUGCAAAUUGGACCGGGGCUGUUUAAACCACAUUGCAUGUAGGCAUUGUUCGUAUUACGAUUGCAAAUGCCAUCAUGGAAACUGUAAAUGCCUUGGCACUACUGCCUUUACACCCUCGAGCUAAUGAUCCUUUUACAUCUUGAACUCCUCUUUCUCCCUUGUAAUCAUUUUUUGUAUUGAAAAAAUUAAUAAAAUAACUGGCAAUGUUUUCAAUUUCGAAAAUUAGUAAUGAAGAGUUUAUGUCAACAGUUUUAUAUUAAAUGACACAUUUUGUGGCCGAGACUAGCAAAAGGAUUUUGCUUGGUGAUGUUGUGGCUGGCUGGUUCAUCCCAUUACAUAAAACUAGAAACAACUCAUCAGUAGUUAAUUUAGAGUUUAGAUAGCAUAUACUAUGGCUGAAAAUAUUAAAGACUUAAACUUUAACUUAUAAAGAUGAUUACCCCAAAGUUAAAAAAGACUUGUUACAGCCAAAAAAAAAUAAAAGAAAAGACUACCCCAAAGUUAAACCAGUCACGCUUUAGUUUUCCAAAAAAAUCUCAAAGCCAAUAAAAAUAAUCUUUACAUUUUCUGUAAAUCUUAGAAUUCUAAAUUCUUGCAACAACAAAAAAAAGUGUUUUUAGGAGCUGUGAGAUUUUGUUUCCUUUAUCUUAAAUUUAUGAAUUAAAAAUUAAUAAUUUCUCCUUUGACCAAUAACAAAUAAUAAUAAUAAUAAUAAUAACUCUUCAUUUACACUUUUUAUUUUCUACAACAUCUGUAGUAAUUUUUAUUAUUUUUUUUGCUCUAAAUUAAAAUUUUCAUGUUUUGAAUAACAAAAUUACAUAUAAUACAAUAUGGUUUUUCUAUUUUUUUUUUUUUAACGCCAUAGACUUUUCUAACCACGUAACGUAACCUACAUUAUUCUAUCACACUUUAUUAUUUUUGUGAUAAAUUUAAUUCCUUUAAAAGCCAUAGAUUCUAAAGGACACUUUAUUUAACAAUUAUGUUGAUUUAAUUAGACAAUUACAAGCAUACCAUAUAUUGUGACAUAGGGAUUGGUUAUUCAUUAAAAACAUUGACAAAAAAGUAAAACAUUUUAGGCAACGAAGUAACUUUCUAGACCCCUUCAUGCUCUAUAAAUAAUAUACACAUAAAACCAUGGUCUUCCAUCAUUCCAUCACAAACUAAACUAAUAAGUUACAAACGAAAUCGGGUCAGAGCUAGGAGAAAAUAUGAACAAUCUUCGUGUAGUAACCGUUGCAUUGUUUUUGGCCGCUCUUGUCUUCACCGCUUCUUGUAACUUUUAGUUUUUUUUUUUUCUUUCUUAAACUAAAGUUCUUUUUUAUUUUUUUUAUUUCAUAUCAAGAACCGUAUUUUGAUUUUGAUUUUUUCUUUUUUUUUCUGACAGUUUCAAACUCGGUGGUGGAGGCUAAGCCUAAGAAAACGAUCACAAUCACAUUCAAAUGCAAAAAGAAAUCGGAUUGUUUCACAAACAUUGCUUGUGAAGCUUGUACUGAUUGCCGAUGUGAUAAAGGAUUAUGUAGAUGCCAUGGUUAUGGUGGACAAGCUGGACAUCCCAAAGCUGCGCCAUUAACUGCUUAAUAUUAAUUUUUCUAUUUUCUUUUCAAUAUUUCUCUUUUUUCUAGUAAUCCAAAAGAAUAAUUAAAAAAUACAUAUAAUUGAUUAAAUAAAAUUCUGAUUUAUAUGUAGUUUGGUGAUAAAAACAAAAAACAAACUAACAAUGAAUGAAAAUUAUGUGCCUGCAUGUAGCACCAUAUAACCGUAGCGUUUGCCUGGAACUUCCAGAUUUAAUCAUUAUUUUACGGUUUAAUUAAAGUUUAUAAAUACAGAUUGAUAAAGUUUUUCCUUUUGUUCAAACAAAAAAAAAAGAUAAAGUUUUUCCUUUUGUUCAAACAAAAAAAAAGAUAAAGUUUUUCCUAACUUUACAUUCAUGGCCAUCCGGAAUCCGGAUGCUAAUACUGUAUAUUGUUUUUAUUUAUCUAAGCACAUGACAAGUAAUUUAAUACAUUUAAUUACGUACAUGGUAUUCAUGGUAGUCUAAAACAUGACAAGUAUAAAGUUAAUAACUCGAUAAUCAUUUUACUAGAAAAAUAAUCCCAAAUUAAUAGUACUUGCUAGUAGUAUAUUUUGGUCAACAAAAGAUCUGGCAUAUUCGUUUAUGUUUACUAAUUACCAUAUAUGGAUAUUUCUUUUUGACCAAAACAUAUAACGAUUUAUAUUUUCCGAACAUACGAAAAGAAUCACUAUCCAGUUAGACCAUUUUGAUCCCCCUCAUGAUGCUCCUAUAUAUCGAACAUUGCGUGUGAGGCUUGUCUUGAUUGUCGAUGCGAUAACGGAAGGUGUAAAUGCCAUGGUUUCAGUACAGAAACUAACCAUCUAAUCGCUUAAUUAACUCAUCGAUCCUUCUCCUUAUUAAAUGUUCUCUUUUUCUAGAAUGUAAAAGAAAAUAAAACACAAAGUUCAGUUUUGUUUCAUUUUCUUCUUUGUGACAGUUUCAAAAUAUUUAUCGUAGAGGCCAAAAAAGAGAAUAUAAUCACACCAAGUGCAAUAUGAAAUUAUACGCGUAUCAAACAUUACCGACUUAAUUAAUUUAUUUUUUGUGCAACAAACCGGCUUAAUUAUUAACAAAUUUAUGAACUAUUAUAUCAUCAAAACAAUCGAGUUAAUUAAAAGGAAAUAAUGUUCGUUCCAAUUUUCCACAUAUUUGGAGUUAGUUGAGAUUUUUACGUAACCUUGUGAUUCUUGGCAUGACACAUGAGCUUUUUUUUUUUUUUUUUUAUAUUAGCUAGCUUAUUGGAUAGAAGGAAAAUUAAUUGGAAAUUAUAAAACAAAAUUUUAUUGGAUCACUCAAACAAAUGUUGAUGAGACAGUUUCUAAGGGGUGAUUUGCUACAAUAACCUAAAAACCUAAGAAAAUAAUCAUCUCAAAGUUCUAAGCCCACUUGGCCAUCAAAGACAUUCCUCCGGCACCAAGAAAAACAGCAACAUAAGCCAGUGUCUGAAGCUUCAUAUUUCCUUGCAACUUUGGUCCCAAAAAAUCAGCAGCCAAUAGAUCAACAAGUGCCAUGUAGUUCAAUAAACCGGCCGAACACGCGUUUAAAACACCAACCACAAUCAAUGCCGUUGGACUCGCCGGGCUAUAUACAGUUUGUAACAACAUCCCUAGAACGAUCCCUAAUGGUGUCGUCACCGAGAAAAAAACCACCAUUAUCCAGUUUGUUUUUUUUCCAUAUUGUGCCUUAAAACCAAAAAAAUAAUAAUUAGAACAAAAUCUUAUUAUAAAGAGUUGGUACAAUGAGAAGUAUACUAGUACAAUCACUUGAUCCGCUAAGUGAUGGAUGAGUACAAUUUUAGCUACCUGAAGAAUGCAACCGCCAAGUCCCAUGCCUUCAAAUAACUGAUGAAAGCAAAGAGCAGCGAUGAGAGAGCGUAUGGUACAUUUGUUAUCUGAAGCUCCCAUUGCAAGACCGAUUACAACAGAGUGCACUACAAUUCCUAGCUCCAAAACCUACACCAAUUUUAUUAGUUUCAAAUUUAGGAUUUUAGUAAAUAUUGUAAUGUAACAAAUCUCAAGAAAUGAAAUCAGCGAUAUAUAAUUAUAUAUAUUCGCCUACCUGAGCAAUGACUUGAUGCCUAAUAAGCUGAGUGUUUGCGUCCUCCUCAACUAUAGUUCCGUUUUCUCUCUCCAAUUCUUUUGAUCCAUUCUCUAGGGUUUCAACGACAUUUUCUUGGGACUUAAGAAAUAUUCUCUUCUUAUGCCAACUCAUGGCAUAAGAAUCCACCAUCAACGUCAUCAAAGCAGAGAGCAUAGCGAUAAAAGUUGUGAAUGGAAACUUCUUCCAUGGAUUUCUUGGCAAGCAAGGGGAAUUGAGAUUGUUAAAAGAGUCAGGUAAUACAUGCAUAUAACCUGUGGCUAAGAUCACUCCAGAGGCCAAUGCCUUGACGAUUACGAAAAGAUCUCGGUCUGGUCCUAACGCCGGAACCCCUUGGGUAAACAAGGGUAAAGAAACACCAAUUAUACUUGCCACUAAGAUCGAAAAAAUUGCUAUGAUUUUGAGUUUCUUCGAUUCUUUGUUGUUGUGGCAAAGCGAUGCUUGUGGUCCGGAUUUGCAUUGUGUAACGCUUGAGAGCUCAGCAUUCUCAGCGAGAGUAGUUAAUGUGAAGGAGAUUAAGAGAAUUGCAAUGGCCAUUAGCUUGUACAUUUGAUGAGAAGAAGCCAUCUUGUUUCUUCUUUUUCUGAUUUUAGUGUAUUGUGAGGUUAUAGGGAUUUUUUAUAUAGAACGAGUAUAGCUUGCAACAGAAGAUCUCCUGAGAGUGGCGUAGACUUGGAUUUUGGAAACUUGUGUCUCGCUUGUGUUGCUGUCUCCGCUGCACACACACUUCUUUAACAGAGCUUAGUCAAUCAACUUACCAGUUGUGACAUGGCGCCGAUGUGGCUUUAAUGACGUGGCGCUGAGGCAUAAUCAAAUUUAGAUUUUAAGGAUGCGAUUAACAAUUUUAUUGGAUAACUAAAAAAUGAAGAAAAAAAAUUUGAUAUGUUCAUACAAUAGAUGUUUCUCUUUUCCAAAGAGUCUAACGAACGAAUUAGAAGGAAAAAAAACUGUGACAACAAUCAUUAAACCUAUGCAACUGCAUUCUUCACACAACCAACAUUACACAACCGAACUGAUCUCACUAUUUCACCCAACCUACAACCAAAGAUUUAUAUAGUAAGAUCUCCUGUAUAACAUGAUACAAAUUGACUUCAAACAACAAAAAAUAAAUUUAAUAAUUGGCAUCAUUCUAUCAUUAACGGCUUAAGUACUAACCUGUCGAAGCUAUUCCUAGCCCGAUCUGAGCUAUCCACGCUGUUUCUGGCCUUACUAAACCGAUGAUGUGUACUAAUCUUUCUUGAUCUGUCUCUAGCAGUAGUAACACAUUCCGUGCUAUGCCUAGAUCCAAUCCAAAUACUAUUCUUCGUUGAUUUCUCUUUCUUGUGGUCAUCAGCCAGUGAUUGGCGCUGAAAAUUUGGAAUUGGAAGCUUCUCAAUGGCUGAGAUGAAUUUUCUUAAGUGAGGUAAGUACUCAGGGGAGGUCUCAAGAUCACAAUGGCCUCCUCCUUUAACCCAUAAGGGUUCGUAUUUUUCUUUGCACUGUUCCCAUAAUUGCUUUCCAUGUGAAAUAUUCACCACAUCGUCAUCUGUUCCCUGCAUUGCACGCAAGGAGAAUUAUACAAAGUUGUUAUUAAUUAUAUAAAUGACAAGGACUAUAUCUUUAAUGUGAUGUUAAAAUAGACUUACAUGAAUCACAAGAACAGGACAAUCCACGAGAUGAAUUUUGUCAAUAUUCUGCAAUAACGAAAUUUUUAUCAGUUUCACCAAAACAAUGAAAUUAUCCUUAUUUUGGGCUGUAUAUAUGUAAAAGUCAAAUAUAUCUUAUAUUUUUUUUUUUACACACCAUGGAAUAUUUAACUUACACUAAUAGAGACUCAAAUAUAUAUUAGGUCAUAAAGGAAAAUAUAUAAGAACGAUCAAACCUUGUAAAUGUCGAAUGAGAAUGAAUGUCUGAAAGGGUACAUGACGCGAAGACCGGACAGAAAAGGACUAUGAAGAACAAGUGCUCGGAGACAUGGAAGACGAGAAGCAAGCUCAAGCGACGGUCCACUUCCGACGGAUUGUCCGUACAAAAUGAUACGUUCAUCUUUUGUACCAUACGUCUCUCUUAGCCAAUUAUAAGCUGCUUCUAUGUCUGCGUACGUCUCUUGCUCGCUUGGCUUUCAAGAUUACGAAUACAAAAUCAUAUAUUUAACAAUCAUGUGUUUUUUUUUGCCUCCUUGGAAAUACAUAUAUAGUAUGAUACAACGUACUCAACUAAGUUUCUUUGUUCUUAAAAAUAAUCGGAAUAAAUGAAUUACCUUACCAGAAGAUUGUCCAUACCCUGAGUAAUCGUAUCUGCAAUUAUUAUCACAGAACACAUACAAAAAUUACCAACAAACAAACAAAAAACAACUAAAUUUGGCGAAAUGAUUUUUUUUUUCAAUUAAAAAACUUACUACUUAUUGAAUAUAGUAUAAUUUGGAAUCCUAUGCUGAAUCCUAAAUUCCUAAUAAUGUGAAAACAUACUCAUAAAUUUUGCAAUGACUAAUGUACUAACAUCACAUUUUUUUUUUGUUUUAUGAUUAACUAGAAUAUUGUCUCUUUUUUCAAAAGCAAAAAAAAAAAAAACAGUAUGGAAACAAAAACAUAGAAUCAAAACAAGUGAAAAUUUUGUAUACAAUUAUGUCAUGCAGAUAUAAAAACUAACCCCAUGAGAUUGACAUUGAGUUGGAUUAGUUCGGCGAAGAUGUAGAAAAUGUGAGCAAGAUCGGCGGCGUUGCCGUGAGAAAACAAAACGGUGAGUUUAGCGGUUGGAUUCUUCACAUACAUGGCCACGAUCUCAUUCCCUCUUCUUGUCCGUAUCUUCGCAACUUCGAUGUCCUCAUCUCUCAGGUGAUGUUGCAUGUUCGUCGAUAUCCUCAUCUUCCCCGUAGAUUCCUCUGUAACCACCGUGUACGACGGCGGAUUUGGUGGGAAGAAAGCAAACUUCGCCGCCAUCGUCGACGUCGCAGUUCCCAUUUUAAUUAUUGGUAAGAAGAAAACAAUGACCAACGCAAUAAUGAUAGAUGCUAUAAUGUAUUGAUAUUUACUUAGAGCUAUUAUUUAUUGAUUUAUUUAUAAUAUGGUUAGAAAUUAAAUUCUAAGAUUUCUCCUUUAAAUGCUCUUUCUUUUUAUGUAAUGUCUCCCUCUAAAUAUAUAUGGCUAAGAUUAAGGCUUAACAUACUGUAUUAAAUCCCUCAAACUGUGCAAUAUGUUCCUCUUUUCAUUGUUGUUCUAUAUAUAAGUUUCUCUCAUUAACUUACAAGUUAUAUAACAAAAAUGCAUUUGUCCUUCAUAAUCACGUUUCAAAUCGUAAGAAACAUAAAGAACUAAAGAAGUAUGUUACUUAUCAGUAUAAAAAGACAUGGAUGACUAGAUGAGGAUACACACUACACACGACCACAUACUGAUCAUUGUUUUAUUCUUCUAGAUGCUACUUACAUUAUAAAAAAGAAAAUUAUUAAUUAAUGAAAAAAAAAGAAAAUUAAAACUUAUAAAGGCAAACAAUGACGACAAUAAAUAAAUAAAAAGGGAAACAAUGAUGUGUAGUGGAGAAUAAAGGGAAAUGGCUCUAAAUUAAUUAGUAAUCUAAUUCGUUUGGAGGGAAAUAAAGUUUAGUCUCAUCAUUACUUAAGGAUUAAUUCAAAUCAAUCUCUCUUUUGGAAUGACACGAUCAAAAAUACCUUUUUGGGGUUAAUGAUUAAUAAAAUUCACACUUUGUUUAUUUUUGCAUCACUGCAUGCUUAACGGCAUGAUGUGUCCCUAUAAUUGGGCCUAUAUCUAUAAUCCAUACGGAAAGCCCAUUAUGAGCCAUGUAAAUUCAUCAGGUUUAACAAAACUCACUUGCACUACUAAUUUUGAAAAUUCACAGAGAAACUCUUAAGUAAAAAAUGGUUGAUAAUGAUUUUGAGAUCUUUAAAUUUUUACUAGUAUAUAGAGAAGAAAAAAUAUGUUAUAUACAUAUCCACGGAUUAACCCUUUUUAUGCAGUUUCACACAUUAUAGAUUUGUAGUUUAAUCGAAUUACCUCCAUAUGAUACAGUAAUGAUACUAAUAAUUAUAUAUAUAUAUAUAAUUUUAUGAACUAUGAUCGGGUAAAGCAAUUAAGUACUUAAAUUUUGGUGCAAUGUGGGAGAAAUAGCAUACACAAUAUUGAUACUAACAAAGAUACACAAAUUCCAAUUAUGGAAGUUAUAUAGACCAUAGGUUACACAUUCCUACUCCCACUGAUUCAUCAUGGUAUGUUUCUUACGAUCCAUUUAACUAAAUUAAUAACAAAAAAAAAAAAAACUAAAUUAAUAACUCAUAUCUUUUACCGACUUCCUUCAAUCUGCCGAUUGCCCGAUCAUUAUUUUAUUUUUGAUAGGUAUAUAUGAUUUAAAUAACAUUUGUGGCUUUUGGUCAACUAAAUAUUUGUGAAUGUACCUAGUAUAUGUUAAGAUUUAUUAUAGAUUAUUAAGCAAAUUUUACUUUUAUUGUUCUUGAAAUUGAGAAAAGUGGUAAUAUAGUAAGAGACCAACACAAAACAUGCUCAUCUGUUAAUUGCAUUUUACGUUAUGUUCUUCUCCUUAUUCGAUGUUUUUGGGCUAUUCCCCACGUAAAUUCUUGCUUUUUCAGUGUAUAUACCUUGUGAGAGAAGAAAAAAAAAACAAAUUGAGAUCAGAAAAUUUUGGUCAACAAUAUGUUUUUCUUUAAGUUUUUUAUGAACGGUGCCUUAGUAUUGUAAGCUUAUUUCGUUAAACCAAACAAAUAUAUUUAGAUUUUAAUGUCGCAUUGAUUGAUAGACUAUAUGUUCAUUCAGUAUAUUUAGAUUUUAAUAACGCAUUGAUUGAUAGACUAUAUGUUCAUUCAGUACUUGAUUUAUAUACUUUUUAAUCUAUCUAGUUGGGUUGGCUCACUUUAGUUAUGGGUGUGAACUUGGAUCUCAUGUUGUAGUUCACAGUUUCUUACAGCUUUCGGGAAUUUUACGCAUGUCCCAAUGUCUAUGCAUGGCAGAUUCCCAAUAGAGACACAUGGCUUAUGGUAAAAUAAAAAUAGAUUAGAUUUGGUAUUCUCUUGGGUUUCUUUUUUUCUUGUCCUAUAUAAACACUAGUUAAUCUUCUUCUAAUCUUUCAUCAUUCUUGCGCAAUUUGAUCUCAUAACUCAUUUUGAAAACAUUUCCGUAUCGAAGAGAAGAAAAUUUGAGAUGACCAAUAUCACUUCGAGAUUUUUUUGUUUGUUGAUACUUCUUUUGUUUUGCCUCUCCUUUGGAUAUUCUCUUCAUGGUUGAUAACUCUCUUUUAUCUUCUUUUUCUCCAAUAUUAAUUUUUACAUUUUUAAGGUCAUGAAUAUUCGAAAUAAUUGACUCAUCACUCACGUGUUAUGAAAUUAUACGUAAAAACUUGCAUUAUGAGAAUCGAACUUCCUAAAAUCCAUUUCUUCCCCCCACCCAUUUUUCAUGAAUUAUAUAUAGCUCAUGCAUUGUUUAUAGUAUAUAAAAAAUGCAGUUAAAUUAACUAUGUCAUUUUUUUCAUCAGGAAAUAAGGAUGAAGUGUCAAGAGUUGACGACGUUUCAAAUGCAAAGGUAUUAAUAAAUUUCCCUAGACUAUACUCGUUUAUGUGUUCUCUUGAUUAGUGAAUACUUGUGGGUUCAAUAUUAGGCACACCAAUUAUGAAUAUUACAUAGCGAUUACAUAUAUCUCAGUUUGAGUUUCGGCAAAUACACAUGUAAAUAAUAUAGUAAGGUUGAUGAUAAGCAGGUUAUGAAGCAUCUUGAUGAUGAUGGUGAUGCAACGAAGAAGGUGCAAAUACGAGGAAGAAGUGGAGACGAGUUUCGUAAGGAAACAACAAGGAUGACGAUGAAGAAGCCAACAAAGAAAGAGACAACUGUUGAGGAAGAAGAUGAUCUCGUUGCGUACACUGCUGAUUACUGGAAACCAAGACACCAUCCUCCCAAGAACAACUGAUCCAUAUUUAUAUAAAAUGCUCCUUAUAUAUAUUAUUCAAUAUCAAUAAUAUAAGAUAUCAGUAUACAUAUAUGUCAUGAGUGAUUGUAAGCUUUGUGUUUGUAACAUCGAUCGUUCUAAAUUUUCUAAAGUGGUACGUAUAAGUUAUAACCAAGUUUUGUUCUCUUUUUUUUUUUCUUUUUUUUGUCUUCAACCAAGUUUUGUUCUCUCAAUGUUAUCAUUAGUCGAUGAUGUUGUACAAUAAAGAAUUUACUAUGUUUGUGAUUUUUUUUCUUUUUUUUUUUUUUUGGACAAACUAUGUUUGUGAUUUAUUAUCAUCAAGUUCAAUUUCGGAAUAUUCUUUUUCUGCUUAUGAACACUGUAAUUCCUUACCGGUCCAAAACAUAAUGAACGAAUGUAAAUUCCUUCACUAAAAAUUAUGUGCUGAUCUUAAAAUAGAAGUGUUGAUACAAAAGGAUGCUUCAGACAGACAAGAUAUGCUCUUAAAUGAGCAAGAACAACACAACUUUCAAGAAGUCACAGUAAGAAUCUUGGAUAUAAAUUUGGUCUAAAAAAGGAAAAGGCUUGAUUUUAUUUCACCAGUCUUGGUUUGUAGUUGUAUGGGUUUCGACUCCCUUGCCCCUCACAGAAAGCUGAAGUAACCCUUUUGUCCACUUCCAUCAACUACUCUUAUUUACUACCAAUCAUGUUAUAAACAUAUAAUUGGGGGUUGUUGCCACUGGCCGGACCAUUUUGCCUCCCCGUUUAUUUGUGAACCAAGCUGAGGAAGUACAAGAACCAGUGACUUUAUCUUCCAGAAGAACCUGACGAAAACUAAUACAGUGUAAGACUGAAGCAGCAAAACGACCAAGACAUUUGCGUUUGGGUUGGGGAAACUAAAAGCUUGACAAAAAAGUGUAAGAUAUCAUGUUCAGAUUUCCAUCUGACCGAAACAUCCCCAUAGUUCACAUUAUCGAUUUCAAAGGUUAUAACACACUCAUUGUGUGAUAUAGAUGGACAACAAUGAGGAGCCAUGGAAAGUAUCUUUAAAAACACUCUGUAAAUGGUUAAGAAACAUCACUUACUGCGAUCCUUCAAAGAAGUUAAUGUGAUACAACUGUUGCCCGGUGAUACCAUCCAGUAGCUAAGAUUGAUCUGUUAACUAGAACAAUGAGAAACAACAAUAAAACACCAGAUAACUAACUAUGGAACUUGUAUGGGAUUCUUUUUUACAGUAACAGUAUACUAACAACAGUUACCUCAUGUGACAGUUUCUCUACUGAAAGUGUGCCUUCUGCAGUUAGCAGAUAAGAUGUGACAAAACGACAAGCAUUUGCUGAUUACUAAUCAGGCAACAAACCCGAUUUGAUUGUCCAGGAAAGCAAUUCAUCUGAUGACUUGAUCAUCAUUUCACAAAUAUCUAAGUCAGGCGAAAUACCCCGGCAUAACAUUAGACGGAAGAAGAAUUUGCUCUCAUUCACUAAAUGUCUCCUACACAAACGAUUGAUCACUGCACUGUAAUCCCUGAUGGAAACAUCGAAUCCACUGUCCAGCAGCUGAUGAAAGAGCUUCUCUGCCAUUUUUGGGUCACCCUUUACACAAUGUGCCUUGAUCAGUGUGGUAUAAGCAAAUUUGGACAGACUAACAUUCUGCUCCUGGAGCCAAUAGAGAAACCUGUCAGCUUCCUUUAUGUAACCGUUGACACAAAGGCUGUCGAUUAGAAUAUUAUAAGUAGCAGGCGUAGGAUCAAGAUGUCGGGAUUUCAUUUCUUUCAAUAACUCAAAUGCUUUGGAUAAAUGUUUAACUCUGCAUAGAUACUGAAUAAUUGUAUUGUAAGUGAUCUGAUCUGGAGUUAUACCUUCAGAAUCCAUGUCUCUGAGCACCUGGUUGCACUUUCCGAGUUUCCUGUCCCUGAGUAACUGGUUGCAUUUUUCGAGUUUCCAGUUGCUACAAAGUCCUUUAAUAAUCACUGCGUAUGUGACAUUGGUUGCUGAGAUUCCUUUUGUUUUCAUUUCCGAGCACAAUUCAUCUAUGCUUUCAGUAUCUCCACAGUUAGCGUAUGCAUUCAUCAAUGUUGUAUAACUCACAGCGCUUGGAACCAAUCCAUAUAACUUGAUGACAUCUAAGAUUCUUCUAGCCUCAGCUAUAUUCCAGAUUUUGCAAUACCCGUAAAUCAAAGAAUUGAAAGUUGCAACGCUAGGAGGUAUCCCACUCUCAAUUACUACAUUGAAUAAUUUUAGUGCCUCCUCGAUGCAACCAGACUUUGCAUACCCGUCAAUAACGAUAUUGUACAGAAUAAUAUCCAGUGUGUUACUAGUUGAUUUCAAAGAAUCCAGAAGCGCUUUUGCCUCAAGCAACAUCCCUUUCUGACAUAAACCAAGCAAAAUAGCACCAUCUGUCCUAGAAUUCGGAAGAAUUUUGGUACACAUCUCAUCGUAAAGCCAAACAGCCAUAUUAAAUUCCCCUAACCUGCAGAGACCGUGAAUCACAAUAGAAUAUGCCACAAGAUCAGCCCUCAGACCAUUGGCUUCCAUAUCAUAGAAUAACGACAACGCUUCAUUGAUUCGUCCUGUUUUACAUAAACCACUGAGCAUUACACUGCAGGGGAUGAUACUGUGAAACUCAAAUCCCCUCGACAACAUAUCCUUCAGCAAUCUUAAACCCAUAUCAAUAUUUCCUAACUGACAAUGCCCACAUAGUACUAUUGUGUAUGUAAUAACAUCAGGACUCAAACCUUUAUCUAGCAUUUCUUGAAUAACCUCCCAAACCCCACCAAUCAUACCGAGAAGAUGAAACCCUUUGGCAAGAAUAUGGUAUGUUACAGAAUCAGGUUCCACUCCAUGCUUAUUCAUGUCAGUAGCCAAUGCUAAAGCUUCUGUGAUAGAACCAGCUAGACAGAGUCCGUUGAUGAGUAUAUUGUGACUAUAUACACUGGGAACCAAUCCACAUUUCAAAAUUGUACAGAUAAACGACUUGGCCAUAUCUACAAAACCCAAUUUACAGUAACCUGACAUUAUACUAUUAAAAGAAACUACAGAGGGACCAAUAUCCUUCCACUCUGAAUUUCGGAGGAACGAAACUGCAUCCUCUAACUUUUGCUGCCUACACAAACCAUCUACAACUGUCGAGUACGUGUGCUCAUUCUUAUCAUUGAUUUCCUUGUACACAUCCCACAUCUUAUCUGUUUCUCUAAAACUAUACAAAACAGAGUUGUAUGACUGUGUUGACACUUUCAAGUUGAGAUCCUUCAUCUUUUCCAAGAUAUAGAGAGAAUCAUCUACCAUUUUAGAUCUCGACGCAAUAAACAACAACAUAUCCCAAACUACUCCCGUGGAAUCCCACUUUCUGAAGCUACUAGAAAGAACUUCACAAAGCAAAGAAGCUGAACCAGAGCCUAAAAGCAAAUCGUGGAAAAUUGAUGCAAUAAAUCAGACUCAGGAAUAUCUAAAUCAAACCAAAAACAAUAUUCCUACAAAACAAAGAAUAUCGUAACCUCAAAAGUAAUUGGCACAAGUUUCAGUUAUACCUCUAAGCCCUCAGUAAAACAGAAUCAUAUCCCAAUUGUUCUUUUAAUCACUGAAGAAAAAAGAAAAGAGAAAGACUUGCCUUGCAAUUGUUCAUUCUCUUGGAGCAGUUGUUCCAGAAUCACUUGAAGCUCUUUAAAACGUCUUUGACCAGCAAAAAUAUGUGAAACCAACAAUGUCGAAAACCUGGAAUGACGAAACCCAUAAAUAUCUCUUAGCUCUUUGAAAAACCAAACCGAAAGAUCCGAGCUUUCAGCCAUCAAUUCAGCCAUGAUCUCUUCUACAUGAACCUGUCUCAGUUCCGAAACCAUAACUCGAAAGUGAUUCCCGUGAAGAAACUCACGGAACCCAUUCUUCUUCAUUCCAAGGAGAAUCUCUUGAUGCAAGUCUCUGUGAUCGGAAGUGAAAUUGGAUGUGGGUAAUGGCUCAUCGUCGAGUUUGGCGACGGAGAAGGAGGAUUUAGUGGAUAAGAGAGAAGAAAAGGGAGAGAGGAUACGAGAUACUUUGCUUGAAUUGGAUGCAAUCCAUCUACAGAUCAUGGAAUUUGGGGACUAGGGUUUGUCAACUGAGGGAUUUCUGGAGAUGCCCUUGACGUCAAUUUGAGAGAUUGGCGGAGAAUUGAGGGUCGUCGGAGAGAUAAUUUUGUUUGCUUUUCCCGGCAAGUUUGAAGAAACAGACGGAGAAGAAAAGGGUUUUAGGAAUCUUCUCGGGUUUAUGAUAUAAAACCUAACUCCGGUUUUCAAAUAGCAAAUCAAUUGUUCCGGUUCAACUUUCUUACCGGUUUACAAAAAUUAGUAAAGAGUAGAAGAAACUCUCAAACUAGUGUCAAAUUUUUAUUUUCUUGUUUGCCGGUUAACAUAAUUAAUCAAUAUUUCUGAUGAUGUUGAAAUAUGUAUACAUACAUCACAAAUACCUAAUUUAACAAAGUAAACACAUACGUCGUAAGAAAAGAUAAAUACAUGCAUAAAGAAAGAUGAGAGUUCUUUGUCUAAAAUAGGAGAAACGUUCAUUUCUCUAUUUAAAAUGAGCAUUCAUGCAGCAGCAAAGAGUAGAAGCUAAGACUAAUCUGUUUUAACAAUUAUUUUAAUUCAUCGUAACCAAUAUCAGUAAUCAUAUUUUCCACUAAAGAACGUUGUGUUGAGUGCGAACAAGCUAGGGACUAAUAUACAUAUGGUUUUCAAUCCAAGGGCAUCAUUCAUAGGCCCUUGUUAUAAUACUCAAAAUUUGAUUAUACAUAUCUGUCAAUUAGUAUUUCAAAUCAAGUACAGAAAGAGAACUCCAACAAAUUGAAUAUUAAAAGCAAAUCGAUUUAGAAAAGGUAAUAAGAUGGAUCAUCACUUCACCAAUUUGGUUAUCUGUCACUUUUCUUGAUACAUGCAUUAGAUCUUUAAACAACUUAAAUUAAUCAGCAAAAUCGUAGUAUGUCCUUUUCAACUUUAAUAAGCUUUUCAAUAUUUGGAAAAAAAAAAAAACCGAUGUAUGAUUUUUUGCAGUUUCUUUGUAAUAUAGUAAGGAUAUUAUUCAAAUAUGGUAAAAUUUCACAAACAUGAAGUCCACAUUUCACCAACUUAGGCAUAAUUAGUUCUAUCACUAGUAACCACAUGAAUUAACUUAAAACCUCUCAUUGUAUGCUCUCCUAUAAGUACUUGUGGUUUAUUCUUUGUUUUGGCUUACCCCAAAAAAAUCGAAGAUGUACAAAUCAAGUCCUAAAAGAAGAGAAAUUGUGGAGAAAAGCAAGAGUGUAAGGGAAAAGGAGACUAAGCAAAACUCUAAUUUCUUUGCCAAACACUUGAAGAGGAUAUACCCAAUCACGCUUCAACGAAGUACUUCUUCUUCAUUCUCACUCUCUUCUAUAUCUCUAUCACUCUCUCAGAACUCAACCGAUUCUGUUUCCACGGAUUCAAACUCGACGUUGGAACAAAAGAUAUCUCUAGCACUUGGUUUAAUCUCAUCUCCCCGCAGAAGAGAAACAUUUGUUCCAAAAAGUAUCCCGCAACAACUAGAACAAGAACUAUGUCAGGAUUUCAAUAGUGAUGAACCAAAGAGGUGCAAUUGGAUCACCAAGAAAAGUGGUAAGAUGCAAGAUCGUUGUCCUAAAAUAAGACUAUAGCUAAGUAGAAUCUAUACAAGUUAAAUAGUCAAUAACUCAAUAUAGUUAAGUAUAUACAACUUCUUUUGCAUUUUUUGUUUGUAGAUGAAGUCUACGUAAAGUUUCAUGACCAGCAAUGGGGAGUCCCUGUCUAUGAUGAUAAGUAUGAUUACGCAACCUUAUGAGAUUAACUCCACAUAAUUAAUUUAUACAUCUAAAUGAUAACCCUCAUGCAUGUUAUGCUAGAUAUAUGCUUAUAUAUAUUUAGCUUAAUGUCAUUCGAAUUGCAUGGUGAUUGAUAAUUUGAAACAGCCUGCUAUUUGAGUUCCUUGCCAUGUCGGGGAUGUUAAUGGACUAUAAUUGGACUGAGAUUCUAAAACGCAAAGAACUCUUUAGGUAAAAUCUCUCAUACCAAUAUUCAUAUUUUGUUACAUUAUACAUGAAAAUAAAAAUUUAUGGAUGUUAUCAUAAUGUAACUUGUUUAGAGAGGUGUUUUGUGAGUUCGACCCAAAUGUGGUGGCCAAUAUGGGAGAGAAAGAGAUCACAGAGAUUGCAUCAAACAAAGCAAUAAUGUUACAAGAGAGUAGAGUCAGGUGUGUAGUCGACAAUGCCAAAUGCAUAAUCAAGGCAAGUUUUAAACUUUUUUUCUUCCUUAUACUUUUAUUUUCUAUUAAAUGCUAAAUAUGGAUCCUAAUAAAAAUAUAUACCUACAGGUGGUCAAUGAAUUUGGAUCAUUCAGCAGCUUCAUGUGGGGGUUUAUGGAUUACAAACCUAUCAUUAACAAAUUCAAGUAUCCAAGAAAUGUACCAUUGAGAUCUCCCAAGGCUGAGAUCAUUAGCAAAGAUAUGAUCAAACGAGGGUUUCGAUUUGUCGGUCCAGUGAUCGUACAUUCGUUCAUGCAGGCUGCAGGUUUAACAAUCGAUCAUCUCGUUGAUUGUUUUAGACAUGGUGAUUGUGUGAGCCUCGCUGAGAGGCCAUGGAGGCAUAUAUGAUUACGUGAAGAGAGAAAGUCUAAUCCUUAAACAUAUACAUACCCUCUUAUCCUGGUUUUUGAGUAUUUUCGGUUUACAACAAAACUUGGUUUUCAGCUUAAGAAUUUCCCUUUUUGAGUGCUUUUUCGACUAUACAAAGGAUAUAUUUGAUUUGAAGUCAAAAUUUCUUUGGAUUAUUUAGUUUGAUAUUUUUCAGGUUUUGAUUUGGAUUUAACUUAUUUUAACAAAUAUCUUGUAAAUCGAUUUCUGUUUUUGAUUUGGUUUGGUUUCUAAUGUAAAAAAUAAAACCAAGUUGAUUUUUUUUUGUUCCAAGUUUUUUAGAUCAUAGGGAUGAGUACUACAAUAAAAUGGUUAUUCUUGUCUUCUUGAUUAUGGGAUGACUAUCCAAGUUUAAUUUUGUAAGUUUUUUUUUUUUUUGUGAAAUUGUGAAGUAUCAAUCAUUGUAAAGCCGUCGGCUACUGACAUAAUGAGGAACAAAGUAACUCCAAAUAUGCCUAAUUGCCUAUAUAAAAAGAAAAAGAAAAACCUUCAAAUUAUUUAAAGUAAAGAUAAAAACAAACAUUGUUUUUUCGGAAACUUACCAAGCUUCUGAUAGGUUCAACAAGUUGCUUUACAAGUUGUGCAUGAUUAUGUAAGACAUUGAGAACAAGACAUGUAAUGGGUCACUGAUGUAGCACUGAUGAAUGAAUGGUGUCCAUUAAAAUGAUAAGUUUAUCACAAACACAUCUCAUCUUUUCAGACCAAACGAUGAACAAGUUGGCAUAAGAAAAGAAAAUUCACAAAAGCAAAAAACAUCAUGUUGAUUGUUGUAUACCCCCUUGUUUAUACUACUUUUAUAACAAUAAUUUCAUUGAUACGUCGCGAUUUCAUAUAAAAUAUCAACCAAGUUAAAAUCUUAAAUCUGGAGGAAUAGCAAAAGAACGUACUACUACUAGUUUUAGGCUUUUAGCAAAUCAUGGACCAAUCAAUUUGAAAAGAAAAAAACAAAUGAAUGAAAGAAACCUUACUCUUUAAUCUGCUUAUUCUUGUAAAGAGAAGGCAAAAGCGUAUCAAAACAACAAAUGUAAAGAAAAUGGUAAAAGAAUAUUUACAGAGCAGGUCAGAGAAGAAAACGAAAGAACAUUUCUUUAAUCUUAACGUAGUUAACAAGUCACUGUUUCCAAACUCGUAAAAGUAAAAUCUUUGAUCUUCUAUUAUGUGAACUCUUAAAAGUUUUUACUUAUAUGAUCUUUCAAAACUUGCACGACGUACCAAGCCUCUGUCUAUUCCUCAACGUCAUGGUCUUACGUUCUGUGAAAGCCGAGCCAAGCAGCUCCUGGAACUUCUCCAAGAACACAACCCAUACUACUUCUUUCAUUUCUGCUAACUUCACAAAGUUUGCGCUCACCGGGAGCUGCACGUUUGCACUCUUGUGACUUACCAAUGUUUUGUCUGUCUUGUCUCUAGGAGGAAUAAGGAAUCCAGAUCCCAUGUUGUUGCUUAGAUUGUGGUUCUUCAAUGAUACUGAAAGCUUUGUGAGAGAUCGAGUAAGUAUUGCCUCUUCUUCGUCGCCUUCAUCCUCCUCUUCUUCAAUGAUGCUCUCCUUGAGCUUUCCAAGUGAAGAUUGUCCAUUUGAAAACGGGUUUUUGAUGAGUAAUUCAUCAGAGUCAAAGACCAUGUCUAUGUCGCUAUAGUCGAGAUCAAACUGAAACUCUCUGUCUCCUUCAAACUCUGACUUGGGAGAUAAAAUGUCUUGUUUCGCUGUUAAUCUCUUUGCUUCAAUACACACCAUUUCUAGUUCACUUGGCUCUUCUUCUCCUGCGCGGAAUUCCCGAGUCAUCAUCUCACCAAUCUCUGCAAGACAAAGUCCACUAACAGCAGCUUCUUUAAGGAAAACCGUGCACAGAACUAGGACCCUGAGACAAGCCUCUCGAAUCAUUGGAAGCUCUCUUCGCAGCAUUUCACAGUCUUUCACUGGAUCAAGAUUUCGUAUGUAGUCAAGUUCUUCUUCAGAGAAAGGUAUUGAAGCCUGUGGCCAAUGAAUCCAUUCGAAGUAAGGAUCUUCUAGUGUUUCUGGCAAGCAAAGUCCAUGAUCUAUAGGAAUAAGCUCAACUUGACCAAACCUCCCAGCACCACCAUUAUCAAGCUUCUUCACCAAAAGGUUUCCACCAUGCCGAUCUGUGUUGAGAAUCCUUAUGUCCAAUAUCCCAAUGCGGUGCACAGAAGAGACUGGGAAGCUUGACGUCCCGUGAUCACUGGCAUCAAAAUCAUGCGGUACAAACUUCUGGAACGAAGCAAUCUUGCUGCUGAUCAACUUUUUCUUCUCACGAGAUCUGUUCCCGUCCAUUCCAUCAUUGACAUUGAAAACAGAGUGUGUCAUCUUAACAAGAGCCGUGGGAGGAACAUUAGCAAAGUGGUCAUAGUCAAGAAGGUACGCUGCAACUUCUCUAUACCCAGUUUCCCCAACUCGCACAGAAGGCUUUAAACCAGGCUGCCCAAGUGUUUUCCCUGUGAAGCCUUUAGGAUUGUUAGGGGCAAAUGGUUCUUCAUCCGUAGGCUUGACAAUUACAACGCUUUGACCCUUUUCAUUCCUAAAGUAGUAAGCCCCUCCAAGCCCACCAUUGACAGGGAUUGGUUCAACACCCAUCUUCAUCGCCUUGACAAUGUCAUUCGCCGUCUGCUUCAGCGACAGAAAGCAAUACGAGUGACUGAGUAUCUCAAUAGGACCACUCAGAUCUUUCCUCUGCAGGUCCUUUCCAGUAGGUGAAAGACACGGAGUAGAAGAGCUCCUGUGCAUUAAGUUACGCUUAAGGAGCAGCGGAGAGUCAUUCCUCACAGCACUCAAGUCAUUCUUCAACACCAUAUCCCCAAAGGUCAAAGAGCUUUCCUCAGUAGGUAAGUUAAAGGCUAUCUGAAGCCUCUUUUUGACAGUGUGAACAUUAUCAUUACGGUCUAACUCAACCCCCAAAACACAGCCAGUUUCGGUUUGCACGAAAACACGUCUUCUUCCUGAAGACUGUUGUUGAAGCAAAGGAUGCUUAUACUGUUUCCCUUCCAUCUUUCUAGCCCCAUGAAAUUCCCCUUUAAGAGGAGCCUUAAACACAGCCAUGGCCAUCUUCCAGACUCAAUCGCCAACCAACACGGUUAAGCUCAACAAGGCAGAAGUGAAAAACAGAAACUUUUUAAUCCUUUAGCACUACAUCAGGUAAGCCAUGCUUUGUAGGUAGUAAAGAAGAUUAAAAUCUGCAUUAAAAAAUGGAUACAAAGAUCAGAAAUCUAGAAGGAUUUGAUUACUUUAUACAGUUGUAACUUAUAAAGCAACCUUCUUUUUUCUCGGCUUUUUACACGAAUCCGUAAAAUACUUGGAAAAAAACUUCUUCUUUCUCCACACUUCCCACGAGAUAACAUACAUCUUGAUCCAAGAAACUUUACACAAUCGUUUGAAGAAAUGAUUACAGCAAAUUUAUUCACUUUACACAAAAUCGAGAAACCAAACGGAAAAAAAAAACUAAAGAGAUCAAAACCGAACAAUGAAUCAAAUACAUGGAUUGAGAGAUUUUUCGAAAGAAAGAGAAGAAAACGAAUUGAAGAAGAACUCACCGGAAAGCAAGAUCUGAAGAGGAGACACGCACAUGGAAGACAGAGAAAGAAGAACACAAUGAAAGCGUAGAAGAAUCUUAGAAAAGAGGCUUCAAUGGAGGGCAAUGAAUCGGUAAAAAUCUGACUCAGUGAGUCACUGAUCCAUUAGCCUCUCGCUCGCUCUCUCUCUCUCUAUCUCUCUAUCGCUCUGCCUCCUUCGUCAACCUCUCAACGACGCUCUUUUUUUUUUCUCAGCGAAAAAAGUUACAUCAUAUCCAUUGCUAUCUCAUUUUUUAACCAGUGCCACGUCACCUUACAGUUUUAAUUCUUUUUUUGUUUGUUUGUCAAUUCAUUAAUUAUGUUCUGUAUGUUAGUUAAUUCGAGGUAUAAUAUUUCUUUUGCCUUCCAUCUCUUGUGAGAUUAUAGAUAUUUUAUUGAAAUACUAGCAGUUGACCUACGCUCCGCGCGGGAGGUUUAUAAUUUUGUUUCGUUGAUUUUUUAUUUAUAUUGUGAUAAAAAAAAUUUUAAUUGAUUUUCAAAAAAUAUUAUAAUUAUUUUCUCUUUAAUUAUUAUCUUUCAAUACUCAAAUUUGGAUUAAAAGCAUUUGAUUCAAUUUAUGAAAUAUCAUUUUUUUAUUUUUUAUCAUGUUAUAAACUAAUAUUUCACUUUUUUUUUCCUCUUUAUAAUUUUAUAUAUACAAUUACAUAAAUGUUGUUUUAGUCUAGCAUAAAUUUAAAUUUUACUUCCGUUUUAGUAACAUAUUUAAAAUAUUAAAUUACGAUCAAUUUAAAAUGACAGUUGAAUUAUAUUAUUAUCACUAAUAAAAACAAUUAAAGUAUUGUUUUUCUUAUUUUAACAUUUCAUAUUUUUUACAUAAUUUAUUUUUAUUUAUAUAAACUUUUUAUUAAUUAAAUAAGUAAUAUAAAUAUGCACUAAAUGAAUAUUUUAAAUUUAUUUUAAUUUUUAAAAAAAAAUGUGGCUUAUAUGGAUGCUUAGGUGGCAUUAUGAGAAGAGAGAAAAAUCUAACUUUAUAUAUAUAGAUGAUUGUGACAUAAAAUUUCACUGUCAGAUAAAAAAAAUAUUACAAGAAAAAAGUCCUUUUGUUAUUUUAUUUUCUUUAAUUAAUGUUAAAAAUUUAAUAUAUUAAUUGAGUAUACCAAAUUAUCAAUUUAUCAAAAAAAAAAACUAAUUUGGAACCGAAAAAGUAUAUAAAUUUAUCGAGGAAUCUAUGAAAUUUUUUGUAAUUAAGUGCUGACAAAAUAAAAAGAAAGAAUACAUAAAAUUGUAAAAUUUGAAAGAUGUUACCAUAACUCUGAGUGAGAAGGGUCUAGAACAAGCAAAGAGAACCGUCCGAUCUACAGAUUCUCCUCUACAUGAAACGAAAGCUGUUUGAUUACUACAUGAUACGUGGCGGGUGUCUACAAGUACCACGUUAUGACAAGUAGAGGGAUUAAGUGAUGAUGUGUGGCCACUUAGACCGACUUACUGACGUAUGUGACAGACAAGUUGCAACUAAACGGGCCUUGGAACUCAAGCCCAUUACUAAAUUGAAUGUCACAUUACAAAAUGUAUUUAGGUUUUGUACCUUGUGUCAGAAGCAACAAGUAGAACUGAGAACACAACAUACAAACCCACGAUGAAGUUAUUGAAACUUACAAUAUAAUUAUUUACUGAAAUACACAAAAAAGAAAAUCACUCGUCUGUGUUUUUCAAUGAUCUGUAAACUGAAUAGAACCAAAAAGUUUAUCAAAAAAAAAAAAAACCUCUGUGAAAGGCAGAGUACUCCAUCAGAAUCUACAACAGAGAAGAAGAGAGUAUUGUCUCCAUCCUUUCUCCUUUCGAAGUUGUGUCUUAUCAGAUUUCACCAUUCGUUCAGGACUAGUGUUCCAUUCCGAUUGCAAGCUGAAACAGAGUUUUAACAAAAGUUUUAUAGAGUUUGUAGAUAAUAAGUUUGAUAAGAUAUAUAUGUAUGUGAGAAGAUGUCUGCAUAUCUAUACAUUGGAAAAGCGAAGGAGCUUGCGCUGACUGUGCUUCCUUCAGAUCGAACAGAGAUGCUUCCGGAGACUGAGAUUGGUCCAAAGUAAGUAAUAUGAGCUAAACCUGACUCUGCUUCAGAGAAACUCCUUUCCUUAAUACCGUUGCUUGAGAAGAGAUGGUAAUCAUAAGCGUCCUCAAGCACAUCGUUUAGUCGUUGAUUCUCUGAUUCUGCCAUUUCAUAGGAAAGAUAUCUCAAGCUCUCUGCUACUGGUUCAUCUUUUUUCUCCUGUUCUGUUUCACGGUCUACGUUUUCUUCAGGUCCAUUAAUGUUGUUUGUGUUGGGUGGUCUUUGGGAAUCCUCCAUUAAUAUAAUAUCUCGCAAGGUUAUAGCUUCCUUAGAGACACUUCUUGAUGUAGCUGUUACAUCCCACGGUGGCACUUUUGAAUCAUCUUUAGCUUCUUUUUCUGUCACAAUCACAUUUUCUUGAUUGAGUUUACUAGAAUCUUGAAUGCCAACACAUUCUUCAAACUUGCUGUCUUCUGAGGAUUUGGAUUCUUGAGGUUUCGAGUUGAUGUUGACAGAGUCUUUCUCGUUGGAUAAUAACUUCUCCUGCAUCAUAGGCAUACCCUCAUCCUGACAUACAUCCUUGAAGACAUUAUAAGUAACAUCCUUGAAGUUACUAACUACGAUCUCAGGCAAUUCGCGAGCCAUUACAUUCUUGUCUAUAUAGAAAACCGGAUGAUCGUCUAGACUACCACGGUUGUCUUUUAUGGCCUCAUUCUUAGGGCCAAUCUUGCAUUCAGAUGAAUUUUGAUGUCCUGACAUGUUUCCAGCCUUCUCUUUGUCCUGUUCUUCACUUAUUGAGCCAUAGCACUCGCAUCCAGUUUCUUUCCCAUUGUCCAAGAUCUUUGAUUCAGUAUAGUUUUUUAAAACUUGAUCUUUGUCUGGCAGUCACAGUUGAGAAGAAAACUACUUGGUGUACUCAUUUUUUCAAAACAUUCAAAAGGUUUGAACAACAAAUAGGAUGGACUAACCUGAUCUCAUUGCCAUCUUUCACAGAGCAGAGGCUAUAAUAUCUUCAAACAGCCACCACUAUAUUUGAAUGGUGUCUACAGGGAAAAAUAAACGAAAUGUAUAUUGAGAAUUUUCUGAGUUGGGUCGUUGAGAGAGAAACAGAGUAAAAAUGAAGCUGUAUAAAUGACAAAACUCAUGAUAUAUCCAGCCAAUGAUGAAUGGCCCCAAAGACUUAAGGAAAGGAAUGUGACUUCAAUUAUUUUUAGCAAAGAUUAAACAGCCGUUUGAUUAAACAAAUGCACAGAGAAACAUUUAAUCAUCAAAAUACUUCACAUGAAGGUUACCAUGAAUCUAGCAACUGAAGAAUCUCAGAAAAUUAAAUUAUAAACAUUAUACUAAACGAUGGAGUCACAUAUAUAAAGGUCUCUAAGUCCUAGAAUUUGAUCAUAUCUAGCAUGCAUCUUGCUCCAUCUUACCUUUUCAAUUUCUCGGAAAUUUGUUAAAACCUUCAGAAGUCAACAGAUGAAUAGAUAUGAAUAUUUCUGAAUGAGAAGGGAAAAAAGAAAGUAUAUAUGUUUUAGUUCUCGGGAAAGCUAAACAAGGCCUUUCCAAGUUUCAAGUAAAGAAAUAAAAUCUGGCAGAUGAAGAAACUUUUGGAGAAUCGGAUCUUUACGAUAUCGUGUGGAUUUGACUUGUUCGUUUCAUAUGAUCCCUAAAACUUUUAAAAGAAGACAAACAAAGUCAACUUCUAUAAGAACAGCCAGGUUUUUCAAGUACAAAACAUAGCUUUGUUUAUGUAAUGUCCCAAAAGUCAACAAAUGCAUACAAUUUGAGUCUGGAGAAUGCCUAAACUAUGGUUUUUAAAACGUCUAUUGGGACAAAAGAGUAUAGGACAUAUAUGUGAAAUAAAUUAGUGAAAAAUGAAAAUAAAGAUUGGUUUGAUUGAUAAGAAAUGGCACAAUGGAAAAAUCAUUAGGUUGAAACCUCGUAAAGAACCAAAGAUGGAAAUAGAAAUUAGUCACAAAAAACACAUAAGCUAAGAUCCUGACCGUCGGUUUAAACUCGAGUAUUGGGUUCUGACAGCGGCCUUAAGAAAAAAUCAAAAGCCCACAAGAAAAAAAAAAAAAAAAAAAAAACAAAGUUAGGGUUCGAAGAGGUGUCUCUGAGUUUAAUUGAUUUGGAUGUAACUUGUCAAUGGUUUUACCAAUAGCUCCCGUUUAUCGAUGGGAAGAAGAAGUUGUUGUUUUACUGUCAUGGGCUAGGUCAAACAAUGAUGGUCUUGAAACCAAAUCAUAUUGUAUGUUGCUUUCAAUGCUUACUCCAUCGGUUUUCCUGUUUGUUACGUAUUUCCAGAGUUUAAUCUCUAUUGAUAAUAAAUCUGAUUAUUGAUCAUCAAGGCUAUAUGAGGUUUUUGUGUGUGAUGUAAAUUGUUUCUUAAGGCACUUAUAAAGCAGAUAAUGUCUCAAGUUUGCUUCCAUUGGUUCCUCUGUUAUCUCAUGUUUUGUUUCACGGUCUAUGUUUUCUUCAAGUCCAUGAGUGUUGCCGUUGUUUGGGAAUCCUCCAUUGAUAGAAAAUCUCCCAAGGUUAAAGCUUUCUUAGAGACACUUGUUGAUGUGGCUACUACCUUGUACAAUUCAGCCUUGUCUUGUACUCGUUUUUAAACUUACAUUGGUUAAUGAAGCACAUUAAUUAAUAUUGCAUCAAAGGAACAUAACAACAGAACAGAACCAACGGUCUUAUUAAGAUGCAAAACUAAAACCCACUUACGCAUACAUAACUUUUUAUAUCAUAGUCUCAAGCCUGAACCUUGUAAUUUCUCCUCAAUGAUCAUGUCGAUUUUGGUCUCCAUCUCGGGAGUUAGAUAAUUCUUCCAAUCACCAACUUCACCUUUGCGGAAAUAGCUAUUGUUAUCCACGUUCAUCCAAGUUUUCCCGGUUUUGUUAACCUCCAAACCGCUCAGAUUACGAAGAGAGCAUAGUUCCAAGACUUUGUUAACCAAUCCACUCUCUUCUUCUUCCUUAGUGAAAGGAUAACCCAGGAACUCUGCAAGCCUCUUGACCUGGACAUAAGGCUCUGUCUUCAUUUCCUCGUACCUCAUGAAAAGGACUUGCUUAGGGUUUUCCAAGCUGCCACUCCAAUAGCUAAGAGCAUGGUCCCAAAACGGAUCGUAGAAACUAACUCCGCUACAGAAAGACUCGAACAUUGACUCGAGAAUGCUUCCAGCCACUUGUUUAUUCUGAUACUUGCACCUGAAAUACCAACGCGAUAUCAACGCGUCUUUGACGUCCCGGCACAAGUACACAACCUUGCAUGGAGAAUCCUUGAGGCCCUCUUUCAUGGUGUGCAAAGGCAUGUGAGUCGAGAAUAGACUCGGAGAAGACGUAGAGAACUUGGUUAGGUCUGGUGUUGCCGUUUUGAGAUACAUAUCGAUCUCGAAGAAGGGGACUAUGCCAUGAGGAUUGUCGGAUAGUAAAGGAUGUGUCAGAGGAUCAUCAGAAUUCUGUUUAGAUCGCUCCAAGAUUGCGAUGGCGAGUGCCUUGAGCCAAGUGGUUCCGGAUUUGGGGAAUGAAGCCAGGACUAUGUCCGAGUCUCGCGGCUGGAAGUUUGUCUGGAAAUUGAUGAGUGCUUGGAGAGUGUUGUAGUAAUACCAACAUCCUUGGUACUUGCAGAGCUUCCCUUGAGAGUCUCUUUCUCUAGGAAGUGAGGAGAUCAGAGUCUUUGUUUCUUCACUUAUGUUGUCAUCUCUCAAGUUCAUUGGAAGUUCAGCCAUUUCCUUUGUUAAUUUUGUGUUUUGUUACAAUAUGAGAACGUCGCUAUUUAAUAUGAGAACGUCGCUAUUUAAUUCUGCAGUGGUGGGUCAAGUUUUUCAUGUCGUAAUAUGGACCUGAUGAAUGUUUUAUAUUAAAGUAGCAAAGUUUUCUCUUCAAAUUAUCACACAUAUAUAAAACCACCAAAAAGUAGUUUCAAACCAAGUAACAAUAUAAUUUGCCUUCUGUUUAAUUAAGUAAACGUUUUCCAAGUUAAAAAAGUAUAGGCAAACCAUAAUUCUAAUCGGUUUCUCGAUAUCCAUAUCGAAGAUCAUAAUAUUGCAGGUAAGAAUGUAACCUAAUCAUGUGUUAUUGUGUCGUCAAGUUAAAACUAGCCAAUUGAUUGAACGAAGUAGGAAGAAGCCUUAACCCUUUCUUGGUUCAAGCUGUUUGAUUCUCUUCAUAUUUUCAACUGAUAUCGAUUGUCUUAAAGCUUCAACUACCUCUCAUCACUCGUUUGCUUGUCUUUUUGUAACUCUUAUAAGUUUCGAAAACUCUUUGAGGCCUCUCUGUAAAAAUCUCAUUAUGAUAUAACAUACUAUUGGGAAUAAAACACACACUACGUACCAUAAGGGUGAAUGGGUAUGUAUGCUCAAGCCCAUUGGAUGUUAAAAUACCAACGAUUCCGCCACAUUUAAAUAAAUAUACGUAUGCACAUAAUGCACAUCCUCUCAAGACCAUCUAGACUAUAGUCCAUAAAGAUGAUCGUAAGACCACCAUUAUAGGGGGUGCAAGAUACCCUAUAAUAUUGCUCUUAUCAAUCAUAUUUUGUCUCUCCAAGUAAUACUAUCGAAGAAUAAAGCAUCAAAAGAAGACGUCUUGAAGAAUAUUUAUUUUGGAAGAUUAUAAUUUAUUGUCAGAAAUCGUAAUACUUUUAAGUUUAAGGAGUGUGUUAACAUAAUUCACAUGUACUACAAAUAAACUUAUUAAUUUAAAAUAUUGCUAUAAUUGUAUGUACUUACGUAACGUACCCAUUGAGUAUCGCUCGUGUGUGUAAAUGUUUUUCUCUAAUUGGUUAAAUUUCAUUUUUGGAUAAGAAAGAAUCCACAAACAUACAAGUUCCAUCUUGUUCCUUCUUUUGCAAACACUGGAGAGAUGUCGUCAGUGUAGAAGAAAAAAGUAAGUGAUCCAGCACCACUUGUUCAUGUACACCAUAAAUUCUUUGACUGCUAAUCUUUGAACUUGGACACCAACGGCGUUGGAUCAAUCAAUUAUGGUCAUUUUUAUGUUUGUUGGCCUGUGACGUAAUUGUCGAAACAGUUGAAAUCCAACUAGAUAAAGGAACCUACAUAUUUUGUUCUCAAAAUUUCAUGUACUAUAAAAUAAUAAUUAAGUUUUUAGUUCAUCAAUAAUAAAUGUGACCAGUGUGUGAGUAUAUAUAUAUAACUUACAUGCACACUUUGAUUGUGAAUUAGUUUGUUAUAAUAUUUGUUUGUGAAUUAGUUUGUUAUAAUAUUGGUAAGUAGCUUACAUUGUAUUAUUUUAGAACUAAUUCAGAAAUAUUUACAUAGACGAAAUAAUAUAACUUGACACUAGGAUGUUAGAUAUUACGAAAUAAUGAACCAAUAUUAUAAUGCAUGCUUUUAAAUAUUUAUUUCAUAAGCUCUUUUCUAUAUUAGCAUAGAGAGUUAUAUAUUUAUAUAUAUAGAGUCCGUUAAAAACUUCAUUUUAGGACCUUUACUUUUUUUUUGGUACCAACUGUUUAUCAUUAUAUAAAUUCUCCCACCAAAUUUGAUCAAUGGGUCACUCUUAUCUUUAUCGCCUUUUCCCUUUUGCCUUUGUGACCAUAAAAGGAUUUGAGAAUUUGCAUCAUGACACCCCCAAAAAGGUGUGAAUAUUCAUUGAUGGUAACGUGGCAUCACUAUGAACACAUAAGAACAUAUAUAAUAUUGAUAAGAGUUACAACAUUAAUAUGAAACUGAAUGAUUCGUUCAUAAUAGUUAAUCUUUACUCUAACAUUUAUAACGUGGACAUAUAUAAGUCUAUGGUAUGAGAUAUUUUGUUUUCUUGGUUUAGGUGUAAAAUUUUCCAAAUAGAUAAAAAUGCUAUUAGUUGAAGAUAUAACUUGAACAAAAACAAGUGAGAUACUAAUUCUUGGAUGAUGAAUAACUAAGAUAUGAACCGGGUUUAUACCGGUUCAGUUAACCGGUUUCUUUCAUUCUAUAAAGCUGACGCACCAUCUUUCUUCUCAAACAACAAUUUCUAAUAACCAAACACAUAUAUGUCAAAUCUUGAAACUCAAGAAACAACAAUGUCCGAGAUCGCCGGAGAUUCUCCACCAUCAGAAGAGAAAAUCAAUAAACCAAACCGCGAGAGGAAUGUCUCCGGCGAACUUGACGUCUUUGAAGCCACUCGAUAUUUCUCCGACUUCAACGAACCAACUACGAUCGAGUCCCCAAGAAUCCAAAUCCAGAAACAAAGCAUUGUUCUUGAAAACAGACAGAAGAGAGUACAUCCUGAGACAGAGGAGGAGCUCUCGAAACCUAGAGCUGUCGUCACAAAGCCGCAGAAGAAGGAGAUGACAAGUGUCGGCGCUAGGAAGCUAACAAGUUUCUUGAACUCUCUUCUUCGCUCAGCGGGUCUAAAGAAGUCAAAGUCGAAGUCAACGACGGAGGUAGAGACUCCACGAGGAGAAAGGAUGAGGAGGAAGAGCUGCGUAGUGACGGCCACACACGUCGUAGCUUCUUCUCCUAUUCCAGGUAACGGCGUGUGGCGUUUAAACGCGCGUAGGAGAAGCUUUGAUGAGAAACACGUGAAAGCUUUGAAGAAGAGUGAUGAGAAGUUGAACGUAAGGCUUUGUGAGAGUAAAGAUCGAAAUGUAGGAGAUCAUGAGACUGAUGUAAACGGUGAUUGCGACAGUGAUUCAAGUUCUGAAUCUGAUCUUUUUGAGUUAGAUUUGUUUGCUAAAUCAAACCCUUAAAUUAAGAACGGUCUCCGAAAAAUAAUCCUCUAAUGUAAAACAUUAUUAUGAAUCGUUAUUACAACUUCAUUCUAGAAUAUAUGACAUAAAAUAAAAAGUUUACACCACAUUUCUGCUAGCUCCUCGAUAGAAAACCAAAAAAAAAAAAAUGUAAUCGUGUUUUCUAUGUGAAAACACUCUCGACCACUUUUAUUUUCCACCUUAGUACAAAGUUAUAGAUUAGUCCAUUCAUAUGUUUUAGGGGUGAAUUCGUGUGGAAGCACUCGUGGGAUACUUUAUUCUGAAACUUUAGUCAGUUGGGAAUCUACUAAUAGUCAACAAAAAACACAUAGCAGAUAAGUUACAACUCUAUACUUAGCCCUAACAACUCAAUGGCACCCAACAUCUCUUUUUUUCUGAAAGACUCAAGCCCUAGCAAUCAUAUUUUCACCAUAAACCAUACAAUUUCUCUAACUCUUAAAUAAAUUUUUAGUGAAUUAAGCUGAUGGGUCACCUCCCCGAACCAUGAAUCUUCAUUCAAUCAUGUCCCAAUCCCCACUGCUAACAUUCUACAAUACGCAAUGAGUAGUCCUAACAGUUUCUUAUAUACAUGACUAAAUAUUCAUAACAGUUGUCAGAGCACGUUGUAAAAAGCACUAUAGCUUCUAAUAAUUUAAAAGCAGCUUUAGAGCAUGUUGUAAAAAAAAAGGUUGAAGAAUGAAACGUAUGGAUUUGUUCUGUCCUCGGUAAUCUUAAUUUGUGAAUGUGUAAUUUAUUUAAGGUAGAAAAAAAAGAAAAAUCUUGAUUAAGGUUUAUGCAACUUUUAGAGAUUAACCGAAAAGAACCCUUUAGAUAUCCACGAACUGUUAACUUCUAAACAAUAUUGCAUUGCUUUCUUUUUCUUUUGGUUGAUGAGUGCGUUAAAUAAUAGUAUAUGGUCCAAAAAAACAUUAUUGAAAAAUUGAGAUAUUUUUUUUACUCAUAGUAUAACAUAUAAUAAUCAGUUUGACUAAAUCAAGCAAUGAAUUUCAUGACAUAGAUGCCAUAAAUGAUUCUAUAUGUUUACGAUUUUUCCAUCGUCUUUUACUCUUUUUGGUAAUCUUUUGGUAAAUAAAUAUACUCAACAUUUAGUCAUGGACUCAUAUAUUAAAUUAAUACUGCAUCUUAAAUAAAUACCACUAUAUCCGUAAUUUUAUCCAUAAUAAAACCAACAAAUAUGCAAGAAAAUAUAUAUAAUAUAAAUGUAUUUGAUACCAACUUUAUAUCAUCAUCUGUAGUUAAAAUUUAAUUUAUAAGACUAAUUAAAAAUGUUUAUAUAUGAAUUAAUAUAUUGUUAUCAUUUACUCUAUCACAUCAGUGAUUUGAAAAUUAGUCAAAUAUGGUUUAUUUCCUUCUAAGGAUAAAUUUGACUAAGUGUGAUCAUUGUAUUUUGAUUUCCAAUUUAGAGAAAAACACAUUAGUCACUAUUUAAGAGGUUACCCAAAGAAAGAAAGAAAGAAGAAUUAUUAAACCUUAAGGAAACAUUUCACCAAAAAAAAAAUUAAACCUUAAGGAAAAGUAUUCUAAAUUUUUGACAAAGACUUCCAAAGUUGUAAUAAAUAUAUUUAAUCAGUUCUUUUGUCAAAUUUAUAGCAACGCUUUUCGCUACGAAAGUUUCAUCUAUCUUCUUGGUCAAAUCUUCAAAGUCAGUAACAAUGGCCAGUUUCAAGUUCGUCUUCGCUGUCGCAGUUUUGGUUAUGGUUCAUCCGGCAGCAAUCUCUUUUGUUUCUUCCAGUGGCUCAUUGGAGGUAAGGCAUAGCAAAUAUUUAUCUACUUUACAAUUUUCUUAAAAUAAUCUGGUUAUUUCCCCCACACCCAGAUUCAUAAUCAAUCUUGAGAUCCUAAGAUGUCAUGCAAAUUCUGAAAAAAUCUGAGAUAUUCAUCAUCAUAAUAUAAUCUAUAUCCACAUUUAAUUUAGGGAUAUAGCUAGGGAUAUUGUCAUUUAUGUUACUACAAAAUUUAAGGUUUUACUUCAAUUUAGCUCGGCGAUCAAUGCUCGUCGGAUGAAGAUUGCAAAGUUGGACUUGGUUGUUUUAAAUGCGGCAUAGAUAUUGCAACAUGCGUUAGAUCAAACAUCACUGAUCCAUUCUCCGUUGUGGUAAGUAAACACACAACUUUUGACCAAUGCUUUUUUUUUUUUCCUUCAAUAUAAAUUUACACACUACUUUUUUCUUUUUUUUUGUUGGGUAACAGAACAAUUCAAUGCCGUUUAAUAAAUAUGCAUUUUUGACGACCCACAAUUCAUAUGCCAUUGAAGGGAAGCCACUUCAUGUUGCGACCCAAGAAGAUACUAUAGUUCAACAACUCAACGUGCGUUUUUAUAAUUCAAUGUCUGUUUCUUAAUUAUUAUCAUACUUCUAUAAUGUGAAUGUUAUCUUAAUGUUUAUUUUUAUUUAGAGUGGUGUUCGAGCAUUGAUGUUAGAUACGUACGAUUACCAAGGAGAUGUAUGGUUUUGCCAUUCGUUUGACGAAAAAUGCUUUGAGCUCACCAAGUUUGUAAGUCCAAUUUCUAUAUUUCAUUAACCAAAAAAGGGAAGGCACACAAAUAUAUUUGCUUUUGAAAACAAUUGUAGCUUUAAGAUUUGUCUUUUCAUUGGAAGAGAAAAAAAUAUCGUAACAUGCAAUGUUUUGGUAUAAAUGAUUUGUUUUGUUAUUAUUAUUAUGUCACUUUAAUAGAAUCGGGCGAUAGACACAUUCAAGGAGCUAUUCGCAUUCUUGACAGCGAAUCCCUCAGAGAUUGUGACUUUGUUCUUGGAAGAUUACGUCAAAUCGCCAAACGGGUUAACCAAAGUGUUUACCGAUUCCGGUUUGAAGAAAUUUUGGUUUCCGGUUCAAAAUAUGGCUUUGGGUGGCCGAGAUUGGCCGUUGGUUAAAGACAUGGUCGCCAAUAACCACCGGUUAAUUGUCUUUACUUCAGCUGAAUCAAAGCAAGUGACCGAAGGAAUAGCUUACCAGUGGAAUUACGUGGUGGAAAACCAAUGUAAGUGUGAUGAAGAUACCAAAUAUCCGGUUUAAUUUUAUAGAGAUAACCGGUUGAUUGAUCCUAAUGUGAUAUUAUUUGUCGUCAGAUGGGGACGAUGGAGUUAAACCAGAUGAAUGUAGCAAUAGAGGAGAAUCUAAACUGUUAACCGACAAAACCAAAGCGUUGGUUUUGGUAAACCAUUUCAAGACAGUUCCGGUUAAGUUGUUGACUUGUGAGGAAAACUCUGAACAACUUCUCGAUAUGAUUAAGACAUGUUACGUGGCCGCAGGGAACCGAUGGGCCAAUUAUGUCGCCGUCAACUUUUACAAGGUAAAGGUUAUUAGUUAUAGUAUAUAUAUAUAUAUAUAUAUAUUAAUAUUAAUAUGGUUCAAAAACAUAAUGGAGUUAUGAAUUUUAAUUAUGUUUUUAUUUUUGCUUGGGUUUGAAACAGAGGAGUGAUGGAGGAGGAACAUUUCAAGCAGUUGAUAAACUAAACGGAGAGCUUCUAUGUGGACGUGAUGAUGUGCAUGCUUGUUCAUUUUAACAGUAAUUAAACAACACGCAAUAAUCUUAAGCUCCCAUUAGUUUACAGAUUAUCUCUAUUACAAAAUAUGAAAUGUUUUUGAUUUUUUUUUCAAAGUUUUUUUUUCAAAAUAUAAAAUGUUUUCACAUCUCUAUAUGUACAAUAUAAUACAUUUGAUAUUGUAUGGCCAUCUUUUUAUCAUUGGCGGAAAUUUUUAAAAAUAAAUUAAAAUAAAUGAUAUUAGCUAAAUGAAGAGAUUAGCCCCAAAAGUUUGAAACUCCAAUUUGAAAAUAUAUUUUCUGUUUUAAAGAUUUUUAAAAAAAUAAUAAAAUACGAGAAAAAUAGUUAUACUUAAAUCAAAAAUUGUAGAGCAUGACCGUUGAAUUGAAGUAAAGUGAGAUUCUUCUGGAUCGUGUCAAUACUAUUGUUAUUUAUCAUAAGCCCUCAAGUUUUCAAGAUAGGACAGGGACAAGGUCUCUACAAGACAUGUAUGAUUGGCAACUUACUCAAGUAACAAAACACAAGAAAAACUGAAUAUAAUAAGAAGCCUUGGAAAACAUGAGAAGAAAAUUAUCUUUAAAUUAAACUGCACUAAUGUUAGAUUACAAUGGUUAAAUAAAUUAAUUUGAUAGAGCAGAAAAUAAACUUUGGAAAUAAUAAACACUGUCUCCGCCAGUGGUAGGUUUAAAGACAAAAUCAUAAGAUUUGGUAUGGAGAUUAUGUAUCACCAUUGCUUGCAAGUUCUCACGACCAUGAAGUAAUAGCUUAUUCUUCUCCAGAAUUGCUAUUGGAAUGAGUGCGCAUUCGGGUUCCCCCAACCAAGAAAAGGUUUUGGUGAGAUCUAACGAACAUAUUUGCUUCCAUGUGCCUAAAGAAGAGUCAAACGACCAUAUGACUUGGGAUGACCAGUUUUUCUCCGUUACGCACAAGCGGUUAUCGAGGAUGCACAUGGUGUAGUUGUGUGGGUUAGAUACAUGGGGAAAAGGAGUUUUAGAGAUGACUUGAAAAGUUUCGGUGUGAAGAUCCAGAGAUAAUAUCUUGGUUUCUUCUUCACAGGCGGUGUACCAAUAAAGUGACCCAUCCAAAUACACGGGUUUAUGGUAAGAAAGCACCCGAAGAGGAGAAGCAGGGGAAAGGUACCUCCAAGCUUUGGUGCUAAAGUCGAAAACUUCACAAGUAGUAACAUUGUCUAGGCCAUAUUCAGAUGAAUUAUAUAACCAAACGGGUUUGUAUGUGCCCCUGACUUUGUCUUUACCAAAUCCAAGCUUAUGAUGUAGGAUAGGGAAAUCUUUUUUCAUGAACUUGUCGAGCUUGAGCUGUUGAAAGCUGGAAAGAGGUAAACUUUGUUGCCAUCUAGUUGCAGGGUUGAUUACAACACCCGGUGUGUUGACACAAUGGAGACAUACGAGGCCGUCACAACUACCAUAGCAAACUGCACUGCAACUAGUAGGGAGCUUGACCGUAGAAACUAUGGACGGACCAAAGUCAAUUCUCCUAGGAGGUUCACCUUCUUCAAGGGAGAUGAAAAGGACAUCUGGACCUCGUGAUUGCUUGCGACGGAUCAACUGUCGUUCCUGAAAACGGUUGGAUACGAUUGUGGACUUCCACUGCUUGGAUACUGACUUGAAUCUCAGCAGAGACUUCACAGGAAGUCUCUCGAGGAUGAGCUCUACAACAUCGUGUGGUAGCAAUUCCACACUAGAGCGAUGUCUUUUUAAUACAAAACUCGAGCUUGAGCGACGUCUUUUCAGCAUUGUCUCUUGCCUCUUAACUGAUCAAAAGAGAUGAUCUCGAGGGAUUUAUACGUGAGCUCGAGCUUGAAAUUGGAAAAAAGGGAAAACUUCCAAGUCAGUUUUGGUCUUUCAAAAAGGAAUAUAUAUAAUCUCCACUCUUUAUUAUCUCUAUCGAAGAUUUUAAUCGUUAUUUUUUAAAAAUAAAUAAAUCGAAACUCAAAUAUCUCAAAGCAAAAAUGAUACGGAUUUCGUCAAAUCAAAUCAAAAUUUUAAUUGUAAUCACAUUGAGUGUACCUUAGGAAAUGUUUGUAUUAAACUCUUCUUCCUCCAGCUUUUCCAAUCCCGAGGGCUCUCCCCCUCUCAUUAGAAUAAUCUGUAUUCGAUGUUGGUGCAGGAUCUUAGAGGCGGAGGAGAGAUACAGAGAUAUCUACCGGGAAACUCAGACACAUCUCUUGCAACCCUAUAUUGUCUUAUUCCUUUUUAUCAUUUGGGCUUUGCUUUGCAUUUGGGCUGAAGACCAAUAGCUAUGGCUUCACAAAAACACAAAAAAAAAUAAAAAAAAUUAGUUAUAUUUACAAAAAAUGUAGUGCUACGAAACAAUUGUAAACCUUUUUUCUUAUGAAAGAGGGAAAACAGAGGAAACAAGUAAUUAACUUGGUCGGCAAAAUAUUUUUUAGAUUUGCUUCAAUCCAAUAUUUUUUAGAUUUGCUUAACAUAGAUUUUUAGAUUCAAAUCAAAAGGAUACUGGAUUGAAGCAAAUCUAUAUAAAAAAAAAAUUGGUAUAUAAAGCAAAAUAAAUAUCUUUAAAAAUUGAAACGAACCACAAAUUCUGCAUUUUUUCUCCCCUCCGAAACCUAUAUAGAUAUUUCUAUUUUUUACAGAGUAAAUAUUGUAUAAUAAUUUUGGUAAAAUUCCUAACAAAGCAAAAAAAAAAUAUUUUAGUCAUGAAAAAAAUUCAAUUAACCCAUACAUUUUAUGAGUUAGUUUAGUAAUUAACUUCUAAAUUUGGGUUAAUCUAGUUUUUCCCUAAUUAUUAUUCCUAUAUAGAUCUUUAUUUUUGGUGAAAUAGAUUUUUUCCCUAACAAUUAUUAUCCCUAUAUGUAAAUUUUAGGAAUUUCUAGUUAUUUAAAGUACUAAAAUUUAACAAAUAAAGAAAAUAAGAAUUUUUAAUGAACCAGUGCCAAUUUUUGUGUGAAUUUUGAAUUUACUUUCUGAUUGGUUAUAAUAUUUUUUCUAAUUUUUACAGAUCAUAUAUUUGACAAAUAAUUUUAGAUUCUUUAAUACGUUUUUUUUGGUUGGGCAAACAGAUUUUAGUACGUGUCUAAACAUAUGCGGGCUUGAAGAGACAGAAGAUAUAAAUUAACGAAAAUAAUGUGCAAUCCUCUUUUUUUCAGUUUCUCUUUCGGCUUGACAAAAUGUCAAAACGAACAGAACCUCUAGUUUAAUUAAACUUCAAUCUAACCAAGUAAGACAAUCCUCCAACUUCUGAUCUUGCUUGGGAUGGGCAUGUAGCCUCUCGCUAUCUUCAUAGAGGUUGAGGGUAGAUUUUUUCUUGAAGUUGAUGACAGUUGAAUAAUAACAAGAAGCUUUCUUGGAAUUGUUUUUUUAUUUUUUUUUCUCCACAUCAACCGUUUUACCGUAAUAGACUUACUAGAUUUGGUAGUUUUGUGAAACUUGCUUGGUUAGAAAAGUAAAAAACAAAAAACCGUGGAACAUAUGUCUCGGACGCACAAUUUACCCGAAAAAGUUCCCAGUUUGCAACUCUCAGAACAAAGUCAACAUUAUAACUAAACAAAACACACAAAGCUGUACUGACCAAUACAUUAGAUUUCGUCACAAAGAUUUGGGGAAAAAAAGUCAAUAGAUUGUAGAUUCAAGGAUCUCGAAGGGCUGUAUUAUUGGGCCGAACCACCUAAAAGCCCAUUUAUAUCACAGAGAGAGAGAGAAACAAAAAAAUCGAUAUUGUUGUUGUCUUCUACUUUUUCCAAUUUCUCUGAAAAGGUUACGGAGAAAAAAGGGUUGAACAAUGGCGGCAGUUCAACAGCAGCAAGCGAUGCAGAAGAACACGUUGUAUGUAGGAGGUUUAGCUGAUGAGGUUAACGAAUCGAUACUUCACGCUGCGUUUAUACCUUUCGGUGAUAUCAAAGACGUGAAGACGCCUUUGGAUCAGGCGAAUCAGAAACAUAGAUCCUUCGGAUUCGUUACUUUUCUUGAGAGAGAAGACGCUUCUGCUGCCAUGGAUAAUAUGGAUGGAGCUGAGCUUUAUGGUCGUGUUCUCACUGUUAAUUAUGCUCUUCCUGAGAAAAUCAAAGGUGGUGAACAGGGUUGGGCUGCACAUCCACGUACGUUUCUGAUUACUCUUUCCUCUUCUCCUUUUGAUUUCUCCUUGGAUUUUGUGAAAAUUUGGAGCUAUUGGUGAUUUUGAUUUGUGUUCGUUGGGGUUUAUGAAUGAGUUUGGCAUUGGGGGACUUGUUGAAAAUUAGGUUUGCAAUUAUUGUUUUUUUGUAGAUUCUGAAAUUAGAUUUAGUAAUAUGCUCUUCGAUGUUAAGAAGUUGGUGAGCUUCAUGUCUAUGAUUGUGAUGUUAGUUUCGUUCAUGACUCCACAUGUUUUGAAAGUCUAUGAUGGUUUACUUGCUAUAUGUAAAAUUUACAACAUGAUUGAUCUGUUUGCUUCUUGAUAGUUCGUUUUUAAAAAACUAAUGAGGUAGGCAGAGAGACUUCUUUAUUUAAGUCUUGUUGUCUAACAAUUGUGACUGCUUGGUUUUGUUGCUUUUUUUUCAGUUUGGGCAGAUGCAGACACAUGGUUUGAGAGGCAGCAACAGGAAAAGGAAAUGCUGAAGAUCCAAGCUGAGAAUAAGGCUGCCAUGGAGACUGCUGAGGAACUUCACAGGAAGAAAUUAGCGCAAGACCGACAAGGGGAGAUGGAAGAAGAUACAGAUGUCAAAGACGAUCCUAUGGCUAGAGCCGAGGCUGAUGCUCUAAGCAAUGACAAUGCUUAAUGAAAGUAAGCAUUACCGGAUUCUCUAAUGCACCUUGCCCUGUAGGAUAAGAUGUGUGUUUUCGCCUGAGUGUGUCACACUAUCACCUCAUAGAGUUUUGAGGUUAGAUUGUUUCUCGCUGAACAUGUGAUUGUUAUAGUUAAUAGAUUUUGUAGUUCUGAGAAACUUGCUUCUUUAGAAAAGUAAAAAAAAAGACAACCAUUUUUCUAAACCGGAUGCUCUUCAUACAAAAAGGGUCAUCACUGAUAUAAAAGGACCAUUCUCUUUUGGAACAAAUAAGAAAAUCUAAAUCCUACUCGGAAAAUUUAAACCUGGUCAAGUUUAGACCCCGCUGGUUUAUCCAUAAACCAGAUCAGAUUCCCGUUGCUUGGGUGGACUAGCCUUGCAGGCAGGGACAAAGAGCUCUCUGAUAUGGGCAAAUCAUCGAUAGCUAAGUGGAUAGCAUUAGCUUUGGAUUCGCCUGUUGCUAUUACAACAACAUUAGCAGCUGAGUUAAUGACAGGCAAAGUGAAUGUAAUUCUCUCUGGUGGCGGUUUAGGAGAGUCAGUUAGGAAUGUGACCCAAUCGUCCUUCACCACAAGUGCAGGGUGGUUUGGGAAGAGCGAGGCUACAUGCCCAUCUGAACCCAUCCCAAGCAAGAUCAGAUCAAACUUGGGACAAUCACUGUUAUCAGACGCAGCCACCGUUCGUGUUCUCACCAUCUGCCUGAUGGCGAACUCAUACUCUGCUGCAGCUUCCUCUGCUGAAACUGUGUCGUUAAUGGAACAUAUAUGUCUUGGAAACACAUUUACCUGAAAAAAAAAGAAGUAAAGUUAGAACACUCUCAGAACAAACAAAGUCAAGAUUAUAACAAGACAAACCUCACACAAAGCUGCAUUGACCAAAACCAUGAUUGGAUUAGUUUUCUUCUCAAACAAGCGAUGAUUGGUGCAAAAAAAGUCAAUAGAUUGCAGAUUCAAGAAAAGCAGAUAACCACACGAUUCUUCCACCUAGAAGUUAUCCAAACAUCUAACCUUGGAGAGGAGAUUGUCUUUGGCGAGCUUGUAGUUGCUAUCGUCAUGACUCUUAGCUACUACGCGCUCAUCCGCCCAAAAAACAUACCAUUUCGCCCAAUCCACAAUCUUGUCGUAAGGCGGCUCGAUCAAUUUUCUGUUGAACAGUCCAUUAAGAAGAUGAAAUCAAUGAGACUGAAAAUGAAAUCUCAAAAACCUGUAAGGUAAAAUUGAAUAUAUAUAUACCCCAUCAAGCUAAUGAGAGAGCCUCCUGAUAACACAAUGCAGAAAGCACCAUGGUCUUUAAUUGAUGCUUCUGAUAUCUCAGCUAUAUAAUCUACCAAGUCAAUACUUAGUUCCUCCAAAUUCUCAUGAACCCUAAUUUCUCCUCUGUCUUUAUGAGUCCAAGUAAGUGCCAUUAUGCUUCCUCUGUUUUUCCACCUCAGUUUUUUCAGCAACUCUACAUGUAAACAAGAAUCUAAACUCUUAAGAAAAGAAAGAGAUCAGCUUUGGACUGUAAGAAGUACUAACACUCACAUUUUUAAGGAAACAGAGAUACCAUCAAAGCUCUACAUAAACAAUGAAACUAUCCAACUCAAUAAAUCAUAGUAAAAAUUCAAAUAAAUAAAUAAACCCUAAGAUGAAAAAAGAGAGGGAAGAGAGGAUUCUUACAAAGGAGUGAGAGAGAUGAUGAUAUGAGUGAAACAGGUUAAUGAUAGAUAGAUAAGAUUUGUACAAAAGCACCCAAAUGAUAAUGAUUAUAUAAUUGCACCAUCAUCAACAACAGAUAGGCCACAUCUCUAUAUACAUUCAUAUAGAUAUGCACGAUAUUAUAUAUAUUGGGUUGUGUGUGUAAACAAAGGACUUUUAUAUAAACUAAUAACGAAAAUGCCUCUUGGGAGCGAAGAAGAAUUAGCAGAGAGAUCAAGAGAUUUCAUUUUACCUUCUGGGUUACCACGUGCAUAUCGUGAUAAAAGUAAAAACACACACACAUAGAAAAACAAAAGGUUUAGUUAAAAACAAUAGGAUAAUUAAGAAAAUGGAAUUACCUGCAAAAUUUUUGAUGAAUUUUAAGGUUUUUGAGAAGAAGAAGAUUUGGUUUGGUAUUUAAAAGAAUUAAAGGGUUGAGACGAAGAUUAGUUGUGCCAUUAUAUUAUCUUCUUUUUUUUUUUUUGGAGGGUUUUUUUUCAUGGAAUAAUAAUAAGGAGAGUAGAUGUGAAUACAAUAAAUAUAAGAAAUCCAAAACAAGUAACCAAACAACUGUCAGUUCCAUAAAAAAGACAAAUGGACCAAUCUCUUCUUAUGUCUUGUCCAAAAGCAAAGUAAUUGUGUGGAUAACUUCGUUUUUUCUUCUUUCUUUUUCUCUAUAAUUUUCAGACUUUAAGAGUUGCUUACUGAUAGUAAUUAUCUCGCUUAUCAAGUUUAGUUAAUUCGUCAAGACUCAAGACUACUACUAGCCUACUAAAGUUGAUAAAGAGAAGUAUUAUUUUUAUACGUAAGCUAAUGAUAAAAACGAAAUUACGGGCAUAUCGAAAGCUCCACAAAAAUUGAUAUAUGAACACUAACCUUAUCAGCUGCCCCACUUUUCAGGAAUCUUAGGCACACCACCAUAAUAGAUUGAUGUGAAUGUGGUUGAUAAGGGUAAAUGGGUAACUAUCUUUUCCGGUGAGGAUUGGAUUUUACACCAUUUUAGGAAUUGAAAUCACACGAAGGACCCAAAAAGCACUAGUAAUGUUUAGGUCACCCAUGUAUCCUUUGUUUUUUUUUACACUAUUCCAUUUUCUGUUUGGUGAAAACAAACAAGAGAACACACAUGUUAAUGCUUAAAUAGUUUAAUUAUAUAUAUUAUGCUAUCUUUUUCUUUUGUUUUUGUUAACACCAAUGACAUAUUUUAAGUAAUACAUAAAAUUUUGGUGGAAAAGUAAAGUAGUUAAUCGAGAUCACUAUACUUCUUAAACUACAAUAUCUUCAAUUUUAAAAUUUUCUUUUCUAUCAUGUCAGUUUGUGAUUACGAACCUCAAUCACUUCUUAUGUUGACAAUAAUAAGCCAUAUUUAUCAAAGUUAAACUUUACAUAAUAAUAAUUAAUCAUAUCUAAUGAACCACUAAAAUGAAUAGUUCGUGAUCGUUACGUAUGAACUACAUCAAGAGGACCAGUAAAGCUUUAUUAAUUAUAUGCUAGCAUAAAUGUAAUGUUUUACUAUUCUUUCUUUUUCUUUUCGAAGUGAUAAAGGAUUGAAUAUUAACGGGUAAGCCACUCUGCUACUUACAUUAUCUAGAAAUUUUGAGGAAGAAUUAAUGCAACGAUCCUAGUUUUGUCUUAUAUUUAUAUUCAUCAAUGUAUGACAUCCGUAUUCGUUCAUUCUGAAAGAGGAGAAACCAACCCAAUAAAAUGUGUGUACAUAUGGUUUGGAACAAAUGUGAAAGAGCCACUCAAUAUUGAGAUAGCGAGAUGGAGACUAGUACCAGCAAGAUCAUAUCUUUUGGGAAAAAUACACACUCUUCUUGUCACCAUCACGUCGUGAUAACACACCUAAAUGAAUCAUGCUGUGUCACUCACCGAUGGGUUUAAGUGUUUAACCAAUUAUAUUCCUAGAGACAUAACUGCAUAACUAAAAUUAUUGAAGAUGAAUCAUAUAACUUUGUUUUUAGUAUUAUACUAAUUAAACAAGGAAAAAUAUAACAAUUUUUUUUUAUAUAUAAAGAAAACAAUAUAGGAAACAGGAAAAAGAAAGUACAAUGAUUGUAAAAAUAUGGUUAGAAAAUUGGUAGCACAUGGAAACAACACCGCAUUGCUUCCCUGACAUGUUAAAGAGACCAGACAAACUCCCAAGUUGUGGGACACAUGACUUCCCCUUCUUACAUUAGAGCUUUCCAUUUUGAAUUGAAAAAAGAAAAAAAAACUGUAAUGAUUAUCUUUCAGAUAAUAAGUAAAUACUAUCAGAUUCAUGACGCAACAUGAUAUGUAAACGAAAGUAUAUGGUAACAUAUGGAUCCAAAAGUAUAUUUGAUUGUGAUGAUGUAUGGUUUUUUUGGCAAAGACUUAAAAGUUAUUGUCAGAUCAAAAUCAUAUGAACACCGAUUAUGAAUUCAUGAUGAAUACAUAAGAAAUAAUUAUAAAACCAUCUUAAAUAACCACUCAUUCCGUAUCUGGAUUUUUAAUGAUCCACACCUAAACCAUUAAGGUCAUGAUAGUGAUCUUAAUAGCAUGACCUUAAUAGCUAUCCAACAUAUAUAUAUAUUAUAUACGUUUAGUAAUACUAGGAUUCUUGGUUAUAGCAGCUGAAAAUAUAGGGCUAUUUGUUUUAGAAAAGUUUAUAAAUUUCAUUUUGGUAGAUCAAUCAUAGUCUUAGUGGGCUCUAGACACAUUAAUUGAGGCCUAUCACAAGUUUAAGACCAGAAAUUACUUAUAAUUUUUCUUUUCAUUCCGUAUGUAUGUUGGUGAUUGCGCCGCAAUGAAAGUUAUUAAAGGAAAAAUAAAACAUUGUCUUAUGUAGUGUGUCGUCGUUACUCGUUACGAAGGUUGUUGUAGUUCAAGUCAUCACAAAGCUUAGGCUGGAAUAUUAAUUACUUAGAUCCAUGCAAGGUGCUAGGACCUCGAUUAGUUUAUUUAUCGGCUAUGUGGCUGCAUAUGGAUUGUCUCUUAUUGAAGGCCUUGAUUUUCAUAAGAGAGCCCAUUAACAUCUUAACAAAUUUUAUUCUGUUAUAUAUCGUACAAUUUUUAUAUUUAAUGAUAUUUGGAAAAUGACGACUUCCCAAUUUUUUCUUGCAAAAUAAAAAGUUGUCUUUUUAGGUUCUUCCGUAUCACUUUUUCAUUUCAACUCUUCAUCGAAUUUUUGCAAGGGCAAUUUGAGAAAUUGUAACAUUUUAGGGUAAAAACAAUGAAAUAAAAUAUAACUUUGAAACCUCUUAGAGUAAAAAUAACACUCAUGUACACUAGCAACUGUACUCAUCAUUUUAUUUUAUUUUAAAUUUUUUAAAGUUUAACUACUUAAAUAUAACUUUUUUGUUGUACUCUAUGGAACUAGAGGCGAAUCUAAUGAGAAGUAAUCCAAAUCUAUUUCGAGAAUACAGUAAGUUUGUAAGAUAAACAAGGCUUAAAUAAUUAUAGAUUUCUAAUUACGUACUUAGCCAUAUAUAUAUACUGUAUACAACUUAUAUACUUAUUCUUGAGAGUGCUAUUGAGUAAUGAGUGGCGCAGAAAAAUACAUAGCCUUUUUGGGCUUUGAAGUAUUAAAAAUUUGGUAAUCAUCGAUUGUUAUAAGUUGCAAGUGAAUAUCUGGCUUUAACAAAAGCAUAUAAAUUCGGCUUUUAAAAAAGAAUCGUAAUCAUUAAUUGAGCCACUUGAAAGAUCAUCAAAGCAAAAAUAAAAUAAAGAUUAAUGAUCUAAUUAGUGUCUACAACCCUAAGACAAAGGAUCCAAUUCUUUUGUCCAAUGAGAGGCAGAGAUUAUCCAAGAGAGCUCUUAAGUAUACAAUCUUAUAUUAUGAUAGUUGUUGGAAUGAAUGCAGAUUUCAAAAAUAGACUAGUCAUAGUUGAAUAGUCUUAAUUUAAACAUUGGACAAAAAAAAACAUCUAUCAAAUACUAGAUGCUCGUACAUAGGGUGAUUUUUUUUAUAGGCAGAUUCUCCUAAAUAAUUUAGAAUGCUUUUAAGUGAUAAUAUAAAUUACAUGCUCUCUUGAGAAAGUUAAAUAAUGCUAUUAAAACAAACAAUCCAAAAAAGUAAUCUAAACAUAACAAACAAAGUAAGUACUGUGGUAGUAAUUAAUGGAAUGAAAAUGGAGACUAUAACUUACAUGAUUAUAUACAUAUAACAACAAUCAAUUUAACUGUACAAUUUGUCUAAAACUUUUCCUUUGCAUAUGUGUUUUGCGGUCAUAACUAAGCAUCAUGUUUCAAAUAUAUAUUUUCUAUAGAUAUAUACCUAAAUAUUGAUCAAGCAUCUAUCUGACGAUUGUAAGACCUUAUAUAUAAUAUAUUAGCUAAUUACCUAGUGAAUCUUAUAAGAAAGCAUACAUUUUUUUGUGACCACAUAAUUAAUUUUCAUUUUAUUUAUUCAUAUUUCUCACAUUGAUCCUUUGGUUCUAAUGUGCUUGUGAUGGAUCAAUCAUAUCUAUAAUGAAAGAGAUAUCAAGAAUCGAUGUAGGGGAAUAUGGAAAAUUUAAAGAAUGAAAGAGAUGUGAGAAAGCAACUUGCACUUAUUUUUGGCCUAAUGAAAAGUUUUAUUUGUUGGAUACUUAAAUCCCUAAAAUGUGUAUUCAUAUCGUUUUGUCGUGUGAUAAGUUUAUCACCUUCGAUAAGAAUGUUUGUUUAUAUGUUCGAUAUCAGCCGUUGAUUAUACAUGUGAUCGUAACGCUAGUCUGAGAGAGCAGAAACAUAAUUUUAUUAUCGAAUUGAAAUAUAGGACCGCUAAAACUAUAUAUACCCAAACAUGUUGAACUAAUUAUGUAACACUUUUAUUUAUCAUAAAAAGGCAAACAUCUUUUUCUUUUGCCAAAAGCAUAUAAACCCUAGCUACCCUUAAGGCUACUUAAUCGUUUAAUGAACGCUAAGAAAUACUCAAAAAUUUUCAAUCUUGUAAUGAUUUAAAAGAUAUACGAACACGUCACUCCUAAUAUUCCAAUUCAGUUGUUUUAGAUCAUCUAUCUCAAAUUUAUUUUGUCUAGAUUCUAAAUAUCAUAGUUGUAUAUAUUAUCUAAUGUUAUUAUGCGGCUGAACCACCGAACAAAUACAAUUGAAAAAAUAGUAAUAGACGAAUUACCAAAUACAUGAACGUAUUAAAAUGUGUUUUAACUAAACAUAAAACACAUUCAUAUUAAACAAACAGAAAACACAUUUCUCUUAUGAGCAUAAUAGUUGUUGGUUUGGGUUAUAAAAUGAGCAUUGUAGUAAAUGUACACGUAUCAAUGUGUAUGAAACGAAAGAGAGAAAUACAGCUAAUAUAUAUAUACAUGAUCCUUCUAUUUUUCUUGACGAGCUUUUUCCCAUAUUCUUAUUCUACGAUGUAUAAUUAAAUUAGGAGUGCACUAGAGUUGUUGUUAAUUAACUACUGAAUUGUACUUUUUGAUGAAUAAUUUUUUUUUGGGUGUAAAAGGAAAAAUGAAUAGUUAAUCACCGAUGGAUAGAUUCAUAAACAAAAAAGAGGAACGUCGAGGAUACGAUCUUUUUUUUUUGCUAAAUGUCGAGGAUACGAUCUUGUAACAUAUAUUAGUGCAAAUGACGCAUAAGUUCUAUCUAAUCCAUAAUUGCCUAUACACAUAAUGUUAAUAAAAUUGAUGUAAGCUUUUUAAGGGUGUUGAGUUCCUAUCGGACAAACUAUAUUCUUCCAAAAAACAAAAGAGAGGAAUAUAUAUUGAAUUAUGAUUCUUGUUCUUGACUCCUUUCUCUCUACGUCAUUUUCAAGCACAUUUUCAAUUUAAUAUUCAUCUUUUUAUUAAUAUGUGGUUUAUAAUCUGACAAUUCACCAAAAAUAUGUUUUCUCAUAAAGAAAAAAUGUUGAAGCGAUCUUUUUUGUGUGCAUAGUAUUAUACAUAUCUGAAUAUUAAAUGGUGUUUUAUAAGAUAUAAUUUCCCACAUUUUAGAUUGGAAAACUUGAUCAUGUCGUAAUGAUGGAUCAGCAUGUGUAACAAGAGAAGAUAGUUGAUUCAAAAAUAGGGUGUAGUAUUAUAAAUUUAGAAUAGGUCGUCUAGUGGUUAUUGCCCGAUGAUUUACUCACAUGUUAGAUAUAUGAAUCACGUUGAUCAACAUGCUAACAUAUCAAGUGAUUUUUUUCCAUCUAUGAUCAUAUCAUUACUCGGUUUCCUUUGAUUUCUAGCAACUCAGCUUUUUAAUCCAAUUCAUGAAACUUUAGUACUUGAAGAAAAGUAAAAUGAAAACAUAGAUAUUUUGGAAAGAGGAGAGUUGUUCAUUGCAUAUACUUAGCUAAUCAAUUUAUAGAUAUGAAAACAUUGAAAAGCAAACCGAGGUGAUACGACAACAUGAAGCAACACAAAGCAUAAUAGAAAAACCCACACCAAAACCCUACAAAGUUCGACCAACGUGCCAAAACCCUAACUUCCUUCCCACCAUAAUUAUUAAUUAGUGCUAACAAGUUCCUGAAACCGGUACAACAUCAAACGAAACCAACAUUCCUUGGAACAGCCUUGCACUUCAGUGGCUGCUUCAUCUCCAUAGACAGCUUGAGAACCUCUGCGAGCUCAACAUCGCCAGAACCCCUAACCCAUUCGAAAUUCUGUAUCAACUGACCGAUCCAAAGAUGAACAGUGGCUAGACCCAUUGCUUUACCAGGGCAAACGCGACGUCCAGACCCGAACGGAGCCAAUCUAAGAUCAGAGCCCAUGAUGCUCACAUCCUCACCACCAAUGAACCUGUCAGGAUUAAACUCUUCAGGGUCGGUCCAGAUUUUGGCGUCGUGUGUGAUGGACCACAUGUUGACCAUAGCUAUGGUUCCUGCAGGGACAAAGUUGGGACCUACGUGAACAUCGUGGAUAGCGAGACGGGCCCAUGAGAGGAGUGGACCAGGUGGAUGGAUCCUUAGGGUUUCUUUGACAAUAGCUUGGAGGUACGGCAGUUUUGGGAUGUCGGAAUCAGACAAGGAUCUUGUGUUGUUACUUGUAGCGGAAGCUAUCUCUUUGUAAAGCUUAUCUUGGAUGUCUUGAUGCAAAACCAUUCUUGCAAGUACCCAUUCCACUAGAAUGGCAACUGUAUCCGUCCCUCUAAAAAUCAUUUCCUAAAAAUAAAAUCAAAAGAUUAAAAAAUCUUAGACACAAAAUAUUAAUGAUAACUCACAUUACAAGAUUAAAACUUUUAUCUUAAGAAAAAAAAAAAAUAGUGAAAGUAGGUUACCCAAAGAACAGCAAUCAUGUCAGAAUCAGACAGCUUUUCAUCUUUUUGCAAGCUAAGCAAGACAUCAACGAAGUCCUCUCCACUGAGAGAGUUGCUCUUCUUCACCUUGUGUUUCUCAAUUAUUCCGCCGACAAAAGUGUUGACCUCGGAGACCAAAGCUCUACACCUCUUCCUCACUCCUUGGAAGUCAAACCAACGUAGAAGCCAAAAGUGAUCGCUCCAGUUAAAUAUCCCAAGCAACUCAUAGCCUUCACUCACCAGCCUCUCUAGGAAACAUCCAUCCCCAUUAACAUCAUCAAAAUCGUAACUUUCACCAAAAACAGUCGUCAUUACAUUAUUCAAAGAACCAAAGUGAACAAUCUUUUUCACUUCAACUUCACCACAAGCGUCAGACGUAACAAGGGUCUUGAUCUUCUCCACCAUCUUCAUACCGAUACCAACUCUAACACCUUCGAAACUCGCGAUUCUCCUCGGGCUGAAAAGAUGAGUGGAAGAGAUCCUCCUAAGAUUCCUCCAAUACUCACCAUAUGGUGCGAAUCCCAUGGCACGGUGGAACAGUAGCUCGUAAGCUGACUCCUUAACCGGCCGGUCCGCAAAAGCAGAGCUGUUCAGAAUCUCUUUAGCCGUCUCUGGUUCACUAGAGAUAAUGAAACGCGAAAACCCAACCGAGAAGGCCAUCAACGGAGAGGCCUUGAAGCGUUUGGCAAGAGCGGAGAGAACACGGUGAGGAUUAGAGCCGGAGAAGACGGAAAGAGAACCAGAUGGUCCCGGAAUGGAAACAUGGUUCUUCGAUGACCAGGUCCAGGCCCAUGCGAGCCCACCUGGUGAGAGAAAGAUAGCUCCUGUGGCUAAGAAAAGAGAGAGCCAAGCAAAGGCUUCGAAGCUGAGGAGGUUGAAACUGUUAAAGAACAGAACGUAAGCGUCCGGAGACAUCUCAGGCUGAGUUAUGGAACAAGAGAGAGUGUUAAGAGUGUGAUGAGAGAGAAGUGUUUUAAGAGUUUAUGAAGAAGGUAUGAAGUGUUGUUGCAUGGGAAGAGAGUUUAAAUAGAUGUGAUUUACUAGUUGUGUCAUUGAUAUUUUUAACUAAUUAAUAGGUUCUAAAUAAAAUUAAUAGUAAAUUAAAGGUUUUAAAAUUGUAUUUGCAUUGAAGGUAACGGGCAAGUCAAUGGCUUUUAGCUUAAUGGUGGAGCGAAUUUUGAUGUAGCUGUUUCUUUUUUUUGUUAUUUACUAAACUUUUUGAAAAUCGCCACAUUUAUAUUCAGUAUAAUAAAAUAAAUUAUUAGUACUAUAUUUUUAAGCUAAUUUUUGGUAUUCGUUUGAAAGUAAGAAAAUGAAUUUAUUUUUUCUAAGGGUUUUCGAAAAUAUAUAUAUAUAUAUAUAUAUAUAUAUAUAUAUAUCAGACAGAGUAUAGUGUGAUUCAUAUGGUUUGUGCGGAGAUUUGAAAGCCAAAAAAUUGGUAUGUUUUUACACAAUAAUUGGCAAAUUGUAGUUGUGUCAUGCAUAAAAUAUUGCAACGAAGUCAAGAUAUUUUCCUAUCACGUAUAAACACUGUGUUUUUUUUUUUUUUGGUUAUGUUGGAAAUACUUCACACUUGGAUAAACUUUUAUUACUAGAACUAGUAAUCUAUUAUAGCUAGCACUUAGCAGUAACAUUUAACAUCAGUGGAUAAUAUCAACCUCCCAUUAAAGCAGCUAUUCUAGAGUACUGUAUAAUAUAAUAAUCAGAAAAGUUUAAGAUUCACCGGCUCUCCUGACACAAAUUAAAACUAAAUGGGUGGAGUUAAUUAACCAAUAUUUCAUUGUUAGUGUUUAAAAAAAAAAAAAAAGGAGAAACUAUGCUAAAGAAGAAUCCGAUAUCAGAAUCGCACACAGCCGUCUUUGCCACUAUUACCAAAGCUAUUAAUUGUACGGAUUUAUUCAUAUUUUAGUCUGGCUUACUAAUUUUUUUAUAUAUAUAAUUUUUGAAACUUUUUGGUGGUGAGGACGAUUUAUUCACAAGUCUUCUUUCACUUUUCUUUUGGUUUAGAAUUAAAUCAAAUUAUUCUCGCUAAUUCGUAUUCACUAUUCCAUUCAAACUUGUUAUAUGAUUUUUUUUCCAACACCUACUAAAAAAGUGGGAGAACAGAAUUGUAACUUGUGUAUUACUGCACUCAUAUAAAUAUGUGUGUAAUAUAGAACAGAACUGGUAGUAAUGCUUCUUUGUUAGACUCAUAAAUAUGUUAGUGCAAUAAUAACAGAACUGGUAGUUGUAGUAAUGCUUUUUUUAGCUUUCUGUAACUUACUUUACACUCCUAAUAAAUACACAGUGAGUUUAAGAGAUCAAACGGUGCAGUUAAUACACAUCUGCAGCGUGCUCACAUGACGAACAGAACCAAACAAAAGAAGAAAAGAAAAGGUUCUGAUCGUUAUGGCUAAGCAUUGGAGCAUCUCAAAUGUUCGAGGCUUUCUUUCUUUUCUUUUUUUUUUUUUAAAUUUUCACGAUUCGGCUUUAUUGAGAAACCAGAAAAGAUAAGAACCGAGUUAAGAUUACAAGACACGUGGAAGGAGUCAAAUCAAUAGUAAAGUCAAUAUCAGUAUCAUAAUUGAAGAAGAAGAUCUUUGCCGUGUGAUCUUUAACUUGAAGAACCCUCCCGUGGCCA